UAAAGGCAUCAUCCAAGGCGCUAUCAUCUAUAAGAAUGCAAUUUGGCCCAUAAGAUAUAACACAUAAAGCACACAAGGAUGGAUUUAAGGCACUAAAGCACAUAUGACCUCUUCCUUUCAAGUAAAGUAUGAACUUGGCAUCCACAAGUUGGGAAUCAUGCAACUUAAGCACAAGUGUGUCGAGCAAGGAUGCACAUUUAGUAACAUUACCCCAAGAAGACAAUGACACCUUUGCCCUCGAGUUUUCAAGAAUGUCACUUUGCUUGUCAUGUAAACCAAGCAACAAUUUGGGUGUGCCAACAUCAUCAUAUGUACAUUUGGCACCCGGGUUAAAUGAAAAGAGUGGCCAUAGACAUGGAUCUAGACAACACUCUUUUUCCCCAUAGGCUUUACCCAAUCUAAAAGACAUACUCUCUACAAUAGCAUAGAUAUCAUCAAAAGCAAAUAGAGAGUAGAGAAAGGUAUCACUCAAGUCAACUUCAACUAAGGUGUCCUCAUGUACGUACUCACUACUAGUUUCAAAAUUAUCACCAUGAGCACUCUCAACAAUAAGGUCACACAAAGUAGAAGAAGAAGUAAUUUCCAACCAAUGGACACUUUCUCUUUUCAUGGAAGAACCCUCAAGUAGAUACACACCACAAGCAGAAUCAAAUAAAUUAUUACUUAAGUCUUCACAAGAAGCAAACAAUUCAUGCUCAUAGUCAUCAAACAUGGGUGGGGAAUCAUACAAAGGAUCACAACCACAAUCAAUUUUCAAGGAAUAAUCACCUGUUGGGUUUCUCAAAUACUCAAGCAAAUCAAAGCUAUCAUUACCCAAUUGAUCAUUCCUUUCUAAGACUACACAUUCCGUACCCUUAAGAGUACUCUCAUCUUUCAAGAAGAGAUUUCCAUCUUUAGGAGGUAUGUUGUCACACCAUAGUGGAUUAGUAUAUAGGCUAUAGCCUUCAAGACAAGCUAUCCCAUUAAUAUCAUUCCCACAACUAGGUUUAUUAGGAGUGAUUGAACCAUCUUUGAAUAAGAUUUUAUACCUAAAGAGAGGAGGAUCUACCAUCGGGCAAGAUUUAGAACAUGGAAGUUCACUCUCUAAAGGACAAUUAUCAAGUUCCAAAGAAGUUUCAAACACACGAUCCUUAUGAGCAAAACCGCUAGUAGAACAUUCACUAGAGGUCAUGCUAAAGGGAUUACUACUAUUUAUUUGAUCAACAUUUUCAACAUCAUCACUCACUUGAGAUACAUUAAACACAUCAGACACAUCCUCAAAUGGUGGACAAAUUUCACACAUAAGUUGAUCAACACAAUUCCUCACAAGAUGAUGUACUAUCAUUCAACACAUUAGCUUCAACACUAGGUGGACAUAAAUUGAUCUUAUAAGAAGAGUCAAUUCGGUCAUCAAUAGGAUCAACUAGUGUAUCGACAUUCACAACAUGUACAUCAUCAUCAAGGGGCAAAGAAUCAAUAGAUGAUGUAUUAUCAUUCAACACAAUGGCUUCAACACUAGGUGGACAUAAAUUGAUCUUACAAGAAGAGUUAAUUCAGUCAUCAAUAGAAUCAACUAGUGGAUCCACACUCACAACAAGUACAUCAGCAACAAGAGGCAAAGAAUCAAUAGAAUCAUAAAUAGGUAAGCUACUACUCACACUUAAUGGGCUACUAGCCACACAAUUAUUAUUCACUUGCACAAAAGUGUAAGAGUUAGCUAUUUUACCUCAAAGUUCUUGAGUAAAUUCUUUUUUGCCAUGGUGUAAAGGUUUCCCACAUGCUUCAGCAGCAACCUCUCCUUGGCCUUGUGCUUCUCCACUUGUCAUAUUAGUACCUACACAAAUGUCCUUAGAAAUAGAAGGACAAAUAUAAUUAGCACGGUUUGGUGACAAUCCCCUCACUUCACUCCACACAACCUCUCUUUUUUCCACUCUUGGAUUGCCACCUUGCACACCCUUAAUCCUCUCAAUCUUUUGUCUCUCAUAAUUAUUCGGGCCGGAGUAAGUGAUCACAUUUCCUUGUAGUUUGGGAAAAAUUGAGGUAAAGAGAUAAUUUCCCCAAUGGUCCAAUACAACCUUAGGCUAAUUUAGCACAUUUGGAACUCAAUGUUGUGCAAACCAAUCGGCACCGAAGCAUACAUGACCUGGUGUCAAGGGAAAGAUAUCGCACCAUACCUCCUCAUAGUAUUCAAAUUGGGUGAAGACAAUCCUCACUCACUCGAUAACCUUAUACCCGUCCAAGUAAUAUGGAACAAGUAAAGGUUCUUGAAACAACCCCAAAUAUUCAACCAUGGGUGGCAUAAUGUAGUUCUUAUGGCGCCAAUCAUCUAGCACGAGGAGGCAGCCUGGUACCCCAUAAAUGCUUACCUUUCCAGAGUGAACACUUUUUCUAGGAUCAACAUUGUAGAGUUUAGGACAACUGUAACGCCCCAGAAAAUGGGUCCCAAAGCGUCACACGGUGCUUGAGGCUACGAGUAGCUCCAAGCUAACCCUUUGAGCCAUUUUCAUUCAGUUCAACACAAAUCAACGGGGUUUUCAUAAAUAACCCUCAAAUAUCAACAGAGUAAUCAUCAUCCAAGAAUAAAAAGAAUUUCAGAAAGAUAACAAAAUACGACUUAUUAGUCAACUCCCAACAUCUAUACUAGUCUGACAAGCCUCUAAGAAAAUUAAUAAAACUAGCGAGCCAUUGAGACAUGCCCCAACUAACUCAUACUCAGUUAUCAAAUGUAAACAAUUCCGUAAAACCAACAUCAGACAUCACGUCCUCGAAAUAUGAGGACUUACCACAAUAGAGGAUGUAGAACAGCAUGCCCGAAGAAUAACUGUCGAACCUAGAACUGAGCACCUGGACCUACAUUCUGAGAAAAUGCAGCCCACAUCUGAAGAUGUGGGUCAGUACCAUAGAAAGAAACCGAGUAUAUAGGGGUGUAUGCAAUUGUAUAAAUAUCAUCAUCAUAAAUAUUUAUAAGAAAUAUGCAGGAUGUAUGAAAGACUCACAUAGCCCCAAGAAAAUUAUCAUAAUCAUGAGAGGACUCAAUAAGUAUAAUAACAAAUGUGAGUCAUCAUAUAAUUUGUCAAUCACUUUUAGUUCAUCAAAAAUAUCAAUUCUCAUAAUGUAAUAUCAUUUAAAUGUUUUGGAGGAAUAACUUUCACAAUUCCACUUUCAAAUCACUUCACCGUUUGCCAUAGACACAAGGAAACACACACACACACUGGGAGAUUCUUAUAACCGACAUAAACCAUGUGAGCUACAUGGAGUCCAACGUACAACCCACGUUGGGGAGAGCCGUCCUAUCCUUGCCAUCGAAGUAGGACUAUCGAUAUCAAAUCCACACAAACUAGUGAUCACUAUAUAAAUCAACCUCAGGCUCACUCUUGCGGGGGCACGUAGUUCUAGGGAAGUAAGGUCGCUUUAUACCUCCCACUCGGUGCUAAAGAUUUCUCCCGGACUUAGCUCAGAUCAUUUCAAAGACAAUCCACAACAAAAUAAUUUCAGUAAUAUAUAAAUAUACAUCGGGAGCCAUCAUGCUUCCCAUCUAUCAAAAUUAACCACGUUGCGGAUUUCUUUCACACUCUAGUUCAAAACAACUCCAUUAAGACUAAAAGGUCAAAUCAUUCAAAAUAUCUCAAAUAUUCAACAUCAACGUGCUUAUAACACACACUUUCUCAAAAAAANNNNNNNNNNNNNNNNNNNNNNNNNNNNNNNNNNNNNNNNNNNNNNNNNNNNNNNNNNNNNNNNNNNNNNNNNNNNNNNNNNNNNNNNNNNNNNNNNNNNNNNNNNNNNNNNNNNNNNNNNNNNNNNNNNNNNNNNNNNNNNNNNNNNNNNNNNNNNNNNNNNNNNNNNNNNNNNNNNNNNNNNNNNNNNNNNNNNNNNNNNNNNNNNNNNNNNNNNNNNNNNNNNNNNNNNNNNNNNNNNNNNNNNNNNNNNNNNNNNNNNNNNNNNNNNNNNNNNNNNNNNNNNNNNNNNNNNNNNNCUUUGAUAUCCAAAUUGUAUGAAACCAAUUUCAUUAGAAAGAGGACUCUCAUAUCUUUUCGUUGAUAUAUAGUAUCUCACCCAGAUCAUUGUGAACGAGGAGUUAUGAUCAUUUGAAGUUGACCCAAAAAUAUACUUUUAAUAGGAUGAAGUAGAUCGACCAUAACUUUUUGCUCCGUUAGACAAAUUGGAUGAAACCAAUUUCAUUGGAAAAAGGACUCGCAGAGCUUUCAGUUGAUAUAUAGUAGAUCACCCAGAUCAUUAUUUACAAGGAGUUAUGAUCAUUUAAAGUUGGAGCAAAAAAUACGCCAGGCCUCAAUACUUUUUCCUGCAUGUUUUACUGUUCACUACUAUUCACAGUUUGAUCGAAAUGUUCAUAACUCGUCGCUCGGGUGUCCGUUUUGGAUGAUCCACAUAUUGUUGGAAAGCUUAUUCAAUACUCUAUGUAAUGGUGGGUCAUAAUCUAAGACAUUCUACACAGAAAAUUUAUAAUUCAUUCUAGAAGAUAGAACCUAAUACGUUUACGCAAAAAACUUCAAUGAAAAAUUUUCUGGGGUAUUACAUCAUCCCCCUUGGAAACAUUCAUCCUCGAAUGAUGCUAUACAUGCCAAGAUUAGAUAGGGUACAUAGAAUGCAUAAAUUCAAGAGACUACAGCUGAACACAUAAUAAAUGAUAGCUGAACUGUUGCAACUUUUAUCAAAAGUGCAUGAUUUAGGAAAGAACAGUACCGUCGGCUUGAUCGGAGUUCGUGGAAAAUAGGUGCGGGUACUUGGAUCGCAUAUCCGCCUCAGCUUCUCAAGUUGCACCCUCAAUAGAUUGGUUUCUCUACAACACCUUGACCAAGGGAACUUUUUUGUUCCUUAGUCUACACUGAAAUCAAUAAUCUCAACAAAAAUCUCAUCAAAAGAAAGAUUUUCUUGAAUGUCAGCACUCACAGAGGAAUCCACUACCACAGCAUCGCUAAUAUGCUUUCUAAGCAUGGAGAUAUAGAAAAUUGGAUGAACAAAGAACAACUCCGAAGGCCACUCGACCUCAUAAGCUACCUUACCAACACGGCUAAGAAUUUUGUAAGGACCAACAUAAUGGGGACUAAGCUUCCCCUUCUUUCUGAAUCUCUUCACCCCCCUCACGGGUGAAAUUUUUAGAUACACUACGUCACCAACUUCAAACUCAACGUCUCUCUUUCUAACAUCCGCAUAUGACUUCUGACGACUUUGCACAGUUUUUAACCUUUCCCUAAUCAACUUAACUUUUUCCAUAGCCUCAAAUACCAAAUCAGGACCACUCACAGCAGCUUCACCAACCUCAAACCAACCUAUGGGUGAUCUAAACUUCCUCUCAUAUAAGGCUUCAAAUUGAGCCAUGCCAAUACUAGAGUGGAAACUGUUAUUGUAAGUAAACUCUAUCAACGAUAAGUGAUCAUCCCAACUUCCCUUAAAGUCAAGUGCACAAGCUCUCAACAUAUCUUCUAAGGUCUGGAUGGUCCGCUCAGCCUGACCAUCGGUCUGCGGAUGAAAGCAGAACUUAAAAGCACUUGGGUACUAUGACUCUUCUGAAAAGCUUUCCAAAAUUGUGAAGUGAACUGAGUACCCCUAUCCAAAAUGAUAGACAAGGGAACUCCAUGCAGUCUGACUAGCUCUCGGAUACAAUCUAGCAUAAUCCUCAGUAGUAUAUGAAGUAUGAACAGGCAAGAAAUGAGCAAACUUAGUCAACCUAUCAACCACAACCCAAAUGGAAUCAUGAUGGUGUCGGGAAGGAGGUAAACCAAUCAUGAAGUCCAUAUUUAUCUCUUCCCACUUCCAGGUGGGAAUACNNNNNNNNNNNNNNNNNNNNNNNNNNNNNNNNNNNNNNNNNNNNNNNNNNNNNNNNNNNNNNNNNNNNNNNNNNNNNNNNNNNNNNNNNNNNNNNNNNNNNNNNNNNNNNNNNNNNNNNNNNNNNNNNNNNNNNNNNNNNNNNNNNNNNNNNNNNNNNNNNNNNNNNNNNNNNNNNNNNNNNNNNNNNNNNNNNNNNNNNNNNNNNNNNNNNNNNNNNNNNNNNNNNNNNNNNNNNNNNNNNNNNNNNNNNNNNNNNNNNNNNNNNNNNNNNNNNNNNNNNNNNNNNNNNNNNNNNNNNNNNNNNNNNNNNNNNNNNNNNNNNNNNNNNNNNNNNNNNNNNNNNNNNNNNNNNNNNNNNNNNNNNNNNNNNNNNNNNNNNNNNNNNNNNNNNNNNNNNNNNNNNNNNNNNNNNNNNNNNNNNNNNNNNNNNNNNNNNNNNNNNNNNNNNNNNNNNNNNNNNNNNNNNNNNNNNNNNNNNNNNNNNNNNNNNNNNNNNNNNNNNNNNNNNNNNNNNNNNNNNNNNNNNNNNNNNNNNNNNNNNNNNNNNNNNNNNNNNNNNNNNNNNNNNNNNNNNNNNNNNNNNNNNNNNNNNNNNNNNNNNNNNNNNNNNNNNNNNNNNNNNNNNNNNNNNNNNNNNNNNNNNNNNNNNNNNNNNNNNNNNNNNNNNNCCCUUCUGCAUCAAUACGCAACCCAACCCAACUCUUGAAGUAUUAUAGUACACCACAAAACCAUCAAUACCAUUAGGCAAAGUCAAAAUAGGGGCUAAAGUGAGUCGAGUCUUCAACUCCUGAAAACUCUUCUCACAAAAUUUGGACCAUAAGAACUUUACUUUUUUUGGGGUCAACCAAGUCAUAGGAGACACUAUAGAGGAGAAACCCUCAACAAAACGGCGGUAAUAGCCAGCUAAACCCAAGAAACUUUGAAUAUCAGUCGAAGAAAUAGGUCUGGACCAAUUUCUAAAAGCUUCGGUCUUUUGGGGAUCAACUCUAAUACCCUCGGAAGAAAUGAUAUGACCCAAAAAAGCAACUGACCUUAGCCAAAACUCACACUUACUGAACUUGGCAAACAACUUGUGAUCUCUAAGGGUUUACAAGACAGUUCGGAGAUGAUUAAAAUGUUCAGCCUUACUACGAGAGUACACCAGUAUAUCAUCGAUGAACACUAUGACAAACAUAUCCAGAUAUGGUCUAAACACUUGAUUCAUGAGGUCCAUGAAAGCUGUUGGGGCAUUAGUUAACCAGAAAGACAUAACAAAAAACUCAAAAUAGCCAUAAUGAGUUUGGAAAGUAGUUUUUAGGAUGUCACACUCCCUAACUUUGAGUUGAUGAUAGCCGAAAUAAAGGUCUAUCUUUGAGAAAUAACUUGCACCUUGUAGUUGGUCAAACAAAUCAUCUAUUCUCGGAAUGGGGUACUUAUUUUUUAUGGUGACUUUAUUAGUUGGUGGUAAUCAAUGCACAUACGCAAAGAGUUAUCUUUCUUUCUUACAAACAACACAGGAGCACCCCAAGAAGAAACACUGGGCUUUAUGAAACGCUAAUCUAGUAGAUCUUUGAGUUGCUCUUUCAACUCCUUAAGUUCUGCAGGGGCUAUACGGUAAGGAGGAAUAGAAAUGGGCUGAGUAUCGAGAAGAAGAUCAAUCCCAAACUUUAUCUCGCUAUCAGGAGGUAUCCCUAGGAGAUCAUUCAGAAAGACAUCAGAAAACUUAUUAACGACGUUAAUAGACUGGAGAGUUAGAGUCUCAGACUUAGUGUCUUUGACUCUAACAAAAUGGUAAAUACACCCCUUGGAAAUAAGCUUUCUAGCUUUGAGGUAAGAGAUUAAAUGACUCUUGGGUGACACAAAAUUCCCAGACCACUCAAACACGGAUGCACCCAAAAACUGAAACUUGACCACUCGUGUCUGACAAUCAAUAGAGGCGUAAGAAGAAUACAACCAAUCCAUACCCAGAAUAACAUCAAAAUCUACCAUGUCUAACUCAAUCAGAUCAGCCAGCAAGACUCUAUGAAGAACGGUAAUAGGACACUUUUUAUACACAUUUUAGGAAACAAUUGAAUCACCCACUAGGGUAGAAACUAGGAUAGGUUCAGGAAUAAUCUCAGGACUCAUUUCAAAUGGGUUGCCCUAAAUAUUUGCAGUAACAGCUUAGGCCAGCGCUUGAAAGGCUGCCCAAAAUUCAGCAUGAGACACAUUUUCAUUCAAUGGGUUAGUGGGUUGAGGUUGCUGACCAUCAUUAUUUCUUAUAGCUUGAUGUGGAGGCAUAUUUUAGAAAGAGGAGAGCACGAAUCAAUAGCAGAGAGAGAUACUUUAAGCAUGAUAGACUUUUGAAAGAAAGAAUCAUACUUUUUUCUAAAAUAACUUGUAGCCUCUUGCUCAUAGAUGUGGCGCGCUACACACCGAUGAUCAAGACUCUACUUAACGCGGAUUGUCAGACUCCCUAGGACACCUUAAAAUCUUAGGCUCUAAUACCAAGUUUGUAACGCCCCGUAAAAUGGGUCCCAGAGCAUCACCAGCGAGCCAUUGAGAUAUGCCGCAACUGACUCAUACUCAGUUAUCAAAUGUAAACAAUUUCGUAAAACCAACACCAGACAUCACGUCCUCGGAACAUGGACUCACCACAAUAGAGGAUGUAGAACAGCGUGCCUGAAGAAUAACUGUUGAACCUAGAACUGAGCACCUGGACCUACAUUCUGAGAAAAUGCAACCCACAUCCGAAGAUAUGGGUCAGUACCAUAGAAAGAAACCGAGUAUAUGGGGGUGUAUACAAUUAUAUAAACAUCAUCAUCAUAAAUAUUUAUAAGAAAUAUGCAGGAUGUAUGAAAGACUCAUAUAGCCCCAAGAAAAUCAUCAUAAUUAUGAGAGGAUGAAAUAAGUACAAUAACACAUGUGAGUCAUUAUAUAAUUUAUCAAUCACUUUCAGUUCAUCAAGAAUAUCAAUUCUCAUAAUGUAAAUAUCAUUUAAAUCUUUUGAAAGAAUAACUUUCACAAUUCCACUUUCAAAUCACUUCACCAUUCACCAUAGACACAAGGAAACACACNNNNNNNNNNNNNNNNNNNNNNNNNNNNNNNNNNNNNNNNNNNNNNNNNNNNNNNNNNNNNNNNNNNNNNNNNNNNNNNNNUCCUAUCCUUGCCAUCGGAGUAGGACUAUCGAUAUCAAAUCCACACAAACUAGUGAUCACUAUAUAAAUCAGCCUCAGGCUCACUCCUAUGGGGACACGUAGUUCUAGGGAAGUAAGGUUGCUUUAUACCUCCCACUCGGUGCAAAAUAUUUCUCCCAAACUUAGCUCAGAUCAUUUCAAAGACAAUCCACAACAAAACAAUUUCAGUAAUAUAUAAAUAUACAUUGAGAGCCAUUUGCUUCCCAUCUAUCAAAAUCAACCACGUCGUGGAUUUCUUUCACACUCGAGUUCAAAAUAACUCCAUUAAGAUCAAAUGGUUUUCAUUCAAAAUAUCUCAAAUGUUCAAUAUCAACAUGCUUAUAACACACACUUUCUCAAGAAAAACAUAAUUUCCAAUGGGGAUUCACGACCCAAAUAUCAAAAUCAUGAUAAAUAUCGUUCAAGAUUCAUGCUUUAUAUCUCCACACAUGUAAAUUCAUCUUUCAAAAUCAUAAACAUUAAGAUUUCAUAAUAAUCAUUAUAAGAUAUGGGUUCAUGCUUCAAAUUCAUAAAAAUCAAAUAAAAAUCAUGCCUUUGUAACGAAAAUUAUUUUGGGCACAAGAACGAAAGAGAGUUCUUGUUAAAAAACCUCACAUACCUUGAAUGAUGAACUUUAGAUCGAUACUCAUUUUUGAGAUGUUAAUCGUGCCUUUGAAUGAUGGUUCUUAGAGUUCUUGAACUAGGAACUUGGAAUCUUGAAUAAAUUUGCAGAAUUAAUGGUGAACUUUGGAGGUUCUUGAAGUUGGAUGUAGGAGCUUAGGGUUUUCUUUUUAGGGGAAUUUGAUGAAAUACAACACAAAAUAAUUCUAAUAGGCUUUAAUAUAGGGUUUGGAUGAAUUUUGGGUGAGGAGAAAUAACCAAAACGCCCCUAAAAAUUAAAUAAUUCUCAAAUCUGUCCUUUGGUGGACUGUUUUGAUAGUUUGAAGUAGAUCAACCAUAACAUUUUACUUCGCAAUCUAAAUAGGAUGAAACUAAUUUCAUUAGAAAGAGGACUCUCAUAUCUUUCCGUUGAUAUAUAGUAUAUCACCCAGAUCAUUGUGUACGAGGAUUUAUGAUUGUUUGAAGUUGAACCAAAAAUUUACUUUUGAUAGGCUGAAGUAAAUCGACCAUAACUUUUUGCUCCGAUAGACAAAUUGGAUGAAACCAAUUUAAUUGGAAAGAGAGCUCACAGAGCUUUCCAUUGAUAUAUAGUAGAUCACCCAGAUAAUUAUGUACAAGGAGUUAUGAUCAUUUACUGGUGGAGAAAAAAUACGCAAGGCCUCAGUACUUUUUCCUGCACGUUUUACUAUUCACUACUAUUCACGAUUCGAUCGGAAUGUUCAUAACUCGUUGCUUGGGUGUUCGUUUUGGAUGAUCCACAUAUCGUUGGAAAUCUUAUUCAAUACUCUAUGCAAUGGUGGGUCAUAAUAUAAGACAUUAUGUAUGAAAAAUUUAUAAUUCAUUCUAGAAGAUAGAACCCAACACGUUUAUGCACAAAAUUUCAACAAAAAAUUUCCUGGGGUAUUACAACAACCCAUGGGCACAUGAGUACCCCUCGGCCUUGGAUAUGUAUUCUCUUUUCUUCUCAUAAGACAACCUACACUAUAGAUAGUAUACUCAUUCACACCACUUUGUCCUGGAUAAGAUGUACUACAAGGUAAAGAAUAUGAAUCUUCAUGCUCCACAUGUGCACUCUCACUAAGGCUUUCAUAUGCUUUUUGAAGGAAAGGAUUAUCCCUUACACAAAUUCUAGGUUCAGAGUGGGAAGUGCAAGACUUCUCACAUGCCCCAACUUCAUCAUAAGAACCAUCACAAGGCUAGACAUCAUCUCCAUAUUCACCAUAAGUACUAGGAACUUCAUUCACCUCAUUUUCUCCCUCAAAACCAUAACUCUGAAUUCUGCCUAUGUCUUGAUCAUGGCUAUAUUCAUAGCCCCCAUAAUCUCCAACAUCAUCGUAGCCAUAAAAUCCCUCACUACAAUCAUAGACUCCCAUGUUGUAGUCAUAAUAGUUCGAGGAUACCAAGAUAUGUUCCCAUUAUAUCACCUUGUACCUACAAAAUGAACAAACAAGAUUAGUAGUAAAAGCUCCUCACCAACACUCGUAUAUACUCUCACCUUUGUGAUCCUCACAAUUGGAGCAGCGAAUAUUGAAAGUUGCUAAUCUGGUAGUUAAUAAGGUGUCAAUCACUACUUAGUUGCCGGAAUAAAUUCUUGUUUGAUCGACUCAAGACACAAUACAAAAUCUACUUAUGAACUUGAAACAAAGAAGUUCAACGAGUCAAAAUGAGAGAAGCACACAAAGAACAAAAACACGAAGAAAACGGACUCAAACGACUAAUUCACAACUAAGUAGGUGAUUACUAGUUGUUAAUUAGUUCUAGAAUCAAGAAAUGAAACUAAAGAAACAAGGAAAUGAAACUUAGAAUCUAAAAUUUGAGCUUAAGCUUUUUGGGUGAACUGAUGAUGUGGAAGCCCUUGGUGAUGACGUGGCAGCCUUUGGUUGGUUGAUGUUUUGAAAAAAAUUUCUUGUAUUCAACUUGUAUUCAAUCAAUCUUAAACUUAGGGGGAAGGUAGGAUCAGUUUUGAUGAAGAAAACACAAAGAAUGGACCUUUUUUCUAGAUCAAAAGAGUUUGAAUUUGUGAUGGUCCCCCUUGUACUUUCCCUUGUACUUGACCUUGUCCUCUUCUUUGAGAAUAUUCCUUUUGAUGCCUUUUGAAUUCUUUUCUUCCUUUGGAAAACUUGGAAUAUUCUUUGAGACAAACAAGUAGUACACUCUCUUUCUCCUCCUUUUUAGAUCAAACAACACUUUUUGAAUGUUCUUGUUCAACAAUACAUGAAGAACAUGAAGAACACCAAGAACAUUCAAAGUUUGACACAAAGUUAACCCUUAAGAAACUGAACUCGAAAUUUGUUUUUUCUUGAAGAUCCAAGCUCACGUUGAAAAUCCAACCAUAAAUAUCACGUUUUCAUCUCCAAAAACAUUAACAAAAACCUUCCACAAUGAGAUCUCACCUUCAAGUUUCUUCAAACUCAAGAUCAACAAUGGUGGAUGGGUCAAAUCACCUUCAAUUUAGGUCAAAUUCAAACCCUAGUGUAACAUCCCAUAUUUUGCUUGUACGUGUUCUAAUUAUAUGGAACUUGGUAUAGCCUUUUGAUAUAUAUAAUGUAUGAGAAUUGUUAUACAAGUAUUAAUAGUAUAGAUGGAAUUAUAGAUGCUGCCCGUACAUUUUAAUGUGAUGUGACUAAGUUAACGUUAAGAUAACUAUUUAAACUUGGAAUCGUAAGCUAGUAUUUGAAUCUAAAGUUUAAAGUGACCAAGUGAGUAUAAGUUGAAGGUUAGAUUAAAUGGAUUAGGAGCUGAAAAUGGAGCAAAAUAUUGAGGUGCUUGCUUGACUUAUUUAAGCUAGUAGGUGAGUCACCUACUUAAGUUGUUUGGACCAAAUUAAUGUACCCAUGUCUAUGGAUCAGAUUUUGGUCUAUGCUAAUAUACUCAUUUGGGCCAAAUUGAACAAAAGAGAAAGAAAAUGGAUAAGUGGCCCAAGACACCAAUCUGCCAAGGCCCAACUAUAAUUGACCCCAACAAGAAAUUAAGCAAGUAGGUGCAUCACCUACUUUGAAGUUUCAGCAGCUUGGACCCUUAAGUAGGUGCAUCACCUACUUGGACCAAUUUGACCAAUUUUAUGGUCCAAAAUGCAGCUAAGGAGGUGGACAAGAUAGAGCCUUUAAAAUCCCAAGUUGCUGGUCAUUUUACUUCACUUUUAAGUCACAAAAAAGGAGUAUAUUUCAGCAAAUNNNNNNNNNNNNNNNNNNNNNNNNNNNNNNNNNNNNNNNNNNNNNNNNNNNNNNNNNNNNNNNNNNNNNNNNNNNNNNNNNNNNNNNNNNNNNNNNNNNNNNNNNNNNNNNNNNNNNNNNNNNNNNNNNNNNNNNNNNNNNNNNNNNNNNNNNNNNNNNNNNNNNNNNNNNNNNNNNNNNNNNNNNNNNNNNNNNNNNNNNNNNNNNNCUCCAUUUUAUUUUUCUUAUAUAUGAAUUUGAGAGGGGAUUAUGGAUGACUUGUCAUUGAGAACUCAAGAGAUGAUGAGUUCAAUAAUUGAUUGCUACAAUAAAAGGGAUUUGGGACUGUUUGUGGACUGUUUUGUAUGUAUAAGUUAUGGGCUGCCAGGUUGAAGUUGGAUAAAGGUGUGAUGAGUUUGUAAUAAAUUAUAGAAGAAAGAUGUGGUGAUAUAUCUCCGAACUAAUGUUUGCUGCCCAAUCUAUUUUGCGUAUUGUUUGUAAUGUGUAAUGAAGUCGAGGUGGUUUUGGUGAACCUUAUAAGAACCUAUAUGGUAUGUGGGUGUAAUUGGAGGAAAAAAAGGGUUAAAAUAACACCCUUGUUUGAUAGAUUAAUAGUUGCUGCCCGGUUACUAUUUUGGGUGAAAUUAAGUAUCUCAAAUGUGUUGAUUGGUUACUUUUACUAGUUCACCAUAUAUUCUAUUGUAGAUAAGUAAUCUAAAAGGCAGGAAGUCAAGUCGGGUUAGUUUCGGAGUCAAAUAACCAGGUAUGUAAGGCAUACUUUAUUUCACACUCUUUGGCAUGAAAUCGUACAAUUGUUCCAUCAAGCAAGUUUCCGAGUGAUACAUAAUGACAGCACAUUACACUCUAUGUAUCCAAUGACCUUGUUCCCACUCUCUAAUGCAUUAAACACCUCAAUACGUUCUUAUUAUUAAAUCUGCACAUCUAUCUUCACUAGAAAAUUUCAGAAGUUCCCCGUUUACUCAAAUAAGACCUAUGUGUAUUUUCAGCUCCUAAACACUUCAUUUUGUGUGCCAACAGCUCCCUACCUUAUUGUUGUUGCAUUAAGUAUCCAUUUAUAUGUCUCUUAUUAGCAUAUUAUUAGUUCAAGGUACCAUAAUGUGAUGACCACCAAAGUAACAAUCUCAAAGGCUAAAUAAACUAAGUAAUGCCAAUCUGUAAAAUGACGAGUAGCAGCUCAGGGGCACUUACCUAGCAUGGGCCGAUCUAGAUACCAUUAUUUGUGGGUGGCAUCUUAGGGGCGUAAGCCUAGCAUGGGCCGAUCCUAAUUUAUCUAAUUACCACUAAUCAGUUGGUCAUGCUGCAGGCACAGGUACUUCAGCUCAUACACCUCAAUUGUAGGAAUGCAGGCUAUUCUGUGCAUAUUGGUGAGCUCCAGGUUGAUUUGGGUAUUUUCGAGUCUAUUCCAUUUGUUUUGGUAUUGUGCAGUAGGUUAAGAGUAGGACGGGGGGAGAGGGGGCUGGGUCUGUCCCGACCCUAACUAAGUCUAGGUAUCUUUUAGAGGCUUUGUAGACUAAUGUAAAGUUAUGGUAGUUUCCUAAUUUUAGACAUGGUGGCCCAUCGGCCAAAUGUUAUGUCACGCCUCAACUCUUGUUGGGGCGGGCAGGCACCCAUAGCUGUAACGGCCCGAGAGAACCUAUUUAUAACCUUGUACUUCCUAUUCAUGUAAUUGUGACAACCAAAUGUUAUGACAACAUGAUAUUAUGUAUCAAUAAAAAUAACUACACAUGCACGCACAAACUGAUAUGUACAACAUUUGGCCGAUGGAGCCACCAUGUCUAAAAUCAGGACACUACCAUAACUUUACAUUAGUCUACAAAGCCCCUAAAAGAUACAUAGACUUAGUUAGGCAUAACUUUACAUUAGUCUACAAAGCCUCCAAAAGAUACAUAAACUUAGUUAGGGUCAGGACAAACCCCCCCAUCCUACUCUUAACCUGCUGCACAAUACCAAAACAUAUGGAACAGACUCGGAAAGCCUCAAAUCAACCUGGAGCUCACCAAUAUGCAUGGAAUAGCUUGCGCUCCUACGAGUAAGGUGUAUGAGCUGAAGUACCUGUGCCUGCAGCAUAAAAUACAGGUCCCCCGUAAGGGACGUCAGUACAAAAAUAUGUACUGCAUAUGUAAGGCUAAAAGUAACAACACAUGGUAUACGAGCUCAAUAAAAAUCAGAUACAAAUGUAUAAGUAGUACUAGUAGACCACCUUUAUAUAAACUUGUGGGACUACAUAUAUUACUUUCCUUUAUUUAUUUUUAGCCAUCUUACUUCAUAAUCUUUGUAAGCCAUAUAUAAUGCAAAUGACCAGCUUAUCAGUGGUAAAUAGAUAAAUUAGGAUUGGCCCAUGCUAGGCUUACGCCCCUGAGCUGCUACCCUACAUAUAAAGAUUGGGAUCGGCCCAUGCUAGGCUUAUGCCCCUGAGCUGCCACCCAAAAAUAAAGGUAUCGAGAUCGGCCCAUGCUAGGCAUGUGCCCCUGAGCUGCCACUCGUCAUUUUACAGAUUUGCACUACUUAGUUUAUUUAGCCUUUGAGAUAGUUACUUUGGUGGUCAUCACAUUAUGGUACCUUGAACUAGUAAUACGCUAAUAAGAGACAUGUAAAUAGACACUUAAUGCAACAACAAUGAGGUAGGGAGCCGUUGGCACACAAAUAAAGUGUUUAGGAGAUGAAAUAACACAUGGGUCUUAUUUGAACAAAUGGAGAACUCCUGAAAUUUUCUAGUGAAGAUAGAUGUGCAAAUUUAAUAAUAAGCACGUAUUGAGGUGUUCUAAUGCGUUAGAGAGUGGGAACAAGGUCAUUGGAUACAUGGAGUGUAAUGUGCUGCCAUUAUGUAGCACUUUGUUAUAGGAUAACCUCGGAAACUUGCUUUAUGGAACAAUUAUACGACUUCAUGCCAAAGAGUGUGAAAUAGAGUAUGCCUUACAUACCUAGUUAUUAGGGUGUUAUUUAACCCUUUUUUUCCUCCAAUUACACCCACAUACAAUUUAGGUUGUUAUAAGGUUCACCAAAACCACCUCGACUUCAUUACACAUUCCAAAUAAUACGCAAAAUAGAUUGGGCAGAAAACAUUAGUUCGGUGGUGUAUCACCAUAUCUUUCUUCUAUCAUUCAUUACAAACUCAUCACACCUUUAUCCAACUUCAACCUGGCAGCCCAUGACAUAAACAUACAAAACAGUCCACAAACAGUCCCAAAUCCCUUUUAUUGUUGCAAUCAAUUAUUGAACUCAUCAUCUCUUGAGUUCUCAAUAACAAGACAUCUAUAAUCCCCUCUCAAAUUCAUAUAUAAGAAAAACAAAAUGGAGCAGUCACCUUACCUCAAUUCAGCAACUUAUUCUUUUAAUUGAACUCUUCAAGAGAUUGAACUUUCCUUCACACUUAAACCAAAGAAGAAGAAAAAAAGGUCCUCAAUAACAGGGAAACGUGAACAAACAGCUUGUUCUUUAAUCAGCCAUAUACUUAUAGUCAAACACUUAUAACUUGUUUUCCUAAUCUUCCAUGAGAUAAUUAAACAAAACCUUAAGUGUUUUUCACUUACCUUGGGCUGCAAAGGUGAGGGCUUCUUCAAGAACCCUAGAAGGAAAAAUAGGGUUGUUGUUCUUGUUGUUUUAGAGAGAGUGGAGAGAUUUGCUGAAAUAUACUCCUUUUUUGUGACUUAACAGUGAAGUAAAAUGACCAGCAACUUGUCCUUUUAAAGGCCCUAUCUUGUCCACCUCCUUCAUAGGUAAGAUCAUCCUUUACUUGUACAUCUUCAAUAGGAGUAAUAUGAGAUGGAUCUCCAAUCCACUUUCGAAGCAUUGAGACGUGAAAUACCGGAUGAACUGUUGAGAACUCUUGGGGUAGCUCCAAUGCAUGAGCGACUUGGCCAAACCUCUGAGCAAUCUGGUAUGGUCCAAUAUAACGUGGACUUAAUUUUCCUUUCUUACCAAAUCUCAUAACCCCCUUCAUUGGUGUUACCUUCAAGAAUACCCAAUCACCUAUAGCAAAUUCUAGCCCCUUCUCCUAAGAUCCGCAUAUGACUUGUGUUUUCUUUGGGGUGUUUCUAGUCGCUGUUGGAUUACUUUAACAUUUUCCAUAGCUUGAUGAACAAGAUCUGGCCCGAAUAAGGCAGUUUCACCCUCUUCAAACCAUCCAAUUGGUGAUCUACACUUUCUUCCAUACAAAGCUUCAUAUGAUGCAAUUUUGAUAGUUGAAUGAUAGCUAUUGUUGUAGGCAAACUCGAUGAGAUCAUCCCAACUACCUUUAAAGUCUAAUACACAAGCUCAUAGCAUAUCUUUAAGUGUUUGAUUGGUACGUUCUGCUUGUCCAUCCGUUUGAGGGUUAAAAGAUGUACUUAGAUUCACUUGUGUCCCCAAAUUUCUCUGAAAAGACUUCCAAAAAUUUGCAGUAAAUUGAGCCCGUCGAUCUGAUAUAAUAGAGAUUGGAACUCCAUGUAGUCGAACUAUCUCCUUAAUAUAUAACUUGGCAUAUUCUUCAAUUGUGUAAGUGGUCCUAACUGGUAGAAAGUGUGCUGACUUGGUAAGCCUAUCAACUAACACCCAUAUGGAAUCAAACCUUCGAAAUGUACGAGGAAAACCAGUGAUGAAAUCUAUGUUGAUCAUGUCCCACUUCCAUAUUGGAAGAUCUAUACAUUACAUAUAACCUUCGGGCUUUUGGUGCUCUACUUUAACUCUUUGACAAUUUGGACAUUCGGCUACAAAUUUUGGAAUGUUCUUCUUCAUGUCACCCCACUAAUACAUCCCUUUCAAAUCAUGGUACAUUUUUGUUGACCCUGGAUAGAUAGAAUACCUUGAAUGAUGUUCUUCUGUCAUAAUCCUUUUUCUUAUCCCGUCUACAUCAGGUACACGCAAUCUGUUUUGGCACCGAAGUACCCCUUCUUGCAUAAGCUCAAAUGCCUUUGUCAUACCACAUUUCACAUUUUCCUUAAGCCGUAAUAGAAUAGGAUCUGCAUAUUGCUUCUCUUUUACUUUAGUUAUUAGUGAAUAUUCUGCUGCAUUCUGCACAAUAAACCAUUCAUCUGGAGUUUCAAGAAGACGAACCCCCAAAUUAGCUAGUUGGUGUAGAUCCUUAGUCAUCCCUUGUCUUUAUAUAGAUGGCUCCACAGCUUUACGACUUAACGCAUCUGCCAACAUGUUUGCUUUUCCUGGAUGAUAUAAGAUAUCAACAUCAUAGUCUUUUAAUAAUUCAAGCCAUCUUUGCCGCCUCAAAUUCAAGUCCUCCUAAUUAAAGAUAUACUACAAACUCUUAGACAACGAGUUAAACCGGAGGCUGUACUCCCUCAUGCUCAUAUUUUCUUGGCAAAGAUUUAGGAACUGAUCCUCACGGGUUUCUCGAAUCUCAAAUAGAAGGUAAUGAUAAAGAAAUGCCUCUUUGAACUCUUUCCAAGUAGCUGAAGGUGCAUCAAUGCCACUAGAUUGUUUCCAAUAUUCAUACCAAAAUAUAGCCUCCCCCUUGAAUCUAUAUGCUGCUAGCUCAACUGUCUCUUUACCUGACACAUGCAUAACAUCUAGAGCCCUUUGUAUUUGAUCAAUAAAGUCCUGUGGGUCUUCAUUAAGAUCUGAGCCAGUGAACAUGGGAGGAUCCAAUUUGAGAAAAUCCUGCGUUCGUAGGCUAGCUGCCCUAUCUGCACCACUAGAACCUGUAGUUGGAAUGGCUUGUCCUUGAGCUUGUCCAGUAACUAUACGAGCCAACAAUUGUACUGCAUUCCUUAGAUCUUGGUCUGUAGCAUUGGUAGGUAUUUCUAAGGAUGCGGUUUUUCUCCUUGUUAGCUCUUCUAGAGAUGGAGGAGUAGAAGAAGUUUGGGACACAAACUCAGCUUGAGCCUCACUUUGAUUAGCUUGUCUAGGUGGUGAUUUACUGGUCCCCUCCCCGACAGCCUCAUCUAUCCGCCUACCUAUAUUCUUACUCCUUCUUGUAACCGUCAUCUUUACUAUAAUUAGAGGAAAAAAAUAGGUUCAAUGUUUAUAUUUAACUUCACCUACAACAUGGGCUCUAUUGCACGAUCUAAGAUAUGAAGAAAAAGAGACAACCCCUAAAUGUCACAUAGCUUCCUAUUUAUAGAUGUGGUGCACAACACACCAAUAAAAAGGACUCUAUAUAAACACAACUUUAUAGACACCCUAGAACGACUGCUCUGAUACCCCUUUUGUCACGCCUCAAAUUCUGUUGGGGCAGACAGGCACCCGUAGCUGUAAAGGCCCGAGAGAACUAAUUCAUAACCUUGUACUUCCCAUGUAUGUUACUGUGACAACCAAAUAUUCUGACAACAUGAUAUUAUAUAUCGAUGAAAAUAACUACACAUGCACGUACAAAUUGAUAUGUACAACAUUUAGUCACCAUGUCUAAAAUCAGGACACUACCAUAACUUUAUAUUAGUCUACAAAGCCUCUAAAAGAUACAUAGACUUAGUUAGGGUUGGGACAAACCCCCCAUCCUACUCUUAACCUACUUCAUAAUACCAAAACAUAUGGAAUAGACUCGAAAAGUCCUGAAUCAACCUGGAGCUCAUCAAUAUGCACGGAAUAUCCUGCGCUCCUAUGAGUGAGGUGUAUGAGCUGAAGUACUUGUUCCUGCAGCAUGAAAUGCAGGUCCCCCGUGAGGGACGUCAGCACGAAAAUAUGUACUGAAUAUGUAAGGCUAAAAGUAACAACACAUGGUACAGAGGUCAGUAAAUCAGAUUCAAGUGUAUAAGUAGUACUAGUAGACCACCUUUAUAUAAACUUGUGGGACUACAUAUAUUACGUUCCUUUCUUUAUUUUUACCCUUCUUACUUCAUAAUAUUUGUAAGCCAUAUGUAAUGUAAUGACCAGCUGAUCAGUGGUAAAUAGAUAAAUUAGGAUCGGCCCAAGCUAGGCUUACGCCUCUGAGCUGCCACCUACAUAUAAAGAUUAGGAUCGUCCUAUGCUAGGCUUAUGCCCCUGAGCUGCCACCCACAAAUAAAGGUAUCGAGAUCAGCCCAUGCUAGGUAAGUGCCCCUGAGCGGCUCGUCAUUUUACAGAUUUGCAUUACUUAGUUUAUUUAGCCUUUGAUAUUGUUACUUUGGUGGUCAUCACAUUAUGGUACCUUGAACAAAUAAUACGCUAAUAAGAGACAAGUAAAUAGACACUUAAUGCAACAACAAUGAGGUAGGGAGUCGUUGGCACACAAAUAAAGUGUUUAGGAGCUGAAAUAACACAUGGGUCUUAUUUGAACAAACGGAGAAAUCCUGAAAUUUUCUAGUGAAGAUUGACACGCAGAUUUAAUAAUAAGCACGUAUUGAGGUGUUCUAAUGCGUUAGAGAGUGGGAACAAGGUCAUUGGAUAUAUGGAGUGUAAUGUGCUGCCAUUAUGUAUCACUUUGUUAUAGGAUAACCUCGGAAACUUUCUUGAUGGAACAAUUGUACGACUUUAUGCAAAAGAGUGUGAAAUAGAGUAUGCCUUACAUACCUGGUUAUUUGACUCCGAAAAUAACCCGACUUGACUUCCCACCUUUUAGAUUACUUAUCUACAAUAAAAUAUAUGGUAAACUGGUAUUUGUAACCAAUUAAUACAUUUGAGAUACUUAAUUUCACCCAAAACAGUAAUCGGGCAGCAACUACUAAUCUAUCAAACAAGGGUGCUAUUUUAACCCUUUUUUUCCUCCAAUUACACCCACAUACCAUUUUGGUUCUUAUAAGGUUCACCAAAACCAUCUCGACUUCAUUAAACAUUCCAAACAAUACGCAAAAUAGAUUGGGCAGCAAACAUUAGUUCGGUGGUGUAUCACCACAUCUUUCUUCUAUAAUUCAUUACAAACUCAUCACACCUUUAUCCAACUUCAACCUGGAAGCCCAUGACAUAUACAUACAAAAAAGUCCCAACUCCCUUUUAUUGUAGCAUUCAAUUAUUGAACUCAUCAUCUCUUGAGUUCUCAAAACAAGACAUCCAUAAUCCCCUCUCAAAUUCAUAUAUAAGAAAAACAAAAUGGAGCAGUCACCUUAACUCAAUUCAGCAACUUAUUCUUUUAAUUGAACUCUUCAAGAGCUUGAGCUUUCCUUCACACUUAAACCAAAGAAGAAGAAUAAAAGUUCCUCAAUAACAAGGAAACGUGAACAAACAGCUUAUUCUAUAAUCAGCCAUAUACUUAUAGUCAAACACUUAUAACUUAUUUUCCUAAUCUUCCAUGAGAUAAUUAAACAAAACCUUAAGUGUUUUUCACUUACCUUGGGCUACAAAGGUGAGGGUUUCUUCAAGAACCCUAGAAGGAAAAAUAGGGCUUCUGUUCUUGUUGUUUUAGACAGAGUAGAGAGAUUUGCUGAAAUAUACUUCUUUUUGUGACUUAAAAGUGAAGUAAAAUGACCAGCAACUUGGCCUUUUAAAGGCCCUAUCUUUUCCACCUCCUUGGCUGCAUUUUGGACCAUAAAAUUGGUGAAAUUGGUCCAAGUAGGUGAUGCACCUACUUAAGGGUCCAAGAUGCUGAAACUUCAAAGUAGGUGAUGCACCUACUUGCUUAAUUUGUUGGAGGGCUCAAUUAUAUUUGGGCCUUGGCAAAUUGGUGUGCUGGACCACUUAUCCAUUUUCUUUCUCUUUUGUUCAAUUUGGCCCAAAUGAGUAUAUUAGCAUAGACCCAAAUCUGAUCCAUAGCCAUGGGUCCAUUAAUUUGGUCCAAACAACUUAAGUAGGUGACUCACCUACUGGCUUAAAUAAGUCAAGAAAUCACCUCAAUAUUUUGAUCCAUUUUCAGCUCCUAAUCGCUUUAAUCUAACCUUCAACUUAUACACACUUGGUCACUUUAAACUUUAGAUUCAAAUACUAGCUUACGAUUCUAAGUUUAAAUAGUUAUCUUAACAUUAACUUAGUCGCAUCACAUUAAACUGUAUGGGCAGCAUCUAUAAUUCUAUACCAUUAAUACUUCCAUAACAAUUCUCAUAUGUUAUAUAUGUCAAAAGGCUAUACCAAGUUCCAUAUAAUUAGAACAAGUACAAGCAAAAUACGGGAUGUUACAAAUUGAUGGCAUUAUUAUUGGUUUGAGCGUUUGAAGCCUCAGGUUCCAUUGUGGUGGUAUCAAAAAUAACCCUUCAAGUUACGGUCCAAUCAAGAUACCAAAUCAGUCCGCAAUGUCACACACAACAAUACAAUGCAAAACCUACAACACAAAACACAUGUUAUUUCAAAACAACCCCCACAAUGAGAUCCCACCUUCAAGUUUCUUCAAACUCAAGCUCAACAUUGGUGGAUGGCUCAAAUAACCUCCAAUUUGGCUCAAAUCUAAACCCUAUACAUCUAUAGUGUUAGAGAACACAAAUCUAACACUAAAAACACAAGAAAAAUGCGAAAUCAAAAACUCAAAAUUUGACCUAGGUUCAAAAACGGAUUUAGUAUAUUUUUAGGGGAUUUUCGAUUUUGACACUUCUUUUUUUGUUGGAAUUUUCAAUUUUUAUAAUUUAAUAGUGUUAGGGAACAAUAUCUAACACUAGAAACACACAAAAAUCAAGUUUUUUGAAAGACCUUAAAAUGUGAACAGUAACUUUUUUUUUUCAAGAUAACAAUUCCAAGAUUGAUUUUGUUGGAACAAAAUCAAACCUUGCUCUGAUACCAAAUGAUAUGGAACAAACAAGGAAGCAUGAAAUCACACCCCAAAAAAGUCCACAAAUCACAACAAAUCGUUGAUCAAAUGGGGACGUCUCUCGGAUUCACCAUCUAGAACAAGAAAGAAGAGGAUACAAGGUAUUAAUACACCAAAACAGCCAGCCAACAACAAGUUUUGCAACACAAGAUGAAGCUCCACAAUAUUACAAUAGCAACAAGAACAAACGGGUUAUAUUAACAACACAAGAAGUCAAAACUAAAACAAGAUACAAGAUAUGUAGUUAGACAAGUGUUGAUGUAGUCUUAACAACCCAAGAGCAUAUUCCACUCUUGGACCUUUAAAACUUCACACAACAAACACCUAACUCUUACAAUUGAAACAAGAGAGGCAUCCACCACCCAAGCACCAACGUAUCAAGCAAAAUGCAACACACAAGAGAAUCCCUCCUUAUGUUACGCCCUAGUUUCAAUUGGACUAUCUCUCACUCUAAGAGAAGUAUUCUUCAAUAAUAAUGAUCAAAUAAAGAAAUAAACUCUACAAUGUUCUAUUUAUACUACAUUACAAUAAUAGAUAAAAUGACAAAAGGGCCCUUUAGUGACUAGUCUUCAAAAAUACUCAAAAGUGUCAUGAUCAUGAUCAUACUUGUAUCAGAUAAGGUUAUGAAUGUGAUUGAAUAUGAUAUAUAUUGACUUGUUGGUGAAUGAUGAUACUUACCCAUACUAGUAUUCCAACCUCUAGCCGUCUCCAAAUGCUAUGUCUCCAUGUGACAUAGGGGUUGAAGCAUUAUAUUCUCUUUUUGUGCUAUGAUUAGGUGAUCGAAGUGGUUUGUGCAUUGACUAUUGAGUGGUGAGCCUCCUUAUUUUGGAAGAUAUUCAUUCCUGGGCUCCUACCUUUAGACUUAGUCUUAUUUUGACUUUGUUCGACUAUUGUUGAGGGCAUGUCCCGACCUAUAAAUUUCUAAACUUCAGUUUGUAUAGAGGUAUUAUUGAUGACAGUGGACUUGGGAAUAUUUGUUAGUAUGAUGAAUCUAAUUAAGUGUUUAGACUUGUUUAUGUUAUGACUUAAAGUAUGUUUUCUGCUAUCUCAUUAUAUAGAUAGGAUUCACCCAAAUGAUGUGAUGAUUGUGAUGGGUUAUUGGGGUGACCUCUGAUUCAUAUGGGAUUGAGGUGCUCCUAUGACAUUGCCCAGUUUUGGGGCAUGUCAAGUUGGUAUUAGAGCCUAGGUUCAUGGUUAGUUGGGUGUCCACAAUAUCCUAUCAAGUACCUUUAUGGGCAUGAAAUACACCACACUUAUAAAAAGAGAGUUAUGUGGCAUCUUAGAAAAAUGUUUCACUUUCAUGUGUUUCAAUCUCAAGCUAUAGAGUAUGAGGUAUUGGAUUCCUCUGAUUUCUAUUUGCUAUCUUUAAGAUCAUGCCUCCAAGGAGAUCUAAGACUCAGGCAAACCCUUUUGAGAACCCUAUGGAAGAAGCUUAUCCAACUUUUGGAGUUUGGACCCGGGCUAAGGCUGUGGCAUCCAACCAUCUUUGUGGUAUUCCACCUGUCCCCACCAACCUUAACUAUGAGAGUGACCCUCCUAUUCUGUCACAUUAAGGGGAUGCUACUAAUGUUGAGUUUAGUCACAUCAAGGGGAUACCUUUCUCUACUCUCUAUUUUCUUUGGAUAAUAAGUAUGCUAUUGUAGAGAGUACGACAUUUAGUUUGCAUAGAGACCAUGGGAAAGGGGAGUUUUUUCUAGACCCGUGUCUAUGGCCACUCUUCCCAUUUAACCUCGGUGCCAAAUAUAGAUUUUUUGAUAAUGGGGCACCCAACUUGUUGCUUGGUUUACAUGAAAAGCAAAGUAUCACUUUUGGUAAAUUCCAUAACCAAAUCCUUUGUUCAUUUUUCAUUAAUUAUUUAAUAUUUAGUUCAAGGGAUCCUUGUUUAUAUUCUAAGUAUGUUCAACCUUGGAAUGUUGAGGUGAUUUGUCGUGCUAACCCUAACCCUCAUUCCAUGAGGAGUUUGUAUUUGUGUGUCCUUUCUUUGGUUUUGCAAGGUUUGGAUUCGAGGUAGGAUCCUUUUCAAGAUGGGGAGGAUGAUACGAGUCAAACGGCCACCUUAGCUUUUGAUGACAUCUUUGAACGCCAACACGUAAAGGAUCAAGACUUGGUCACCCCGAGAGCACAAGGAUAUGCAAGGAAGGAUCAUUUUGAGCACGACUUAAAGCAAUCUCAUGUGUGGAAGGUUGCUUGGUUGCUUACAUUAAUGCUAACCUGAAAACCACAAGCCUUGAAUUAUGAACCGUACUCGAUUUUUGAGAGCAUUGAAAAGGCGCCAUUCAUUCAAGUUAUAAUAUACCCUGGCUUCCCCUUUAUUAAGGGUAUUUUAUACAUUGUUAUGGUGUAUUUACACACCAUGGCAACCCUUCUCAUUAAGGGCAAAGUGGUCUUUUUAUCUUCAUUUGUAAUAUAUUAUAAAUAGUCCCCUUUAGUCUUAUUUUCACUAGUCUUUACAAGAUUGAAAGAUUGAAACACAAAUCCUUUCUCUUGAGAGUUAAACACUUUAGGUAGUCUUAGUUUAGGGCUUGGAAAAGCUAAUAUUGAUCUUUGCUUGGAAAUGGUGAAUCUUGAGGUGAGUUGAUUCCCUUGGCAGUCACCAUAAGAGUGUGGUUUGGAUUAUUACAUUCAUUAGGGGGUUUUUGAGUUUAAUACACUCUUUAGUUCUUAAUAUUAUAAUAAUCUUGGUCUCACUAUCUAUCCUUUACUUUUGUUGUUGUUAUCUUGUGUAGUGGACUAUUUUGGGUCCUUUAUUGAAUCCGAAACUUGUGUUAUUGUUUUUCAUCUUUUUCAUCACAUUUUGUAGAUGUUUUUUGGUGAUAUAUACAUCAUUGUAUCUUGUAUUCUUCUUGUUGAUAGCGAAUUCGACAGCGGUCUCCAAAAAGGUCCUCGGAUCCUUAAGAUUUGCGGACUGUUUUGGAGUUGUUUCGUGUUCUCCUUGUUUGUCUCGUAUCAUAAGGAAAGGUUCAUUUCUUAUAUAAAGGACCAAAAGUUGAUUUCAAAGGGAUGUUUGUAUCAUUCGGUCAGAGUUAAAGACUCUAACUCUAAAGAUCCUUCUCUAGAAUCUGUUCCCAUGGUUAAUGAGUUUCUUAAGGUAUUUAUCGUUGAUCUUCCCAUAGUUCCUCCCAAUAGAAAAAUUGAUUUUGGAAUUGAUCUUAUUUCGGACACUCAUCCGAUUUCUAUCCCUCCUUAUAGAAUGGCUCUGGCAGAGCUAAAAGAUCUGAUACGGGUACGACCACGAAGGUGGGUGAGUGCAAGAGUGAAUUGACCCAAUACUUGGAGUAUACACGUGAAGUACAAAGGAAGGCCUAAAUAGGCUCCAAAAUCAGUCCACAUAAUGUACUCCAAGGGAGCCCAAUUGAAGACUUUGACUAAGGGGUCAUUUUGGACAUUUUACACUAUUCUUGUAAUACACUAUAAAUAUAACCUUCUAGGGUUUCAUUCAUUAGAAUUGGCUGAAUAUUGAUGUUGUAUCACACUUACAAACAUUUCUCUCUUAUGAGAAAGGCUCCCAUAGCCGAAAUCCAUGUAACUAGGAUUUUCAACUUGAGGGUGGAAUCUCUCGUGUUGGAUUUAUGCUUGAAAACGUUGGGUGCAUUGAGAGAUCAAGGUCCCUCUUAUUCCUACGUAAGAGAUAGAUUAUUUUUGUGUGAAGUAUUAAAGGUCCAAGAGUGUAACAAUUUUUGGGUUGUUAAUAUUAUUGCCUCAUUUGGUCUAUCUAUCUAUCUUUACAUUUCAGAUUUGUAUUGGACUGUUUUGUGUCUUUGUUAAAUCUGAAUUUUGUAAUCAUUGUGUUCAUCUUGUUCAUUGUGUAUUGUGGCUGUUUUGGUGUUGAAAACACACCUCUUUAUUUUGUUAUUGUGUGGUUGUAGAGAAUCCGAGAGUGGUCUCCAUCUUGGUCCUCAAAUUCUUAAGAUUAGUGGACUGUUUUGGAGUUGUUUCGUAUUUCUCUUGUUUUUCCCACAUCAUUUGGAGUUGACUCGUGUGACACCUUUCUUUAUCCUCUUUGUGCUCAUGAUAUUUUCCACAGGGAUAUGGAGGGUAUGCCUAAUUUUGAAAACGACACCUUAGGGGAAAGAGAGAGUGGCCGAGGCCUAAGUCCUUGGUUACUCUACCAUUUGAUCCCGGUACCAUCUUAGGGUGGGAAAGGAUUACUCUUGGCCUAUUUUCCUUUUGUCUUGAUGCGUGCCUGAGCCACCUCCUUUGUAGCAUUUGUACUAACUUUUCAUGAUUAAAACAAAGGACUCGUGGCUAUACUUUAAGUUUAUUUCACCUCGGCAUGGCAUAUUGAUGUGUUAUUUUUUACUAACCCUAACACCUCGUGUCAUGAGGAUGUGUGCUUAUUUGCCUUCUCUUGAUUUUGUAAGGUACAGAUUCAAGGUCGAAUCCUUUUUAAGAAGGAGAGGAUGAUAUAAGUACGACUACGAGGAUGGACGUGUGAAAGUGUAAUAAACUCGAGGCUUGGAGUGUUCAAGAAAAAUGCAAAAGAGGGCCUAAACACACACACCAAAAUUGAACCUACACUACACUCCAUGGACGACAUUUUGAGGCUUUUUAUUAAAGGGCCUUUUGGUCAUUUUGUAUUCUAGUUGUAACCUAGUAUAAAUAGAACAUUGUAGGUCAUUUUUGUCUUAGACUUUGAUUAUAUUAUAAGUUGUAUAACACUUUGAAAGACAAGUCCUCUCUUCUCAUUAGGAGGCAACCUGAAACUAGGGUGAUACUAGUGUGGAAUCACUAGUGUUGUAUUUAUGGCUUGAGACGUUAGUGUUUAAAGGAGGUAAAGUCCCUCUUGUGUCAACGUAGGAGUUAGGUUAACCGUUUGUGUAGCAUUAAGGGUUCAACAGUAUCACAUGUUCUUGGGUUCUUAAGAUUAAACCAACCAAGAUCUAACUAUCUAUCCCUUUUGUUUAUUGUAAUCUUGUAACCGUUUGUGUAUCUUGUAAUCUUCAACCCGUGAGUUGUUGUCUCUUGUUGUUAUUGUUCUUAUCAUAUUGUUCUCAUCUUAUUGUUGUUUUGGCUGUUUUAGUGUUGAAAACACACCUUUCUAUCUUAUCAUUGUGUGUUGUAGUGAAUUCGAGAGUUGGUCUCCAAUAGGUCCUCGAGUCUUGUGAUUUGUGGACUGUUUGGAGUGUAAUUUCAUGUAUCCCUUGAUUUUCUUGUAUCAAGAUCUUAAGGAGGAAUUGAAAGACCUCUUAGAUACAGGUUUUAUCUACCCUAUUGUGUCUCUGUGGGGUGUCCCAUAUUUAUUGUGUGCAAUAAGGAUGGUUCCCUUCAUAUGUGCUCAUUAUCGCUAGUUGAACAAAGUGACCGUAAGUAAUAAAUAUCCUCUUCCUUGGAUCAAUGAUUUGCUUGAUCAACUUUAGGGUGCGAUGUAUUUUUCUAAGAUUGAUCUUAGAUUAGGUUAUAAUCACGUUAAUAUUAGGGAUGCAUAUAUCCCAAAGAUGGUCUUUAGAACCCGGUAUAGUCACUAUGAGUUUUUUGUCAUGUCUUUUGGGUUGAGGCAUUUAUAGACUUGAUAAAUAUGGUCUUCCAUCUGUUCUUGGACAUGUUUGUCAUAGUCUUCAUUGAUGAUAUCUUAUUAUAUUCUAAGAGUGAGGCGAAUCAUGUAGAUUAUCUCCGUGUCAUGUUGCAAACUUUAAAGGAUCAUUGUUUUUAAGCCAAGUUCUCUAAGUGUGAGUUUUGGUUGAAAGUCGUAGCUUUUCUUGGUCAUGUUAUCGCUAGUGAAGGGAUCAUGGUAGAUCCCCAAAAAGUUGUGGUGGUUAAGAAGUGGACUAGACCUACAACUCUAACCGAUAUUCUAAACUUCUUGGGUCUAGCCAGUUACUAUAGUAGAUUUGUGGAGAGUUUCUUAACUAUAGAUGACCCAUUGACCAAAUUGACCUAAAAUAAGGUCAAAUUUUUAUGGUCUGAUGCGUGCGAUGGUAGUUUUGAGAAGUUGAAAGGUAAAUUACUUUGGCUCCAGUUUUAACCUUGCCCGAGGGUAGUGAUGGUUUUGUAGUUUAUUUUUAUUCUUCUCGUGUUGGUCUUGGUUGCGUGUUGAUACAACAUGGUAGGGUGGUGGCCUAUGCUUCUAGGCAAUUGAAAGUUCAUGAGAAGAACUGCCCUACUCAUGACUUAGAGUUGGUAGCCGUGGUCUUUGCAUUAAAGAAGUGGAGACAUUGACUAUAUUGGGUUCAUGUUGAUAUUAUUUCCGUUCAUAAGAGCCUCCAAUAUGUGUUUACCCAAAAGGAGUUGAAUCUCUGGCAAAUAAAGCGGCUUGAACUAUUGAAAGAUUAUGAUAUAAGUCUUCAUUACCAUCCCGGUAAGGCAAAUGUAAUUUCUGAUGCUCUUAGUAGAUUGUCCAUGGGGAGUUGGCCCGUGUAGAUGAGGAUAAGUGGGAAUUGGUGAAAUAAAUUCAUCAUUUCGCUAAUCUUUAAGUUUGACUUGUAGACUUUGAGGAUGGUGGUGUAUGUAUUUGUGCUUUUGGUAUCUCAGUCAUCUCUUGUUGUGGAGAUAAAGGAAAAGAAAGCAUUUGACCGUAACUUGAUGAAGAUCAAAAGUAAUGUGGGUCAACACAAGGUUACGAACUUUUUGAUUUAUGGAGAUGGUAUCUUGAGAUACCAAGGUAGGUAUUUCAAACGUCAAUAGAUUGAGGGAAAGGGUCAUGGCCGAGGCUCAUAGAUCCCGUUAUGGCAUUCAUCCCGAUUUCUCCAAGAUUUAUCAUGAUCUUAGAGAGUUUUAUUGGUGGGGUAAUAUGAAUUGUGAUAUGCCUAGUUUUGUGGCAAGUGUAUGGUGUGUCAACAAGUGAAAGUUGAGCACAUGAGGCCCGAGGUCUUGUAUCAAGAGAUCCCAUUUCCCAAAUACAAGCGGGAGGCAAUUAAUAUGGAUUUCGUUACUGGUCUUCUUAGAUCCUAGAAUCAAUGUGAAUCUAUUUGGGUCAUUAUUGAUAGUAUGACCAAGUCCGUUCACUUUUUACCCGUGAGGACUAAUUUCUCAGUGGAAAAUUAUGCUAAGUUGUAUUGUAGAGAUCGUGAAGUUGCAUAGUGCUCUAGUUUCUAUCUUUUUAGAUUAUGGUCCUCCAUUUUCAUCCCACUUUUGGAAGUCAUUCCAAAAAGGCUUGGGUACUAGAUUGUGCCUUAGUACCACGUUCCACCUACAAAUGGAUCGAUAAGUGGAAAGGACUAUCCAAACAUUAGAGGGUAUGUUACAGAAAUGAUACCAAAUGAUAUAGGAAUGACAACGGAAACACGAAAUCACACUCCAAAUUAGUCCACUAAUCUUAAGUAUUUGAGGACCAAGAUGGAGACCACACUCGGAUUCGCUACCAAUAACAAGAAUACAAAUACAAGGGUGUAUUUCAACACCAGAACAGCUAUAAAACGUGCUGAACAAUAUCAACAGCAAUAACACAAUUUUUAGUUUCAAUAAAUGACCCAAAACAGUCCACUACACAAGAUAACAACAACGAAAGUAAAGGAUAGAUAGUGAGACCAAGAUUAUUACAAUAUUAAUAACUAAAGAGUGUAUUAAACUCAAAAACCCCUAAUGAAUGUAAUAAUCAAAACCACUCUCUUAUGGUAACCGCCAAGGGAAUCAACUCACCUCAAGAUCCACCGUUUCUAAGCAAAGAACAAUGUUAGCUUUUCCAAGCCCUAUACUAGAACUACACUAAGUUGGUCUACCCUCAAGAGAGAGGAUUUUAAGUGUUUCAAUAUUUCAUCUUUCAUAAACUAGUGAAAAGACUAAAGGGGGCUAUUUAUAAUAUAUUAUAAAUGAAGAUAAAAAUACCACUUUACCCUUAAUGAGAGGGGCUGCCAUGGUGUGUAAAUACACUAUAUGUAAUGUAUAAAAUACACUUAAUGAAGGGGCAGCCAAGGUAUGUUAUAACUUGAAUGAAUGGCGCCUUUUCAAUGCUCUCAAAAACUGACUAUGGUUCAUACUUUAAGGCUUAUGGUUCUUGGUUUAGCAUCAAUGUAAGCAAUCAAGCAACCUUCUACACACGAGAUUGCUUUAAGUCAUGCUCAAAAUGAUCCUUCCUUGCAUAUCCUUAUUCUCUCGGGGUGACCAAGUCUUAAGUUUUUACGUGUUGGCCUUCAAAGAUGUCAUCAAAAGCUAAGGUGGCCAUUUGACUCAUAUCAGUAUGUUACGGGCUUAUGUGAUUAAUUAUGAUGGUGGUUGGUAUGACCGAUUGCCUUUGAUUGAGUUCACCUAUAAUAAUAGUUACUACUCUAGGAUUAACAUGGUGACUUUUGAAGCAUUGUAUGGUAGGAGAUGUCGAUUCUGAUUAGGUGGUAUUAGGUUGGAGAGGGUAAAUUACUUUUCCCCGAUUUAGUCCACCAAGCCUUAGAGAAGGUGAAGGUGAUUUGUGAUAGAUUGAAAACUGCUUAAAGUCAUCAAAAGUCCUAUAUGGAUGUGAGGUGAAUGGACUUAGAGUUUAUUGUUGACGAUUAGGUAUUUUUGAGAGUGUCUCCCAUGAAAGGAGUGAUGCAAUUUGAUAAAAAGGGAAUCUUAGUCCCUAAUAUGUUGGGCCCCACUUGAUCGUGAAGAGGGUUGGCAAUGUGCUACCUAUAAGGUGGAGUUACCUUCUAGUAUGAACUCCAUUCACUUAGUUUUCCAUGUCUCUAUGUUGAAGAAAUGUGUGGGUGAUCCUUCGUUGGUUUUCCCCUUGAGAGAUGUUGAUAUGUUAGACUUUUUGUCCUAUGAGAAGAUCCCGAUGAGGAUCUUGGAUUGGAAAGUUCGCAAGUUAUGAAUGAAAGAAGUGUCUUUGGUGAAAGUUCUAUGAAGGAACAAAAAGUCCAAGGAAGCUACUUGGGAAGCGAAAGAGAACAUGAAGGCCAAAUACCAACAUUUGUCUCCUAUUCUAGAAACUUGGGAUGAAGAUAUGUGUUGAUCUCCUUUCUUUGAUUUGUGUCUUUGCUAGAUAGUAGGUUAAAGUCCCCAAUGGGUAAAGUUAAUUUGUGUCUUAUUAGACGAUGGGUUCAAGUCCCUAAUGCUUUGAAACUGUAUAUGUCCUUGUUGUGAUGGGUUUAAGUCCCUAGUAUCUUGAGUUGAUUCAUGUCUUUGGUAAAUGAUGGGUUCGAGUCCCUAAUCCUUGAUUUGAGAAAGUAUACUUGAUAAGUUGAUGGGUUGAAGUCCCUAAGUUGUGAAAUGCAUAAGUUUUGAUAAGCAAAGGUUUAAGUCCCUAAGAUUUGAAAUGAACAAGUGUCUUGAUAAAUAAUGGGUUUGAGUCCCAAAGACGAUGACGUGAAUUAUUGAUUGAUAAUGAGCAUGAUGUGUGUUAUAUCCUUGUUGUGUGCUUAUUCUAACAUGUUUGAAGGAUGUUUUGAUAUGUGAUAAUGUGUUGCCCUGUGUUUAUUGCUUGCCUUACCCCUUAUUCGAGGAUGAAUGAUCCAAGUAGGGGAGAAUUGAAACACCUAUACUUUGAACCAUUGAAAAACUUUAUCUUUUGGUGUCAGUGGGGUGUGUACAACUAGGGGCUUGAGUCGUACCCCUUGGAUACAAGUCAUAUCCUUCUUUUGCUCCCCUUUCGUAUCCUACGCCAGGUGAGGGUCACUCACUGUCCUAGGUCUAAGUGACCCUCCCCUUAAUUAUACCUAAGGGUAUGAGUCGCACCUAGGUGAGUCGUAUGGGGUGAGGUCUUUACUUGGAGUGGACUGAUUUUGUUACGAGUGGAGAAUACGAGUUAGGGUUGAGUCGUACACUUUGUAUAUGACUCAUGGGUGUAUGGUCGUAUCUUUAACAGUGUAUGUGUAACCUAGGAGAAGCCUAGGGUAUGAGUCAGGGUACGACUUGUACCCUAGGAUACGACUACAUAAGUGAGUCGUACCCCUGGAUGGGUUCAAUUUUCAGCUUUUAACUAAGGGCCUUGUAGUCAUUUCCCAUUUCAAAACCCUAAUCCCUUUUACUAUAUAAGUGAGUGUAGCCUCCUAAACAUCUAUUUUUAUGUAUCAAACACCCUAAACACUCUCAAACUCAUCUUUGAAGAAUUAGAGGCUAGGAUCUGAAUAGCAGUCCUCAAGAGGCAAAAGGGAGUCAAUAUUCUUGGUGAUUCAUCAUGUUUAAGGCAAGUACCUCUUCCCCUUGAUAAAUAACUCUAAACCCAUGUAUUUCACAAUUGAAUUAGUAAGUGUACAUGGUGGUUUUGAAACCAAAUGAAAAGGGUUUCGUUGCCUAAUGAUGUAUAUUGAUGAUUCUUCAUUAGACUUGUGUUUAUACAUGUUAUUGAUGGUAGUUUCAGCACGUGAAUGCUUGUUGUAUGUUGUCUAACAUAGGGUUCUUCAGUAACCCUAGUCUUGAUGAUUUCUACCAUGAAAUUGGCCUUGGUAAAAGCAUGUACACAAGGUAUUUAUGAAAAUGUCUAACUGAGAGGUCUAGUUACAUGAGGAUGAUGCUUUGAACUAGGGAAAUGGCCCAAUAUUGUGUAAUGGAUGACCUUGAUGGUUUGAUGAAUAAGAAGGGGGUUAAAGUUCCUAGCAUAAAAAUGAACUUGAAUUGUAUAUUGAACUAAAUUUUGGUAUAGAAUUGAUAAUGAAGGGUGAAUGGCUUGUAAGGGUCUUGAGGACCAUAGUUUGACUUGUAUGAUGAGUUAAUUUAAGGCAUUGACCUAUUGAAAUAGUUGAGCAAUGAAGGCUCCCAUGAAGACCAUGUGGUCUAGUAUGGUGUUGAAUUGGCUAAAUUGGUUAAAGUACUUAUGUGUAGAAUUGAAUGUACGUGGAUGCAUGGACAAUAUGUUAGAGUCCCAAUGUAGACUAAUGAAGUCGUGAUGGAUUGUGGUUAAAGUCCCUUGCAUAAUGAGAUCUCAUUAGGUUUAAGUACCUCGCUAAAUGAAUUGGCUUAGGGUUAGGGACAAACAAGAGAACAUAAAACAACUCCAAAACAGUCCACUAAUCUUAAGGAUUUGAGGACCCUUUUGAAGACCACUCUCGGAUUCACUAUCAACAACACAACAACAAGAUAAAGGGGUGUAUUUUAAACACCAAAACAGACACAAUAUAAGAUGAACAAGAUGAAUACAAUGGUUACAAAAUUCGGAUUCAACAAGUCACAAAAAUAGUCCACUAUGAAUCUUCAAAAUGCAAUAAGAUAAAGAUAGGUAGAUAGACCAAAUGAGGGAAUAAUAUUAACAACCCAAGACUUGAUACACUCUUGGACCUUUCAACUGUACACAACACAAACCUAUCUCUUACAUUGGUACAAGAGUGACCUCGAACUCCCAAGCAUCCAACGUUUCCAAGCUUGAAUCCAACACGAGUGAUUCCACACUCAAGUUGAUUUCCCUAGUUACAAGUUUCAGAUUUGUGGUCUUCUCUCCUUAGAGAGGAAAUGUUUCUAAGUCUUAUACAACAUCCAUAUUCAGCAAAGUCUCCCUAACAAAUGACCUAAAAGGCUCCUUAUAUAGUAGUUUACAAACAAGGUGUGAAAUGUCCAAAAUGACCCCUUAGUCUCAAGUCUUCAAGUGGGUGCCCUUGGUGAGCAUUAUAUGGACGGUUUUGGACCCUUUUUAAGUCCUCAUUUGCACUUCACUUUCACACUCCACGUCUCGAGUUCUAUACAUCUCACAAACUGCAUCCUCAUGGUCGUACCCAUAUCAUCCUCUCCUUCUUGAAAAGGAUUCGACCUCAAAUCCAUGCCUUGUAAAAUCAAGAGAAGAUAAACAAGCACACAUCCUCAUGACAUGAGGGUUAGGGUUAGCAAAAUACACAUAUCAAUAUGCCUUGCCGAGGGGGAACAAACUUGAAGUACAUCCAUGGAUCCUUUAUGUUGAACAUAAAAAACUUAGUACAAAUGUCACAAAGGAAAUGGCUAUGACGAACAUCAAUAAAUAAUGAGCAUGGGCCGAGACAAAUCCUAACAUACCCUAAGAUGGUACCGGGAUCAAAUGGGAGCAGGGACAUAGGUUUCGACCACUCUCACUUUCCCCUAAGGUAUCAUCCUCAAAAUUAGGCAUACCCUGUAGAUCAUUAGUGAAAAUAUCAUGAGCACAAAGAGGGUAGAGAAAGGUGUCACACAAGCUAACUUCCUCUAUGGUGUCCUUUAUGCAUGUACUCACUAGCUUUAAGUCCAUCACCACUAGUAUGCUCAACAUAGGGAACACAUAAAGAAGAAGUAGAUGGAAUUUCUAAGCAUGCAACACCUUUUAUUUCAAGAGAAUAAUCCCCACAUAGAUAUAAAUCACCAUGGGCAGCAAAUGAACACAAAAACAUUUGCACAAGAACAAUCACAUUUCGGGUGUCCCAAGUAAUCAAGCAAAUCAUGGUCAUCUUCACCUGAUUGAAUAUUCCUUUUCAAGACUACACAUUCUCUAUCCUUAAGAGUACUCUCAUCUUCCAAGAAGAGAUUUCCAUCUUGAGGAGGAAUGUUGUCACAUCAUAGUGGGUUAGCAUAUAGUCUAUAGCUUCCAAGACAAGCUAUGCCAUCAAUAUCACUUGCACCACUAGGUUCAUUAGGAGUAAAUAAAAUAUCUUCAAACAAGACAUUAUGCCUAGAGAGUAAAUUAUUUAACCCACGGAUAGAUUUGGAACUUUCACUCUCUAAGGAAUCAUUAUCAAGUUUCAAAGAUAUGUCAAGAACAUGAUUAACCCUAUAAGCCAAACAAACAUUAGCAUCUUUACAACAACAUAGGUUCAUAGGUUCACUCCUUUUUCCUUGGCCAACAUCUUUAAAUCCUUCACUAACUUGAGAUUCAUUAAUCACAUCACACAUAUCCUCAAGUGGUGGGCAAGUUUUACUCACAAGUUGGGCAACAACUUUCUCCGGGAAGCUCUCAAUGCAAGGUUCUUGGACAAUUGGAUUUUGUGGGUAGAGUUUGGGUAGCAAUUGGCGUAUAAUUUCAAUGUGCCGUUUCAUAUCUUCAAUAUUGUCAGUGAUACAAUCACAUGUGGCAUUGAAAUUAUGGGCAACCAUUGCAACUAACAAAAAGACACAGCAAACAAACUUGUUAGAUCAAAAAUGCCUCACCACACUCUCACUCUCAGUUUUACCUCACACUUGGUUUCAUAAGUUUUGAAAGCCGGCUUGUACUUCGUGAGUGAUUGAGUGACGAGUCUACUCUUAUCCCGGAAUGGAUGUUUAUUUGAAACUCAAACAAAAUCUUGUAGGACUUGAGUCAAGAACUAACAACGAAUUCAAAAAGAUUUUGUACACAACAAACAUAAACACGAACAAACGGAUACAAAACUAACUUACAAGCUAGUAGGAGAUUAGUAGGUUGUCAAUUAGUGUUCGAACCAACAAACGAACUAUGUGACAAUAAUUGAAACUAAGAAAUCUAAAAUUUGAGCCAAAAUUGUUACAUGAACAGUAAAAAAUAAUGAUGUGGCAGUCACGUAUUGGUUGCGGUUUCUCAAUUUUAUAUUUCAAUUUCAAGUCUUGGUUCCAUUGUAAUUUGGGAAGGAUGACAAUUGGUUUUGGAGGAAAAACACAAGUCUUGAAUAUCUACAAGUCCACUCUUAAAAGGAUGAAUUUUGUCUUGUACUAGUCCCACAAGACAAGGUUCUUGAAAUAAGAAAAAGUAGUUUGUCCCAAAACACAAGGUUCUUGAAAUAAGAAAAAGCUGAAAAGUAGAAGUCUAAUCUAGGGAGUACUGGGAAAUGGUUGAUAAAGUCUUUUGUGGUUGUAGGAAAAGUCUUUGAGCCACAAGUCUUACACCUUAAAUCUUAGAUUUAUGCCUUGCAAGACUAACAUCAANNNNNNNNNNNNNNNNNNNNNNNNNNNNNNNNNNNNNNNNNNNNNNNNNNNNNNNNNNNNNNNNNNNNNNNNNNNNNNNNNNNNNNNNNNNNNNNNNNNNNNNNNNNNNNNNNNNNNNNNNNNNNNNNNNNNNNNNNNNNNNNNNNNNNNNNNNNNNNNNNNNNNNNNNNNNNNNNNNNNNNNNNNNNNNNNNNNNNNNNNNNNNNNNNNNNNNNNNNNNNNNNNNNNNNNNNNNNNNNNNNNNNNNNNNNNNNNNNNNNNNNNNNNNNNNNNNNNNNNNNNNNNNNNNNNNNNNNNNNNNNNNNNNNNNNNNNNNNNNNNNNNNNNNNNNNNNNAAGAACAAUACUAACACUAGAAACACUUAAGACAAGUAAAAAUCUCAGCCAAGAUACAACAAGAACACAAUUUUCGGCCAAGAACACAAAGUGGAUAGAUUGCUAUUUUCUGGAAAUUUCAGUUUUCAAUUUUUUUUUUGGAGUUUUCAAGUCUCAAGCCCAAGAUUGAUCUUGUUAGAACAAAAUCAACGGUGUCUCUGAUACCAAAUGAUACGAGACAAACAAGAGUACACAAACCAACUCCAAAAUAGUCCACUGUCUUAAGGAUUUGAGGACCUUUUUGAAGACCACUCUCGGAUUCGCUAUCAACAACACAAUAACAAGAUAAAGAGGUGUAUUUUAAACACCAAAACAGACACAAUAUAAGAUGAACAAGAUGAACACAAUGGUUACAAAAUUCAGAUUCAAUAAAUACACAAAACAGUCCACUAUAGAUAGAUAGAUAGAUAGAUAGAUAGAUAGAUAGAUAGAUAGAUAGACCAAAUGAGGCAAUAAUAUUAACAAUCCAAGAAUUGUUACACUCUUGGACCUUUAAUACAAUACACAACACUAACCUAUCUCCUACGUAGGAACAAGAGAGACCUUGAUCUCUCAAUGCACCCAAUAUUUCCAAGCAUGAAUCCAACACGAGAGAUUCCACCCUCAAGUUGAAUACCUAAAAGGUUCCUUAUAUAGUAGUUUACAAACAAGUUGUGAAAUGUCCAAAAUGACUCCUUAGUCUCAAGUCUUCAAGUGGGUGCCCUAGGAGAGCAUUAUAUGGACGGUUUUGGACCCUUUUUAAGUCCUCAUUUACACUUCACUUUCACACUCCAAGUCUCAGGUUCAAUACAUCUCAUAAACAUGCAUCCUCAUGGUCUUACCCAUAUCAAUCCCCUAUCUAAUAUGGCAUGAGGUUAGAGUUUCUUGCCUAAUGUGUGAGCAUAUAGUUAGAGUUUGUUUCUUGAAUGAAUAUGUGUGUGUGAGUGGUUAGAUUCCAUUUCUUAAAUGGAUGUGUAUAUGUUUUAAAUCCCUUACUUGAUGCUAUAUGAAUAUUGUUAAAGUCCUAUGCGUAAUAGAAAAUACUUGAAUCUAUGAGUAUGGAAGGUUAGAGUCUUCCAUUGCAUGCAUGAUGGCUUCCCAAUAGGUGAUGAGACUUGUCUCGUUGAUUAUCAUGUGAUAUGUCUAUCUGUAUGGAUAAGGUUAUGAAUGUGAUUGAAUAUGAUAUAUAUUGACUUGUUGUUGAAUAAUGAUACUAUUUUAUCCUUAUCUUUGAGUUACAUGCUAGCAUUCCAACCGCUAACCAUCUCUGGAUGCUAUGUCCCCAUGAAACAUAGGGUCCAGAGCAUCAUCUUCUCUUCUUGUAUAGUGAUUAGGUGGUCAAAGCAGUUAGUGCAUUGACUACGGAGUUGUGAGCUUCCUUAUUUUGGAAGACAUUCAUUCUUGGACCCAUAUCUUUAGACUUAGUCUCAUUUGACUUGGUUUGGCUAUUGUCGGGGGCUUGUCCCGACAUAUACAUUUCUAAACUUUGGUUUGUAUAGAGGUAUUGUAGAUGACUAUGGAUUUGGGAAUAUUGGUUAGUGUGAUGAAUCUAAUGAAGUGUUUAGACAUUCUUAAGUUAUGACUUUUAGUAUGUUUUCUGCUAUUUUAUUAUAUGGUCGGGAUUCACUCAACCCAUGUGAUAGAUGUGAUAAUUGUGAUAGGUUAUGGGGCGACCUCCGAUUCAUGUGGGCUUGAGGUGCCCCUACAACAUGGCCCAGUUUCAAGGCAUGUCAAUGACUUAAAACCUAUUUGGGAAACCAGUAGCAUUGCUAAUUCACUAAAACACUUUCAAACAAACUCUUUUUAAUUCUCUCAAGCAACCAUACUUUGGGUUUCCAAGAAGUAGGUCACCCAAGGACUUAAGGGUUGAAUUUUUUUCGCUAAAAUUGUUAUUUAAGGCAUGUUACUCUUCUGUCAUUUUUAAUUUGUUAGAAACAUAAGUUUUAAAGUUUGGUUCAUGGAUAUUUAUUAUUGGUUUGAAAUCAAGGGUUGAGGGUUUUGAUUGCUUGUUGUUGAAUAAUGUUUUCCCAUGGUUUGUAUAUGAUUAUUCAUGCUUUAAGUAUGGUUUUGAAUUUGUGGGUGCUUGGGUAUGGUGAAUGAACUAGGGAUUAUUUAUUUUCCCAAACUUGUGACUUUUGAAAUAAUUAUGACCCUAACCCCAUAUUAUGAAAGUGGUUUUUAAUUAUGAGAAAUGUGGAAAUUUGAAAAAUUGAACCAAGGGGGUUGUGGAUUCCCCCAAGUGAUGUAAUUAUUUUGGCAUAUCUUUGUUACAUUGCAAGUGUAGUUGGUAUCAUGAUAAUAACAAUGUAUGCCUUAAUGUUAAAUAUGGUUCAAUUGAUGAGAAUAUGUGAUGAAUGUUUUUAAUUAGGCUUUAAUGGUGCUUGUGUAGCUGAGUCAUGAAAGUGGUGGUCCGAGUGAACAAUACUAGAAACUAGAUUUGCUGACGCGGGGGUCGAAGUGACUAGGGAGAUUUAAGUCCCCCUCAUUAUUAUUAUAUGAUUAAGGAGGUUUGAGUUUCCCUCACACUAUUACAUGAUUGGGUGCUUAAGUUACUUUAGUAUAUGAUUGAGAGGUUCGAGUUUCCCGUGCAUAUGUAUGAAUUAUUUUCCAGAGGGUAAGAGCUGAGGCCCAUAUAGCACAUGGGUACAUGUUAUGAUGAUUGAGCUACACAAUCCAGGCAAAAGGUUUUAAGUGCAUAUUAAGCUUUGUUUCCUAUCUCGGUAUGUGAUAUAUCUAUUUAUAUACAUUUGAUUAUGUGUAUUGGUUUUGAAUGAUUUUAAACUGUUGACCAUGGCAUUAUAUUAGUUUUAUCCCUGAGAAACAUACUAGCAUUUACCCCACUAACUAUCUUUAGAAGCUGUAUCCCCACGCGAUGCAGGCACUGAAGCUUCUAUUAAUUUUCCUGCACAGAGUUAGGUCGAUCAGUUUAGUUCGUUGGUUCAUGGUAUUGUGGUGAGAUUCCAUUCCCUAAAAGGCUUAGGCAUUUCACCAGCUUUCAUUCUUAGAUUAGAGUUGAUAGUAACCUUCAUUAUCAUUAACAUUAUCAUUUUUAUUUUCAUUAUCAUCUGUUAGAGUUAGGGACAUAUCCCGACCAAUACUGGUUUUGGUUCUUUGUUUAGAAGGCUUUGUUAGGACUACCAUGGAUAUUAGGUGAUGUUGGUCGGUUAGUUGGCCGGUCAUUGAUCAUCAAUUAUAGAUAUGUUUUGACUUUACUUAAGCUCUUUGAUACUAUCUUGUUAUAUGUUAAGAAUUUUUCUGACAUUGGGAGAUAUGGUGUUUAGUUGGUUAGGUGCAGGGGGUGAUCUCAAGUCUAUGUGGUACUUGAAAUACCCAUCAUGACCAAGCCCUUGUUCAGGUUAUGACAAAAUUGGUAUUAGAGCCUAUGUUUUGUGUCAUUGGGUGUCUAAAAAAAGGCCGUGUUAAGUAGAUUCUUGUUUAUAGGUAUGUAGCGUGCCAUACUUCUAAGGGAGAGGCUAUGAGGCAUUUAGGAAUUUUCCCUUUCUUGUUGUUCUAUUUCAAGCUAUAGAUUUAAAUGUCCUAAAUCCCGUCAAAUUCCUAUGUUUUUUCUUUUCAAAUCAUGCCUCCUAGAAGAUUUGAUGCUUGUGACAACUCUUUUGUCCCAUCUGAGGACCACAUGGAUAGUGCUCAUCCUACUCCAGGAGUUCAGACCCGGUCUAGGGUUAGUGCUUUUGAUUGGCGUGAGGGAGCUCUACCGCUUUCCCCUAUCCCUCCUCAAGCACCCUAGGCUGGUGUGUCUAAUGCUGAGUUUUGCCAGUCAAUUCAUUUGCUUACCCAGUUGGUGGCCUUCCAGACUAAGCGUGUUGCUUUUGUUGCUCCAUCAUUUGAUACAACUAGAGUUGGCCAAUUUAUGAGGUUGAGACCUCCUACUUUGACUGGUUCUAAUGUUGAAGAAUAUCCAUAAAUCUUUAUUGAUGAGAUAGAAAAUAUCUUCGGUGUGAUGCAUGCUACUGAUGUGGAGGAUGUAGAUUUUUCUUUUUAUCAGUUGAAGGAUGUAGCAUACCAAUGGUAUGAGGAGUAGGACCAUUUUAGGAGUGAUAAUGCUAAGUCUUCUUUGUGGGAUGAUUCCUCUAGUGCUUUCCUUGAUAGUUUCUUUCCUUAGGAGUUAAGAUAGGUAAAGUCCAAGGAAUUUGUGUCACGCCUCAAAUCCUAUUGGGGCAGACAGACACUCGUAGUCGUAAAGGCCCGAGAGAACCAAUUCAAAAACUUGUACUUCCCAUGCAUGUAACUAUAGCAACUAAAGGUUCUGACAAACAUGAUAUUAUCUAUCGAUGAGAAUAAUUACAUAUGCAAACACAAAUUGAUAUAUACAAUACUUGCCCAUUGGGGCCACCACAUCUAGAGACAAAACACUACCAUAACUUUACAUUAGUCUACAAAGCCUCUAAAAGAUACAUAGACUUAGGAUCGCGAUAAACCCCCACCCUACUCUUGACUUACUGUACAAAACCAAAAUAUAUGGAACAGACUCGGAAAGGCCCCAAUCAACCUGGAGUUCACCAAUGGCCCCUGAAAAGCCUGCGCUCCUACUAGUGAGUUAUAUGAGCUGAAGUGUCUAUGCCUGCAGCAUGAAAUGCAGGUCCCCUAUGAGGGACGUCAGUACAAAAAUAUUUACUGAAUACGUAAGGCAGAAGGUAACAACACACUUGAUACUAAAGCUUAAUAGAAAUUUGAUACAAGUGUAUAAGUAGUACUAGUAGACCAACUUUAUAAAUACUUGUGGGACAAUGUACAUUACAUUCUUUUCUUCGUUUUACCUUUUUACUUCAUAAUCUUUGUAAGCCAUAUAAUGACAAGCUGAUCAGUCGUAAAUAGAUAAAUUAGGAUUGGCCUAUGCUAGGCUUACACCCCUGAGCUGCCACCUAUAUAUAAAGAUUGAGAUCGGCCCAUGCUAGGCUUAUGCCCCUGAGCUGCCACCCACAAAUAAAGGUAUCGAGAUUGGCCCAUGCUAGGCAAACGCCCCUGAGCUGCCACUCGUCAUUUUAUAGAUUUGCAUUAAUUAGUUUAUUUAGCCUUUGAGAUUGUUACUUUGGCGGUCAUAACAUUAUGGUACCUUGAACCAGUAAUACGCUAAUAAGAGACAAGUAAAUAGACACUUAAUGCAACAACAAUGAGGUAGGGAGCUGUUGGCACACAAAUAAAGUGUAUAGGAGCUGAAAUAACACAUGGGUUUUAUUUGAACAAAUGGAGAACUCCUGAAAAUUUUUAGUGAAGAUAGACGCGCAGAUUUAAUAAUAAACACAUGUUGAGCUGUUCUAAUGUGUUAGAGAGUGGGAACAAGGUCAUUGGAUACAUGGAGUGUAAUGUGCUUCCAUUAUGUAUCACAAUGUUAUAGGAUAACCUCGAAAACUUGCUUGAUGGAACAAUUAUACGAUUUCAUGCCAAAGAAUGUGAAAUAGAGUAUGCCUUACAUAACUGGUUAUAUAACUCUGAAACUAACCCGACUUGACUUCCCGCCUUUUAGAUUACUUAUCUAUAAUAUAAUAUAUGGUAAACUAGUAUCAGCAACCAACCAACACAUUUAGGUUACUUAACUUCAUCAAAACAGUAACCGAGCAGCCCAUAACAUGAACAUGCAAAACAGUCCACAAAAUAGUCCCAAAUCACUCUUAUUGGAGCAACCCAUUAUUGAACUCAUCAUCUCUUGAGUUCUCAAUAACAACACAUCCAUAACUCUCUUUCAAAUUCAUAUACAAGGAGAACCAAAACGGAGCAGUCACUUUACCUCAAUUCUGCAACUUAUUCCUUUAAUUGAACUCUUCAAGAACUUGAACUUUCCUUCACACUUUAAACUAAAGAAGAAAAGAGAAGUUCUUUAAUAUCAAAGAAAAGUGAGCAGAUUACUUGUUCUAUAUUCUGCCAUACAUUUAUAAUUAAGCACUUCUAACAUAUUCUCCUAAUCUUCUAUGAGAUAAUUAAACAAAAACUAAAGUGUUUUCACUUAGCUUUUGCUGCAAAAGUUAGGGUUUCUCCAAGAACCCUAGAAAGGAAAAUAGGGCUGCUCCUAGCUUCUUAAACGAAAGUAGAGAGAGUUUCUGAAAUGUAACCCUUCUUUAUGACAUAAUAAUGAGGGAAAUGGCCAGCAACUUCUUCUUAUAAAGCCUCUAUUUUUUUGGCCAUCCACUUAGCUGAUUUUGGACUACAAAUUUAAUCAAAUUGGUCCAAGUAGGUGAUGCACCUACUUAAGGAGUUCAAGCAGCUCAAAAUGUCAAGGUAGGUGAUGCACCUACUUGUUUAAUUUCUUAGUUGGGCUCAAUUAUAUUUAGGCCUUGGUAGAUUUGAGCAUUGGGCCUUUUUCUCAUUUUUCUUCUUCUUUUACUUAAUUUUGGCCCAAAUAAGUAUUCUAACAAAGUACCAAAUCUGAUUCAUGGACUUGGUUCAUUAACUUGGAUCAUAUAGCUCAAGUAGGUGACUCACCUACUAGCUUAAUUAAGUCAAGCAAGCACCUCAAUAUUUACUUCCAUUUCCAGCUCCUAAUCACCUUAAUCUAACUUACAACUUAUACACACUUGGUCACUUUAAAUUUUAGAUUCAAAUACUAGCUUAUGAUCCCAAGUUUAAAUGGUCGUAUUGACGUUAACUUGGUUGCAUCAUAUUAAACUGUAUGGGCAGCCUUUAUAAAUCCAUGAACACCAUUAAUACUUGCAUAACAAAUCUCAUCCGUUUCCUAUACCAUGUCACCAUACCAGGUUCCAUAUAAUUAGAAUAAGUACAAGCAAGAUAUGGGAUGUUACAUCUUUCCCCCCUUAGAAACAUUUGUCCUCGAAUGUUAGCAUAACUGUCCAACUAAAACAAGUUCAAGCCUAAGUUUAAUAUUCCUAUUACUAUAGUACCUAUAUAUUUUAUACUUACUUGUUAUUGCUUCAAUUCAGCAUCUUGGACUUUUUCUUCGUAUUUGAACAAAUGGGGGUACUUGGAUUUCAUCGCUUCUUCAACUUCCCACGUGAUCUCUUCUACUUGUUGGUUCCUCAAAAGCACUUUUACAGAAGCUAUUUCCUUAUUCCUUAACUUCUUAACCUGUCGAUCUAGAAUAAAAAUACGUAUUUCCUCAUAGGUGAGAUCUUAUGUAAUUUGUACAUCUUCAGUAGGGGUAAUAUGAUAUGGAUCUCCAAUGCACUUUCGAAGCAUUGAGACAUGAAAUACCGGAUAAACUAUUGAGAGCUCUUGGGGUAGCUCUAAUUCAUAAGCAACUUGGCCAAACCUCUGAGUAAUCUGGUAUGGGCCUUAUAAUGUGGACUGAACUUUCCUUUCUUACCAAAUCUCAUAACCCCAUUCAUUGGUGAUACCUUUAAGAAUAUGCAAUCACCUAUAGCAAACUCUAUCCCCCUUCUCCUAACAUCCGUAUAUGACUUAUGUCUACUUUGGGUUGUUUUUAGUCGUUGUUGAAUCACUUUAACCUUUUCAAACCAUCCAAUUGGUGAUCUACACUUUCUUCCAUACAAAGCUUCAUAUGGUGCCAUUUUGAUACUUGAAUGAUAGCUAUUGUUGUAGGCGAACUCGAUGAGAUCAUCCCAACUACCUUUAAAGUCUAAUACACAAGCUCGUAGCAUAUCUUUAAGUGUUUGAAUGGUACGUUCUGCUUGUCCAUCCGUUUGAGGGUGAAAAGUUGUACUUAGAUUUACUUGUGUCCCUAAAUUUCUCUGAAAAGACUUCCAAAAAUUUACAGUAAAUUGAGCUCCUCAAUCCGAUAUAAUAGAGAUUUGAACUCCAUGUAGUUGAACUAUCUCCUUAAUAUAUAAUUUGGCAUAUUCUUCAACUGUGUAAGUGGUCCUAACCGAUAGAAAGUGUGUUGAUUUGGUAAGCCUAUCAACUAUCACCCAUAUGGAAUCAAACCUUCAAAAUGUACGAGGCAAACUAGUGAUGAAAUCCAUGUUGAUUAUGUCCCACUUCCAAAUUAGAAGAUCUAUAAAUUGCAUAUAACCCUGGGUUUUUGGUGCUCUACUUUAACUCUUUGACAAUUUGGACAUUCGGCUAUAAAUUUUGCAAUGUUCUUGUUCAUGUCACCCCACCAAUACAUCCCUUUCAAAUCAUGAUACAUUUUUGUUGACCCUGGAUGGAUAGAAUACCUUGACUGAUGUGCUUCUGUCAUAAUCCUCUUUCUUAGCCUGUCUAUAUCAGGUACACAUAAUUUGUUUUGGCAUCGAAGUACCCCUUCUUGCGUAAGCUCAAAUGCAUUUGUCAUACCACAUUGCACAUUCUUCUAAAGCUGUAAUAGAAUAGGAUUUGCAUAUUGCUUCUUUUUUACUUCAGUUAUUAGUGAAGAUUCUUCUAUAUUAUGCAUAAUAAAUCCUUCAUCUGGAAUUUCAAGAAGACGAACCCCCAAAUUAGCUAGUUGGUGUAGCUCCUUAGUCAUCGGGUCUUUCUAUAGAUGGCUCUAUAGCUUUACGACUUAACACAUCUGGCACCACAUUUGCUUUUUUCGGAUGAUAUAAGAUAUCAACAUCAUAGUCUUUUAAUAAUUCAAGCCAUCUUCGCUGCCUCAAAUUCAAGUCCUUCUAAAUUUGACAAGCAGAACAUACUAUUCAAACACUUGAAGAUAUGCUAUGAGCUUGUGUAUUGGACUUUAAAGGUAGUUGGGAUGAUCAUCUACCUCUCAUCGAGUUCGCCUACAACAAUAGCUAUCAUUCAAGUAUCAAAAUGGUACCAUAUGAAGCUUUGUAUGGAAAAAAGUGUAGAUCACCAAUUGGAUGGUUUGAAGUGGGUGAAACUACCUUAUUCGAGCCAGAUCUUGUUCAUUAAGCUAUGGAAAAGGUUAAAGUGAUUCAACAGCAACUAAAAAUAGCCCAAAGCAGACAGAAGUCAUAUAUGGAUGUUAGGAAAAGGGGACUAGAGUUUGCUAUAGGUGAUUGGAUAUUCUUGAAGGUAUCACCAAUGAAGGGGGUUAUGAGAUUUGGUAAGAAAGGAAAGUUAACUCCACGUUAUAUAGGCCCAUACCAGAUUACUUGGAGGUUUGGCCAAGUUGCUCAUGAAUUAGAGCUACCCCAAGAGCUCUCAACAGUUCAUCCAGUAUUUCAUGUCUCAAUGCUUUGAAAGUGCAUUAGAGAUCCAUCUCAUAUUACCCCUACUGAAGAUGUACAAAUUAUAGAAGAUCUCACCUAUGAGGAAAUACCUAUUGCUAUUCUAGAUCGACAGGUUAAGAAGUUAAGGAAUAAGGAAAUAGCUUCUAAAAAAGUUCUUUAGAGGAACCAAUAAGUAGAAGAGAUCACGUGGGAAGCUGAAGAGGCGAUGAAAUCCAAGUACCCCCAUUUGUUCAAAUAUGAAGAAAAAGUUCAAGAUGCUGAAUUGGAGCAAUAACAAGUAAGUGUAUAAUAUAUAGGUACUAUGGUAAUAGGGAUAUUAAACUUAGGCUUGAACUUGUUUUGGUUGGACAGUUAUGCUAACAUUCGAGGACGAAUGUUUCUAAGGGGGGAAAGAUGUAACAUCCCGUAUCUUGCUUGUACUUAUUCUAAUUAUAUGGAGCCUGGUAUGGUCACAUGGUAUAGGUAACAGAUGAGAUUUGUUAUGCAAGUAUUAAUGGUGUAGAUGGAUUUAUAGAGGCUGCCCGUACAGUUUAAUGUGAUGCAACCAAGUUAACAUCAAUACGACCAUUUAAACUUGGGAUCGUAAGCUGGUAUUUGAAUCUAAAGUUUAAAGUGACCAAGUGUGUAUAAGUUGUAAGUUAGAUUAAAGUGAUUAGGAGCUGGAAAUGGAAGUAAAUAUUGAGGUGCUUGCUUGACUUAAUUAAGUUAGUAGGUGAGUCACCUACUUGAGCUAUAUGAUCCAAGUUAAUGGAACAAGUCCAUGAAUCAGAUUUGGGCCUUUAUUAGAAUACUUAUUUGGGCCAAAAUUAAGUGAAAGAAGAAGAAAAAUAAGAAAAAGGCCCAAUGCUCAAAUCUGCCAAGGCCUAAAUAUAAUUGAGCCCAACUAAGAAAUUAAGCAAGUAGGUGCAUCACCUACCUUGACAUUUUGAGAUGCUUGAACUCCUUAAGUAGGUGCAUCACCUACUUGGGCCAAUUUGAUUAAAUUUGUGGUCCAAAAUCAGCUAAGUGGAUAGCCAAAAAAAUAGAGGCUUUAUAAGAAGAAGUUGCUGGCCAUUUCCCUCAUUAUUAUGUCAGAAAGAAGGGUUACAUUUCACAAACUCUCUCUACUUUCAUUAAGAAGCUAGGAGCAACCCUAUUUUUCUUUUUAGUGUUCUUGGAGAAACCCUAACUUUUGCAGCAAAAGGUAAGUGAAAACACUUUAGUUUUUGUUUAAUUAUCUCAUAGAAGAUUAGGAGAAUAUGUUAGAAGUGCUUAAUUAUAAAUGUAUGGUAGAAUAUAGAACAAGCAAUCUGCUCACUUUUCUUUGAUAUUAAAGAACUUCUCUUUUCUUCUUUGGUUUAAAGUGUGAAAGAAAGUUCAAGUUCUUGAAGAGUUCAAUUAAAGGAAUAAGUUGCAGAAUUGAGGUAAGGUGACUGCUCCAUUUUGGUUCUCCUUGUAUAUGAAUUUGAAAGAGAGUUAUGGAUAUGUUGUUAUUGAGAACUCAAGAGAUGAUGAGUUCAAUAAUGGUUGCUACAAUAAGAUUGAUUUGGGACUAUUUUAUGGAUUGUUUUGUAUGUUAAUGUUAUGGGCUGCCCGAUUACUGUUUUGAUGAAGUUAAGUAGCCUAAAUUGUUGGUUGGUUACUGAUACUAGUUUACCAUAUAUUCUAUUGUAGAUAAGUAAUCUAAAAUGAGGGAAGUCAAGUUGGAUUAUUUUCGGAGUUAUAUAACCAGGUAUGUAAGGCAUACUCUAUUUCACACUUUUUGGCAUGAAAUCAUACAAUUGUUCCAUCAUGCAAGUUUCCGAGGUUAUCCUAUAACAAAGUGAUAAAUAAUGGCAGCACAUUACACUCCAUGUAUCCAAUGACCUUGUUCCCACUCUCUAACACAUUAGAACACCUCAAUACGUGCUUAUUAUUAAAUCUACCGUCUAUCUUCACUAGAAAAUUUUAGGAGUUCUCUAUUUGUUCAAAUAAGACCCAUGUGUUAUUUCAGCUCCUAAAUACUUUAUUUGUGUUCCAAUAGCUCCCUACCUUAUUUUUGUUGCAUUAAGUGUCUAUUUACAUGUCUCUUAUUAGCGUAUUACUGGUUCAAGGUUGGUAUUAUGACUGCCAAAGUAACAAUUUCAAAGACUAAAUAAACUAAGUAAUGUAAAUCUGUAAAAUGAUAAGUGGCAGCUCAGGGGCAUUUGCCUAGCAUGGGCCGAUCUCGAUACCUUUAUUUGUGGGUGGCAGCUCAGGGACAUAAGCCUAGCAUGGGCCGAUCCUAAUCUUUAUAUGUAGGUGGCAGCUCAGGGGCAUAAGCCUAGCAUGGGCCGAUCCUAAUUUAUCUAUUUACCAAUGAUCAGCUGGUCAUUUGCAUUUUAUGGCUUACAAAGAUUAUGAAGUAAGAAGGUAAAAUGAAGAAAAGUACAUUGUCCCACAAGUAUUUAUAAAGGUGGUCUACUAGUACUACUUAUAAUACACUUGUAUCAGAUUUUUAUGAGCUUUUGUAUCAAGUGUGUCGUUACCUUCUGCCUUACAUAUUUAGUACAUAUUUUUGUACAGACGUCCCUCACAGGGGACCUGCAUUUCAUGCUGCAGGCACAGGCACUUCAGCUCAUACAACUCACUGGUAAGAGCGCAGGCUUUUUAGGGGCUAUUGGUGAGCUCCAGGUUGAUUUAGGGCUUUUUGGGUCUGUUCCAUAUAUUUUGGUAUUGUAUAGUAAAUCAAGAGUAGGGCGGGGGUUUGUCCCGAGCCUAACUAAAUCUAUGUAUCUUUUAGAGGCUUUAUAGACUAAUGUAAAGUUAUGGUAGUAUUUUGUCUCUAGAUGUGGUGGCCCCAACGGCCAAGUAUUGAUAUAUCAGUUUGUGUUUGCAUAUGUAAUUAUUCUCAUCGAUCGAUAAUAUUAUGUUUGUCAGAACCUUUAGUUGUUAUAGUUACAUGCAUAGGAAGUAUAAGUUUUCGAAUUGGUUCCCUCGGGCCUUUAUGGCUAUGAGUGCUUAUCCACUCUAAUAGGAUUUGAGGCAUGACACGACAUUAGGAGAUAUUGUGUUUGGUUGGUUUGGUGUAGGGGUGAUCUCCGAUCCAUAUGGGACUUGAGAUCCCAUCACGUCCAGACCAUUGUUCGGGUCAUGACAUGGUGAUAGAAGGAAUGCUUGUUGACUAUAUGUAAAGAUAUUUCUAUAGAUUAUUCUUGAACUCGUGAUACUUACUUAUAUGAUUACUUAUGUUAAAGGUUUUGCCACUUAUUUUUCAUAUCUAUAUACCUAUCUCUUUGAUGUGGCUUAGACGAAGAUAUUGGUAUUAAAGAUAUAAGUUACGAGGAAAACCCGAUAGUUAUAUUAUUCACGUUACAUAUACACAUAUCUAUUAAUAAUGUGACAUAAUAAUGAAUGUUGGAUUAUAGAGGGUAUGCUCUUCUCUUUUUCUCCUUUUUAUUUAUUUUACACCUUAUGCGGCUUGUCAUUUACUUUAGCCCUCGUGGAGAUUGUCAUUUACUUUAGCCCUCAUGGCACUUGCUAUUUAAUUUAGCCCUCGUGGGGCUUGUUAUUUUUUAAUGAUAUAAUUUUACGUAUUGUGAUGUUAUGCUGAUACUCAUAGUGGCCGAAUAAUAAUGUGAUGAUACGUUGAUACCCGAUAAGACCGAAGGAUAUUAUAAUUAUAUGAUGAUACCCGGUGUGGUCGGAUGUUAUUAUGAUAAUAUGAUGAUACCUAGUACAACCAGAUGAUGUUGUGAAGAUAUAAUGAUACCCGAUGCGGUCGAUUUAUAUUAUGAUGGUAUGAUGAUAUCUUGUGUGGACGAAUGAUAUUGUGAAACUAUAAUGAUAUCUGGUGUGGCUGGAUGAUAUUGUGAUUAUAUGAUGAUAUCUAGUGCAGCCGAAUGAUGGUGUGAUGAUAUGAUGAUGCUUGGCAAAACUAGGGGAUGAUUAUUUAUGUGCCUAUGUUCAUCUCCACAGGUUUGAGUCCUGCUAGCCCUAUGUAUGGCAAUGAUAUAUUUAUUUAUGGUCUUUUGUAGUUGGGUAUAACAUGGAGACUAGAGACAUCAGUUAUAGCUUUCUAUUGAAUAAGGUAUAAAAGUGGUAUAGUUGUUGAUUUAAGGUUGAAAGAUGCUUAGGGGUUGAUAUUGCUUAAGUGGCUAAUAAUGACUAAUGGGUUAGCGAACCUUAGUGAUAAAGACAACUAGCAUCAUUGAUGGGCAUUAAUAGUGAUGAUUAGAUUAUUAUGGAGGCUAGUAAUAAUGGGCUUAGCAAUGGUAGUGAUUAGAUGUUAAUGAUACUAAGCUUAUGAUUUUGAUUAGUUGUUAAGUGGGAUUUGUGGAUUAAUGAUGCUAGUUGAUAAAGGGACAUUAGUUGACAGAUGGAUAGGGUGGACUUUUGUUAGAUUGUGGCUAGUGGAUUUACGAUGGCUAGAAUAAAGUAUUGGUUAAUUGAUGAAUAUGGCUUAGUGUGGAAUCUUGGCUAGAUGCUAGAUAUUGGCUAGUUAGUGAAUGGUGGUUAGUCUUGACCUAUAAAUAGUGUUUAUGUGAUUAAUAGAUGAUAAUUAGGGGUUAUAUGAUGGAUACUGAGUAAAUGGGUUUAGUAUUAAGCGUUGGCUAACUAAUAAUGGGUGAAUAGGAUGUACUGAUGAGAUAGAAGCCUAUAUGAGGGUAUUGUUAUGGCUAUGAGUAGAUUAAUAUAUGGUAUUCAAUUAUGAGUACUGAUGAUGAUUAUGAAUAUUGGUAAUGGCUAUUUGUUGGAAAUUGUAGAUAACUAUGGAUAAUGAGAAAGUUUUGAUAUAUUGUUUAAUUGAUCCUUUUAUGUUUCUCUUGGGUGUACUCUCCGGUGGUAUGGAAUGUCGUAAUGAGUUCUUUACUUUAUACACUAGUUGGUGUAUGGGAACCAACUUUGUACUUGUGUUUGCUUGCGAUUGUACUUUUGUUACCUUAUGAUUUCAAAUUAUUUAUUUCUUAUUCUCGGUGGUAUUGGCAUCCGUUGAUACCUUAUGUUAUAUUGUUAUUCCAAUAUUUAAUACAUGUUAUGUAUAAUGAUACUGCCAUGAGUUGAUUUCCUAUGUUACAAUGUUAUUUGAUUUACUUAAUUAUUAGAUAUAGUGAUGAUGGAGAUGAUUCAGUUUUGAUUAUUUACCUUGACAUAGUAUGAUUAUCUUUCACUUUAUCAUUCUUAUAUCAAGAUUUAGAUCAAUCAUUUGAUGAUGCCUACUGAGUACCCAUUGUUUUGGUACUCAUGCUAUACGUCUGCACCUUUUUGUGCGGAUCCAAUUAUUAUAUGUUGGCGUUGAUUGUGGUUUAUGCUGUUAUUGAUUUUCAUAGAUAGGGUGAGCUCUUGUAGUUUGAGUCACUCAAUUUUCUUCAAUCUUUUGUAUUAAGUCUUUAGUAUUCGAGACAGGUUUAUUAUUCUAGAAUUAGAGUUGUAUUGUACUAUUAGAUCCUUUUGUUCUAACUCUACUAGGUUUUGGGAUUGGUAUCUUGUAUGACUGUUCAUUCUCUCUAAAACCCUUAUGUUUACUAUUGAUGUUCUCAAAUUUUUCCUAUAUUGGGCCUUUCUUUCCGAUUACCCAUUGUGUUAGCUCCGAGUUAGGGUAUUAUCUAACCUAUUUGUGGGAAUUGAAAGUUCCAUCAUUACUCAUAAAUCAGGCCGUGAUAUAUGUUUUGGCUUAUCUAAUAGUGGGAUUAAGUAGGUUCAAUUAUGACUCAUAAAUUGGGUCAGGAAAAUUUUUACCAAAACAACCUCAAAUACAAAUCCUGACUAUUCCAACAGCUCUAGAAUGUCGAUUUUAGGGUAGGAGGACCUUUGGUUUGGGUCGUGAAGCAUCCGAUCUUAUUUCAACCUGUGAUUAUGACAUAUUCACGAUCACGACAAGCCUGACUGUCGCAAAGUGCCACAAUCACACACACCAAGGCGCGAUCAUGAAACCUAAAGGUUUGGACUGGGUAUAAAUGGAUCCCUUAUUUCGUAAUUUUAGCAAUUUCUCAUCUAUUUCUUGAGAGAUUAAACCCUAAAGAGUGAGAUUAAGUGAGAUUUAGGAUUGUGGGUGAUUGGGAAGCUUGAUUAAUGAUUGUUUAUGUAAUUAUCUCCCGGUUUGAGGUGAGAAUUCAGGCUUUUAUUUGUAGAUUUUCUUGAUUUCUUGUUCAAAACCCCCUAAAAUCUUUAGGGGCUUGAUUUUAGCAAUAAUUUAGCUUGUAUUUAACCCAUGUUUGAGGAUAACGAUUCCUUGAUCUUGUGAGAAGGUUGGGUUGGUUUCAAAAAUGCGAUUUCGUUUGUUAGACCCAUAUGGGGUUUUGAUGUGAUUUUUGGACCCAAAGAAUAAUGGUUCAAUAUGGGUAUCCUUAUUCUUAUAUUAAUAAGUAGAAUGUGAUUUUUAUAGGUUGGCAUCUUAUGAAAGAUUCUCAAAAGGGAAAACUAGUGAUUUAGCAGAUCCUGUGAUCUUUCUUCAGCGUUCAUGUAGGCUAGGUUUUAACCCUUAUUAGAUUGGCCUAAGUCAUAGUAAGUUUAUGAUAUUCUGUUAGAUUUGGGAUGGGUUUUAGGUUUUGAUGUGAUAAAUUUCAACACUUAGGAUUAGUUGGAUCAUUAGGCUAUUUUGACUAUCAUUUUGGGUAUGAUUAGCCUAGUUGUGCAUAUCAUGGGUGAAAUUGACCUUGUAGGUUCUUGUUUUGGUGGAAUUACCUUAGUUACUCCAUUAAUGAAGAUAUUUUUUUGGUUACUUGAGUUUAGGAUGAUUCUUGCUCAAAUUUCCUUACAAUAGGUGAAAUUGAUCUAGUGCUUUAUAUUAGAAAAUUGCUAUCCUGGGGUUGGUUGUGGCUUGUUCAACAUCUAAUAGUAGAUUUAGAUACCUUAGCCUAGUCUGGGGCAGAUAUUGGUUGAUAAAUGAUUUCGGGGAUUUCAAAGUGGGCCCUUCGACCCACCAUAGGCCAAGACUUGUGAUACUGACUAAAGACUCGUGAUAUGCUUAUGUAUAUCUAGGAUGAUGUUUAUUUCAGUGAUAUUUAGAUGUCUUGUUACUUUUUUGGUUUUAAUGAAUGAAGUUUGAAGUAUUGCUUAAAUGAUUAUGCUAUGUAUAUGGAUUAUUGGUUAAGCUUAUGAUAAGAUAUUGAGUAUGCUAUUGACUUGUGUAACAUCCCAUAUUUUGCUUGUACUUGUUCUAAUUUUAUGGAACUUGGUAUAGCCUUUUGAUAUAUAUAACAUAUGAGAAUUGUUAUGCAAGUAUUAAUGGUAUAGAUGGAAUUAUAGAUGCUGCCCAUAUAGUUUAAUGUGGUGCGACUAAGUUAACGUUAAGAUAACUAUUUCAACUUGGAAUUGUAAGCUAGUAUUUGAAUCUAAAGGUUAAAGUGAUCAAGUGUGUAUAAGUUGAACGUUAGAUUAAAGGGAUUAGGAGCUGAAAAUGAAGCAAAAUAUUGAGGUGCUUUCUUGACUUAUUUAAGCUAGUAGGUAAGUCACCUACUUAAGUUGUUUGGACCAAAUUAAUGGAACCAUGGCUAUGGAUCAGAUUUGGGUAAAUGCUAAUAUACUCAUUUGGGCCAAAUUGAACAAAAGAGAAAGAAAAUGGAUAAGUGGCCCAACACACCAAUCUGUCAAAGCCCAAAUAUAAUUGAGCCCAACAAGAAAUUAAGUAAGUAGGUGCAUCACCUACUUUGAAGUUUCAACAGCUUGGACCCUUAAGUAGGUGCAUCACCUACUUGGACCAAUUUGACCAAUUUUAUGGUCCAAAAUGUAGCAAAGGAGGUGGACAAAAUAGGGCCUUUAAAAGGCCAUGUUGCUGGUCAUUUUACUUCACUUUUAAGUCACAAAAAAGGAGUAUAUUUCAGCAAAUCUCUCUACUCUCUCUAAAACAACAAGAACAGCAGCCCUAUUUUUCCUUCUAGGGUUCUUGAAGAAACCCUCACCUUUGCAGCCCAAGGUAAGUGAAAAACACUUAAGGUUUUGUUUAAUUAUCUCAUGAAAGAUUAGGAAAACAAGUUAUAAGUGUUUGACUAUAAGUAUAUGGCUUAUAGAAUAAGCUGUUUGUUCACGUUUCCUUGUUAUUGAGGAACUUUUUUUCUUCUUCUUUGGUUUAAGUGUGAAGGAAAGUUCAAGCUCUUGAAGAGUUCAAUUAAAAGAAUAAGUUGCUGAAUUGAGGUAAGGUGACUGCUCUAUUUUGUUUUUCUGAUAUAUGAAUUUGAGAAGGGAUUAUGGAUGUCUUGUUAUUUAGAACUUAAGAGAUGAUGAGUUCAAUAAUUGAUUGCUACAAUAAAAGGGAUUUGGCACUGUUUUGUGGAUUGUUUUGUAUGUAUAUGCUAUGGGCUGCCAGGUUGAAGUUGGAUAAAGGUGUGAUGAGUUUGUAAUGAAUUAUAGAAGAAAUAUGUGGUGAUACACCACCGAACUAAUAUUUGCUGCCCAAUCUAUUUUGCGUAUUGUUUGGAAUGUGUAAUAAAGUCAAGGUGGUUUUGGUGAACCUUAUAAGAACCUAUAUGGUANNNNNNNNNNNNNNNNNNNNNNNNNNNNNNNNNNNNNNNNNNNNNNNNNNNNNNNNNNNNNNNNNNNNNNNNNNNNNNNNNNNNNNNNNNNNNNNNNNNNNNNNNNNNNNNNNNNNNNNNNNNNNNNNNNNNNNNNNNNNNNNNNNNNNNNNNNNNNNNNNNNNNNNNNNNNNNNNNNNNNNNNNNNNNNNNNNNNNNNNNNNNNNNNNNNNNNCAUUAGAACACCUCAAUACGUGCUUAUUAUUAAAUCUGCGUGUCUAUCUUCACUAGAAAAUUUCAGGAGUUCUCCGUUUGUUCAAAUAAGACCCAUGUACUAUUUCAGCUCCUAAACACUUUAUUUGUGUGCCAACAGUUCCCUACCUCAUUGUUGUUGCAUUAAGUGUCUAUUUACAUCAUGUCUCAUUAGUGUAUUACUGGUUCAAGGUACCAUAAUUUGUAUGACCACCAAAGUAACAAUCUCAAAGGCUGAAUAAAAUAAGUAAUGCAAAUCUGUAAAAUGACGAGUGGCAGCUCAGGGGCAUUUGCCUAGCAUGGGCCGAUCUCGAUACCUUUAUUUGUGGGUGGCAGCUCAGGGGCAUAAGCCUAGCAUGGGCCAAUCCUAAUCUUUAUAUGUAGGUGGCAGCUCAGGGGCAUAAGCCUAGCAUGGGCCGAUCCUAAUUUAUCUAUUUACCACUGAUCAGCUGGUCAUUUGCAUUAUAUGGCUUACAAAGAUUAUGAAGUAAGAAGGUAAAACGAAGAAAAGAAUGUAAUGUACAUUGUCCCACAAGUAUUUAUAAAGGUGGUCUGCUAGUAAUACUUAUACACUUGUAUCAGAUUUCCUUUGAGCUUUAGUGUCAAGUGUGUUGUUACCUUCUACCUUACAUAUUCAGUACAUAUUUUCAUACUGACGUCCCUCACGGGGGACCUAUAUUUCAUGCUGCAGGCACAGAGACUUCAGCUCAUACAACUCACUAGUAGUAGCACAGGCUUUUCAGGGGCUAUUGGUGAGCUCUAAGUUGAUUCGGGGCUUUCCAUGUCUGUUCCAUAUAUUUUGGUAUUGUACAGUAAGUCAAUAGUAGGGCGGGGGUUUGUCCCAACCCUAACUAAGUCUAUGUAUCUUUUAGAGGCUUUAGACUAAUGUAAGGUUAUGGUAGUGUUUUUGUCUUUAGAUGUGGUGGCCCUAACGGCCAAGUAUUGUAUAAUAUCAUAUUUGUCAGAACCUUUAGUUGUUAUAGUUACAUGCAUAGGAAGUACAAGUUUUUGGAAUUGGUUCUCUCGGGCCUUUACGACUACGAGUGCCUAUCCGCCCCAAUAGGGUUUGAGGUGUGACAACUUGACUACUGAUUGGGCUACUGAAUAUACUAUUGAAUGAGCCCUUGAGUGUGAUAUUGCUAAUCCAUAAAUUAAGCUAAUGAUCAUGUUAUGAGUAAGCUAUAGAUUAUGUCAUGGAUUUACAUAUUGAACAAGGUAAUGAUAGCUAUCUUUCAUGAUAAUAAUAAGACAUUAAUUAGGCUAUUGAAAAACUAUUACUUAUGCUCGAUAUUACAUAUUGAUUACGUUAGAGGUCAUGUUUAAUGACUAUAUUUUCGAAUAUGUUAUGGAUUAUGCUAAAGAGCAUGCUUGUUGAUUAAAUAUUGAAUAUGCUAGUGAUUAUACCAAAGAUAGUGCUUAUUUAUUAUGUUGACAAUCAUGUUAUUGAUUAUGCUAGAACUCACGAUUUUGAUUAUGAUUAUUGAUUAUGUUAAUAUAUUAUGUUCACGGUUAUGUUAUUAAAUAAAUACUCUCAUAAUUAAGCGAUUGGCGAUAUUAAUGAUGAUAUUGUUUAUAUAUACCCAAUAAGGCCAGAGGAUAAUUAUGAUGAUAUAAAUUUGGCAGAGCCAGAGGAUGUUAUGAUGAUAUCUACCCAACAAUAAUGGUGGGUGAUUCUGGUGAUUUAUACAUGCCCAGCAAGUCCGAGGAUGAUUAUGAUGAUAUUAUGAGGAUAUUAUUGAAUAUCCAUGUCGAUUCAAGUCUAGUUAUAUGAUUUAUACUAUGAUGAUAUACUUAUUAUGAUAUGAUGACAUUGGGGUAUGAUAUUGACAAACUAGCUAAGUCAAAAAUGAAGAAAUAGUUAUAAUGUAGUAUGAUAUGAAUAGACUCUAGUGAUAUAUUGGGUAGUUACUAAAUAUUGGUUGUUUAUAAAUAUUAGCUCAUUGCUAUAUAUUGGUUAGUUGAUAAAUAUUGGUUAGUUGCUAAAUAAUGGUUAGUUGAUAAUUAAUGAUUAUCAGAUAUGUGAUGUUUAGUUGACAAAGGUUGAUUUAUUGAUACAUGAGGAUUAGGUUAUAAAUGAUGCAUAGUUGGUAUGUGCUAACUUAUUUACAAAUGAUGAAUAUGGACAAUCGAUGGUUAUUGCGUUUCAUGACUUGGAUGAAUUCCAGUUGUAUUAUAAGAGAUAAUAAAUAAAGAUGGUAGGUUUUUCUAUCUUGUUUUUAUCUUUUAGGCUUAUGGGGGCUUGUGAUGGGCUAUUUACUUUUAUGCACCAAUUAGCGUAUAGGAGUCAAAUUUGUAGUUAUGAUUGUAUGUGUUGAUGCUUUAUGUUAUGUUAUUCUAUUAUUUUUACCUAUUUACUUAUUUAUGCACAACGAUAUUGGAGUUGAUUCAGGUUCAUUUUAAUACCUUGACUUAGUUAUGUUAUCUUAUAUUCUGUCAUAUUUAUAUCACGACUUAGCUCAGGCGAAUGAUGAUGCCUACUGAGUACCUGCUGUUUGUGUACUCAUACAACACUUCUGUACCUUUGUGGUGUAGAUCCAAGUACUAUUUUUCAUCAUUGAUUCAUAUUUGUGCGGUGUUGAUAUUUUGAGAUAGGGUGAGCUCCUUGAGUCUGAGUUGCCCAUUUCCUUCUAUAUUUCUGCAUUCAAUCUUUUUUUAGGCAGAUGUAUUGACUAUUAUAGAUACUUGGGUUGUAUUAUUAUAAUAGAUGCUCUUGUACUCGAUCUACCAGGUCGUGGGAUGGUAUUUAUGUAGUGACUAUCUUUAAACUAUUUCUAUUGUCUUGCUUAUUUAUUGUGUUGGAUUGCCUCUUUGGCCCUUCUAGGGGAAUUUCCACCAAGUUAACCUAUUGUGUUUAACUCUAGGUUAUGGUUUAGCUUACUUAUUGGCGGGAUUGAGUAGUUUCCAUCAUGACUCAUAAAUCGGGUCAUGACAUAAGAUUAACCCCAGAAAUAUUGUACCUUUUAAGAUCCUUCAGACUAGUAGGGGUGUAGCUUAUGAGUUAGCAUUACCUCUAGAUUUAUUAGUUCUUCAUCCAGUUAUUCAUGUUUUUGUACUUAGAAAUUACAUUUCGGAUGAGUCUCAAAUCACUAUUGAAUUCAGUCCAGUUAGAAUAGUAGUUGUCUUUCAUUGAGGAGCCUAUCUCCAUUCUAGCCAUGGAUGUUAGAUGGUUGCAUUCUAGAGUUAUUCCUAUGAUUAAGGUCAGUGGAGGCAUUAACCCGUAGAUAAGUCUACUUGGGAGGUCGAGUUUGAUAUGCAUUGUAGUUAUCCCAAAUUGUUGUUGAUUCCAAUAUUUCUAUUUUCCUUAUUGGAGGAUGAACUAGAUUCUUAGUGGUGGAUGAUAUAAUGAUGCGAUUUUUGGUCAAUUACGUGAAAUAUUUAUUUCAAUGUGAUUUUACUAUUUUACCCAUCCCUGUGGUAGAUUUAUUGUUUUUCUAGGGUAUGGGGAUAGGUUGCAUAAUUCACAAUGCAUUUUGGUGUUAUUUGGGUGAGUUUGUGAUUUUUGGUGUCUUGAAAAUCCCUAUAGUUGACUUCAGUCAACAUUUAUUAAUCUGUGCAUCAGAUGGAAAAACAAACUGCGGCAAUAUAUUUGAAAUAUCAAUUUUUGGUUGGCAAUAUAGUUGGUGUGGUUUUAUGACUUUUAUUUCUCAUUUUGACCAUCGGUUUGGAAACUUGUUACAUAAGGUCUCGAGGGUCAAUAUUUCAAAAAUAACAUUUUUUUUUCAAAAUAUUGAUAUCACCAUAGAGUCUGUAGCAUCGAAUUUAGUAUGGUAGUAUUGCUCAUUUUUAUGCUUGAGAUGUUAGAGAAAUCUCGAGGUGUCCACAGCUAGCUGGUGCACCACUCAGCUGAUGCCCUUACUUAAGAGACACUUUGGUCACUUAAUAGACAUGGCCUGACAGCAAAAGUGUUGUCUAAAAGACACUAGGCUUUCUUAAGCUAUUAUCGCUUAAGUUAUGUCCUGGUCGCUUAAGCGACACUAGUAUGCCAGGCGUCUGUCGCUUAAGUGACAAUGAAGUCACUUAGGCAAUGAGGAGAGCUUCAUGUAAGCGAUGCCUAGUCACUUAAGGGGUAGCCAUUUAAGUGACCCAAUAGUCACUUAGGCAAUUCCUAGAUAUAUAUUAAAUCCUUAUUUUUAAGAUUUUACACGAUUGUUUAGACAUGGAGCUUAGGGUUUGAAUUUUUUGGCAUUUUUUUCCAUUUAUAAGCUUGUGUAAGAUGUAAAUCCCUAUUUCAUUUAUUUUUCUUUGAUUUUUAUCAACCAAAUCUUGUUUAAACUUGAAUUUUAAAGUUGAAGUUUGAGGAUUAAGGCCAAAAUUAGAAUUUUCUACAAUUUAAACAAUAAUUUUAGCCUGUUUUCACUUGGGUUUUUUCCUGUGAGUUCCUUUAAUCUUGGAAAAUAUGUUUUUGAACAAAAUUUUGGUUUUACCACUUUUUUAAAACCCGUCUGGGGUUCCAUUUUGGCCCUAAUUUAGAAAUGGACAAUAUGGUUAUCGCUGGCUUCUUUUUGAUGCAUGUAUUCUAUAUUUAUGUAUUUUAGCUAAUUUUGGGUCCCUGCAUGAGGUUAAAGCUCAGUGUUAAUGGAUUAUUAUACUAGUAUCUGAUUUUGAGGUAGGUUAUGGUUUAACUUUCUUUAGACUGGGUUAGAAGGUAUCUAAUAAUGUAAAAGCUUACCAUGGGUGUUAGGUUGUGUCUUGGAAAAUGUGUUUAGGUGAUUUGUGUGCCCUGUGGGGGGCUAUGUUAAUAAUAUUUUAUGGUUUUGAGACAUUACUUUCUAUGUGUAACUGUGUGAGGUCCUAUAUAUAUAUGUUUGGUUGUACUAUUUUUUAUGGAAAAAACAUAAAUUUUGGGAUUCAUGUUGAUCUAAGUGAAUUUUUGGCUCACAUGGUUGGUUAGAUAUUAGAAAUUAUCAUCUUGGUUUAUUGUAAGCAUUACAUCCUUAUAUAAUACUCAUUCAGGAACAUUGGCUCCACCAUGGAAAUAUUGGAAAAACUAGAAACACUGGCUUUUUCUGACAAAAAAGUGACAUCUUUAAAAACCCUCUACCGAUGUAUGUGUUAAAGAGGAGAUAUGAUAUCAACAUUAGAUACUGGAUGUAUAUGGGCUGAAGAACCCCCAUGGGUCCUAUGUCAGGAGCAAAGCCUGGACCUGUAUAUAGAGGUUGUGCGAUGACCUCAUGCUAAUCACAUUAUAAUUAUCUUGAUUGCAUUCCAUAUGUUGUGAUUAUUUUCUGAUUGUCUUUCAGUUUGUGAUUUGACAUCUAUCAAUUAGUUCUAUCAUCUUAUACUUGUAUUAUAUGUAUGUGAAUACUUGUUCUUCUUUCCCCUACCUGUUUUUAUUAUAUGUGUAUAUAGUAGAACUGUUAGUGGGGAUGGUGUCGGCUACUAUUUGGGACAUUUUAAUGUUUGCAAGUGAUCUUCCCAUAUUUUGUCUUUAUAUGUUUCAUUUCCUAAUUUACUCAUUUGGCCUAUGAUACCUAUACUUAUCCUUACUACACCCUUUUAGUACUGAUCUAGGUACGAUUGCGCUGCACGAAUAACUUAUUCAUACGACCUUUGGAGUCUACUUGAGUAGAGGUUGAUCUAUGCAUUCGGUGUUGACUACUACCUUUUCUUAAUACUUGUCUUAUUUGUAUUCAUAGAUAGAUUUGAUCCUUUCGGGUAAUACAAUUUAUAUUUUGACAAUUGAGUUGUAUUUGAUGGUUCUUACAUUGUGAAAAUAGGUUAUGGGUUUUGGUUUGGUAUCUUGAUUGUAUACCUGCUAAUAUCAUAUUUGUGUGGUUUUUCAUCGUUAUAGAAGACUUGCCUUGGGUUUUGAAGUUGAAUUCUCAUUUCACAUCAGUUUGGUGAUAGGCUUACUUGUCAAGUCUUGACCGACAAUUGCCAUCAAGAACCUUGGUUUUUUGGUUGUGUAAUGCCCCAAUUUUUUUUGAAUCAAAAUGCCACAAGGUGCUAUGAUCCUAAAGGACCACAAGCUAACCCUCUACUGAUAUCUGUACCUGAGCACUACAUAGUAUAAUAUAAUAUAAUAAAUGUAAAAAACUGGCGAAAAUUUUUUAUAAGGUUCAAAACAUCUAAAAUACUCAAAACUAAAAAUUGAAUAAUGAUACAUCUGUCUAACAAGCCUCUAAACUUGUCUGAACUAUAGAGAUGAUGGGACAUGUCCCCAACUAACUCCGUCUACUGAAAAUAAGUUGAUUCUAAUUCCAUAAUAAAAUAAGGAUCAUCCUCGAAUAAAGAGGACUCACUUCUACAUCUGCUGCUGCUGACUGAGUCUGGACUGCUAAGGGUACUCUGGAUCUUGCGCUUCUGAACCUAUGGUAUAAGACAUCAUACCAUAAGAAAAAAUAUGCUUCAGUACUUUGAAUAUAAUGGUAUGCUAGAUGAGGUAAGGCUAAAUGCAAGGGCUUAUGCAUAAACAUAGCUUAACUGAAUAACAUGAGAGUGCUGAAUAAGUACAUAUGCAUGAAUGCACAAACCAAACUGAAAUCAUCAACUUUGAAUACUGAUACUCGGAUACUACUUUACUAAUAUCUGAACUCACUACUAAUACUGAGAUACUAAAUAACUAAAUCUUUUGAUAUUGAUAACUGAGUAUUGAAGUUGAGAUCAGUCCUUUCUUGCGGUUGAUCUAUAAAAUUGAUGAUGCUGAAGCUGAUCAACUGAAUCUGCUUAUAUCAAUGAAUGAGUUCUGAGUUUGCUACUAUCAACUAACUAAAUCUAUGAUCAAACCUUUCUAACGGAUGAUCUCUGAAUCUACUAAUAAUGAUAAAGAGUGAUUGUACCUGAGAUCAGACCUAUCUAGCGGAAGAUCUUUGAAUGUUUUAAUAAUAGAAAUGACGGACUGAGUUUAAGAUCAGGCCUAUCUAAUGGGUGAUCGUCGACUCUAUUAGUACUGAUACUAAUUAACUUUAUGUGAGACCAGGCCUAUCUAGUGGGUGGUCCAUGAAUCUAUGGAACUAUCUAAGUUCCUUACUAAGAUGGGUGACUAUAUUUGACAAUCCUAAUUUUUGAGUUCUACUCUGAAGACUGAUACUGAAACUACAACUGUGGGAGUUAUCACUUAACCGAUAUGCCCCGAAUCUGAUCUAGUGGGGUACAACCUGUAACCCUAGUUAGAAGGGUAUCAAUACCGUGCCACGAGUAAAAACCUUUGCUAUGUUCAAGCCUCUCUAACGGGUGACACUAAAUAGGAAGUCAAGCCUAAGGCAUUAUGAUAGUUAACCCUUAAUCUAACGGGUGACUCCUGGUCUGUGCUGGCUACACAGUUUUAGAGUUCAGGCACUAUUACUAGCGACUCAGCCUCUCUAACGGGGAAACCUUCAUCCUUGCACUCGCUCGGUGCUAGUUUCUACUCCCAACUGAAAGACACUAAACUAAUUCUUGGACUGUACUAGACCGAGAUAAAUCUAUUGCUGAUUAUCUUACUUGAGUGAUCUGACUGAGUUUACUUGAUUCCAUUAUCUGAUAGAAUACUUUUGAAUCUCGUUAUCUGACUGGAUGAUACUAAGUUCUGAAUUGAUUACUUAAAUUCUACUAAAGUUUGAAACUGAAUUCUUAAAUACUACUAAGAUCUGAGCUGAGUACUGAACUAAAGUUGGAAUGCUAAUGAUACUUAGGCUGCAUUUGUUUUUUUUAACAUUCAGACGUCUGAAUCUGAAUGCACAUCUGAAUGAUUAAGAUAUUGUCUCUAGAUCUGAAAACUGAAUAAUUAAGACUUUGUUUUUCAACAUCUGAAUGUGCAAAAAAAAUUUAUUUGUAUAUAUAAUAAAAUAAAAAAUUUAAUUCAAAUAAAAAAUUAAUUAUGUAUUAGAAAAUUAUGUAAUUUAAUACAACAAAAUUAUAAUUUGAUUGAGAAAAAAUAUUUAUGUUUGUUAGUGAUAGUGGAGAUGGUUUAUAAUGGUGGUUGCGGUGACAAUGAUUGAUGUUAGUGAUUAAUAAUGUUGGUGGUGAUAGUUAUGAUGUUUGGUAUUAUAGUGAUUGUUAUGAUGGUGAUGAUUGAUGGUGGUGAUGGUGGUUGUGAUGUGACUUUGCUUGAUGUUAGUAGUUUGAGGUGUUGAUUGUGUUGACUGAAAUAUGAAUACGAAAUGGUUGAUGAUGUGUUAGUGCUAGUUGGAGAUAUUGUUUAUUGUGAUGGUGGAGAUGGUUGUUAGUAGAGAUAAAUUGUAGCGAUGGUAGUGAUUGAUGUGUGGUAGAGGUGGAAUUACUAGAGACAAUGGUGGUGUCAGCCGAAGAAUGUGUGGAGGUUGUGAUGUGUUAGUGGUAGUUAGUGGUGAUGCUAGUUGUAAUAGAUACGUUGAUCGGUAGAGGAAUUGGCCGGUAGUGGUUGAUGAUUAUGGUGCUGUUGAUGGUGGUGAAUAUAAUUAGAAUAAUAAAUGUAAUAGGUGUGGUAGCAGUUGACAAUAGUGGUUGGUAGCGAUAUUUGUUGUUGAUGAUGGUUGUGAUGGCAGAGGUGGUUAUUGAUGGUGGAUGGUGGUUGGCAAUGGUGGCGGUGGUAGAGGUGGUUAGUGGUAGUGACUGCUGAUUAUGAAUAGAGUGGUGAAUAUUAUCCAACACCAGAAUAUCUCUUAAGACCUAUUAAGACUUGGUUCCAGAUCUGAAUGAUUAAGACUUAUUCUGACCUAUUAAGAGCUAAAAUCUUAAUAAAAACAAAUGCACUUGAUGGUCUAAAGUUUGAACCAUUCAGAUUCAGACCUUCAUUUAGUACAAACAAAUGAGGCCUUAGAUUACUGAGAUUUCUUAAGUUCUGCAAUUGUCUGAGGUAAUGAAUUCUGUAACUGACUGAGUUCUAAGAAUCGUGACUUGACUGAGAUUAUCAUGAAAACUGACACUGGCUCUAGACAACAGCUAAUUUGUCGGGUAUAAAUAACCCCAGGACCCGAUAACAUAAAAGUAAAACAUAACCAUCUUAAAUAAUCAUGACCAUGGAAUUUCAUUCACCAUUAUAAUCAUUAAAGUGUCACUUAAAGCACUUAGAAAUCAUAAAUAUGUAAUAAUAUAGGGAGACAUGCUACUGGCUCAUACUCCAUUUAACAAGGUCUUACAACAGACAUUUUACAUGCAUUGAAGAGCACAUAAUUAGGGAAUUUCAUGCUAACAUGUCACAAUUCAUUCACUAAGGCUUUUCAAUAAACACUUGGCAUGCAUGAACUUACACACAAUUGGGGAUUUCUAGUCAACAUGCUAUAAUGGCUCUAAUUCCUUCACAUAAGCAUUUUUAUCAAACAUAUGUGGAGCAUGCUUUGGUUAUUCACAAUUUCUGCACUUACUUGACAUAAACACACCACUUAACAAGCAACUUGAAAAACAUUUACCAUGAACAUCACAUGAAUAUCACAUACUAGGAUCAAAGCUUGAAACUUUGCAACCAAACCAUGAAUUAAACUCAAUAAUAACAUGAAAUUCAACUUUGAUUCACAUGAAUCAUGAAAACUCAUAAAUAUAAGAUCUUUGAAUUUAGAAAAGGAUUCUUGAACUUCUUCGGUGGAAGGAACCCAAGAAUCACAUCAACAUGCCUUGUUAUAUGACUCUCGGAAGAUUUACGGAGGAAUCUUGAUGACUUGGGUCUUGAACUUGAACCCUAAUGGUUGUUCUUGAAGAAAAUUGAGAGAAAACUAGUAUAUUUGGGUGAAAUAAUGAGAAAUCUCGUGUUAAAGAGUACAUAUAGGGGUAGCAAAAUAACCGUCUUUCCCUUGGAAUAAAUAUCCAGAACUGGAAAAAUCCCAAUUUUAUACGCUGGCGUGAUGUGCCAUAAUUGCACCAGCUUACUGGAAAUUGGACAAUUGGGAAACUGCUUGAUGGCACGACACAUUGGAAAUCGCGUUGCCACCUUGGUUGCAAACUAGAAGGGCACCGCGACAUGAUGGAAUCGCGUUGGUGCACUGUUAAUUGAGAACUCUAAAAUUAAACCUUGGCACGACGUGCCAUAAUCACAGAGGCUCACUAAAUUUUGAUGUUUGCCAUUUUGGUUGGAUCCGAGAUGCACUAAAGUACCAGGUGGUACACUAUCUCACUAAAAUGGCUCUAACUCUUUGUCCGAGUGUCGAAUUUGGGCGAAUUUGGUAUCGAUGGAAAACUUAUUCAAUUUACCACGUUAUUAAAAGUCAAAAUAUUAAAAAUUUCACAUGAAAUAAAAUAUAUUUAUCUUUGAAACAAGAUCUUUCAUAUUCUAGAGACAAAUUUGAACUAGGAGAAGGGUAGGGUAUUACAAGUCGUGACAUUUACAAGCCUUUCUCUAAAUUCUAAUAACAUUAAACCUUUCUCUAAAAGUUGCCUCUUUGAAAAUAUAAAUGUAUGUCAUUUAUCUAACUCUAUACCAGCAGCCUCAACAAGAUGAGGGGGAAAGUGUUCUUCAGAAUGACUGGGUGUAAAGGGCACGUAGGCAGUGAAUCUGGUUGAAAAUGAAAGCUACAAAAAACUGGCAUAAUGCUCUCGAAUCCAAUUCACCUAUCUGAGAUAUUUUGAUUGAGGGUCGCAACUAAUAUUAGAGUGUGAAAAUUUCCCAUUGUUGGAACACACAUUUCAUUUCUAGGGUAAAGGAGUAAAAACAACUCCACCAGAUGGGAGAGGUGACCAAAGGAAGCUUGUUCACCUUCUCUACUUCCUUCAAAUCAUACGAUGUUCUAAUAUCAAAUAAAAAUAUUCAAACAAGGAAUUGGAAAUCUUUAUUAGAAUUUGAUAUCUAGCUAAAACAUGAUGUAACACCCCAAAAUCUCAUCCCGAAGCAUCACACGAUGCUCAAGGCUACAAGUAGCCUUAAGCUAACCCUUUGAGCCUGCUACUAAAACUCAUACUUACUCUAGGGAUUCAAAAUUAGUUAAUAAGAAUAAAUCUCAUCACUCAACUAAAAAGACUGAAACUAUAAUGUUUGAAACACAAAAUACUGAAAAUUGCUGACAAACAUCUGAAACUUCAGUCUGACAAAGCCUUUAGUACUCAAGAUCUAGAGAGCCAUUGGGAUAAAUCCCUAACUAACUCAUACUCAACUUAAAAUAAAUAACCACUGAUAUCAAAUCUGAAGGUCUGAGAAAUAGGUCUGAGAACCAUGAGGACUCACCAACUGUAGAGUAUAGAUCAAGGUACUCGAAGAUUGUUGAUGAUGCUGAGACUGAGCACCUGACCUAUAUUAUAAGACAAUAUACCAUAUAGACGUAUAUGUGGAUUAGCACUUUGAGGAUGUACUAAGUAUAUAGGGUGUAUGCAUUUAUAUAAACAAUAUCAUUACUCUUAAUAAAAUCUAGCACGCAAAUAUGAAUGACUCACGUGGCUAGAAUAAACAGUAUCAUUACUCUUUAUAAAAUCUAGCAUGCAAAUAUGAAUGACUCACAUGCAAAUAUGAACUACAGAUAACCCUGACUAUAUAUAUAAUUCUUAAGCAACUUUUCCUAUAUGUUUCACUAUCUCAUAUGGACUAAUAAAUCGAGGACUCAAUUUUUCCUUUUUUUUGAAUCUCAUAAUUCCCUUCAUAGGAAACACCUUUCAGAAUACCCAAUUGUCCACUUCAUACAUGAGAUAUUUCCUUCUUACAUUAGCAUACGAUUUCUGACAGCUCUAAGUAAUUUUCAGUCACUCAUUAAUCAAUUGAUCCUUUUCCAUAGCUUCAAGAAAAGUAUACGAGUACGACCAUGAGGAUGGAUGAGAACGAGUGUGUAUUGAAUCUUUCCAAGGAAGUGCACAAGUUGAAGUGUGAAAGAGGGCCUAAAUGCACUAAAAAUAGCCCCUAAGUUACACUUUAAUGGGCACCUCACCCUUGAGGGGUAUUGUGGUUAUUUUGUAUUCUAUUUUGUAAUGCACUAUAUAUAGAACCUCUUAGGGUUUUUAGUCUUAGAUGUUUAUUGAUAUUGAAAGUUGUAAGAAGAACAUUUCUCUCUUGUGAGAAAGGCCUAUGGAUGAAACAUUGUAACUAGGAUUUCCAACUUGAGUGUGGAAUCAUUCGGGUUGGAUUCGUGCUUGGAAUGUUGGGUGCUAGAGGAGGUUGAGGUCUCUCUUGCGCUCACCAAAGAGAUAGGUAUUUUUAGUGUGUAAUGUUAAGGGUCCAAGAGUGGAAUAGGCUCUUGGGUUCUUAAGAUUAUACCUUCACUUUGUCUAUCUAUCUAUCUUUACGUAUAUUUCUUGGACUCUUUGUUGUUGUUCUAGUCAAAACCGAGUGUUGUUGUUUCCAUUGUGUUAUUGUUCAUCUUGUUCUUCAUCUUGAUACUCUCUUUUUUAGUUUGUGGUGGCUGUUUUGGUGUCAAAUACACCAUUAUUAUCUCGUAUUAUUGUUGUUGUAGUGAAUUCGAGAGUGGUCUCCAAAAAGGUUCUCGGGUCCUUAAGAUUAGUGGACUGAUUUGGAGUGUGUUUUCGUACUUCCGUUAUCUUUCUCAUAUCAUUUGGUAUCAAAGCAUAGAACAAGAUCAAUCUUGGGCUUGCUUUUUAGAAAAUUCAAAAAAAUAAAAAAUUGUUGUUGAAAAAACUGAAAAUUCCAGAAAAAAGAAAGAGCAACUGUCCAUUUAGUGUUCUUGGCCAAAAAUUGUAUUUUUGUUGUGUAUUGGUCAAUAUUUUUACUUGUAUUUGUUGUCUUUAAGUGUUAGUUUUGUUCCUCACUAACACGUUGAGUCUAUAUCUUAGAUUUGAGCUUGAAAUGUUGAUGUUGUUAAUGUGAAAAAAGUGUGGCCGAUUGUUAUUGGUAUUGUUGUUGCGGGUUCAAGACUUGAACGUGUGAUGUGUUAUUGUUUCAAGUUUCAAACGUGUAUUGUGAAGAUUGUGUUGUGGAAUUUAAGCUUGGGAAGUUGUUGUUGUUGUUGUUUGGGAGGUCCAACUUGAACCUUAAAACUUCAAAACUCAAAGUUUGUGUUCUUAGUGUUCUGGUGUUCUUGGUGUUCUUGGUGUUCUUCACCAUCUCCAUAUAUUGUUGAUGAAAAAAGUGGUUGUUGAUCUUAGAAGUUGAAGAAAAAGAGUGUGUAUUAUGUUAGUCUUGCAAGACAUAGAUCCAACUUUCAAGGUAUAGUACUUGUGACUCAAAGACUUUUCCUACACACUAAAGACUUUACAUCACUUCUCAACCACUUUCCCAUGAAACAAGGGUCCAUGUUUUAAGGAAAAGUACUACAAAAAAAGGCUCCAAGACUUAUUCUUCUCUUCUUAAAAUAAAUUCCAUCAAUCCAAAUUAAAAUUGGUCAAGACUUGGACUUUGGAAAAUAAAAAUUAUAGAAACCGCAACCAAUACGUGGCUGCCACAUCAUCAAGUUACUGUUCAUGCAUCAAAUUUUGGCUCAAAUUUUAGAUUUUCUUAGUUUCUUUUUAUUGUUCCAUAGUUUUUUUUGUUGGUUCCAAUACUAAUUGGCAAACUAGUACUCUUCUACUAGAUUGUUAGUUAGUCUUUGUGUUCGUUCUUUCGUGUUUAGCGUUUGUUCUGUGCUUUUUUUCUUCUCUUUUGUGAAUUCAUUGUGUCUUGUUGGUUCAAAUAAGUAAACAAUUUUUCUUUUGAGUCAACUUAAACGAAAAUCUAUUUCGAGCAAAGAUGGACUCAUCCCUCAAUCACUCAGGAAGUACAAGCCGACUUUCAACACUUGUGAAACCAAGGUGAGGUAAUACCGAGAGUGGGGGUGUGGUGACGCAUUUUGAACUAACAAGUUUGUUUUGUUGUUUGUUGUUGUCCUUUGCUUUAGGUACCAUGGCUGCCACUAAUCUCGAUGCCACAUUUGAUCACAUCAAUGAUGAUAUUGAAGAAAUGAAAUGGUACGUGGAAAGGCUACGCCAAUUAUUACCUAAACUUAUCCUACAAAAUCCAACUUUCCUUGUCCAAACACCUUUUGCCGAGAGCUUCCCGAAGGAAGAGGUGGGCUGCCCUGACCCACACCAUGGUAAAGAGGAGAUUGAAACAUCUUUGGUACUUGACAGUGAACUUAUAGAGAGUGAAGUACUUGCUAGUUCCAAAUUUGUCUAUGAGAUAGAUCAUGCUCUCUUUAGGUUUAAUGUUUUGUUUGAAGAUGAUAUAAAAAAUCCUAAUGAACCUAGUGGUGAAUUUAUGGUAUAGCUUGCCUUGAAGGCUAUAGCCGAUAUGCUAACCCACUAUGGUAUGGCAACAUUCCUCCUAAAGAUGGAAAUCUCUUCUUGGAAGAUGAUAGUACUCUUAUGGGCAAGGAAUGUGUAGUCUUGGAAAUGAGUACUCUUAGUAGUACUCUUGGUGUUCAUGAUGAUCAAUUUACACUUAAAUGUAGUUCACUGCUUGAGCAUGUAAAUGAAGUGCUUAAAAAUUCGCAAGUUAGUGAUGGUGUCUAUAGAAUUGAUCUUGAUAAUGCGCGUGACUCUUUGAACAUCUUAUGUGGUAAAAGCAUUGUGAUUAGUUUUGUUCAUAGAGAUCAUGUGUAUGAAAAUAUUUUUAUGUGUGAAUGUGGGAGUGACAUUCUAGGGGGAGAAAGGGCUAGCUUCAACUUAGGCCCUUGGAUAAUUAUUCCAUUUGGUCCCAAUAACAUCUUAGGGUGGGAAAGGAUGACUCUUGGCCUAUUUUCCUUUUUUCUUGAUGCUUGUUCGAGCCACUUCCUUUGUAGCAAUUGUACUAAUCUUUUCAUGAUUAAAACAAAGGACUCGUGGCUAUACUUCAAAUUUGUCCCACCUCGGCAUGGCAUGUUGAUGUGUUAUUUUUGCUAAACCUAACCCCUCAUAUCAUGGGGAUGUUUGCUUGUUUCUUCUCUUGAUCUGUAAGGUAUGGAUUCGAGGUCGAAUCCUUUUCAAGAAGGGGGGAUGAUACGAGUACGACUAUGAGGAUGGACAAGAAUGAAUGCGUAUUGAAUCUGUCCAAGGAAGUGCACAAGUUGAAGUGUGAAAGAGGGCCUAAAUGCACUAAAAAUAGCCCCUAAGUUAAACUUGAUGGGCACCUCACCCUUGAAGGGUAUUGUGGUCAUUUUGUAUUCUAUUUUGUAAUGCACUAUAUAUAGAACGUCUUAAGGUUUUUAGUCUUAGAUGUUUAUUGAUAUUGAAAGUUGUAAGAAGAUCAUUUCUCUCAUGUGAGAAAGGCCUAUGGCCAAAAUAUAUUAACUAGGAUUUCCAACUUGAGUGUGGAAUCAUUCGUGUUGGAUUCAUGCUUAGAACGUUGGGUGCUAGAGGAGAUUGAGGUCUCUCUUGUGCUCACCGAAGAGAUAGGUAUUUUUAGUGUGUAGUGUUAAGGGUCCAAGAGUGGAAUAGGCUUUGGGUUCUUAAGAUUAUACCUUUACUUUGUCUAUCUAUCUAUCUUUAUGUACAUUUCUUGGACUCUUUGUUGUUGUUCUAGUCAAAAUCAUGUGUUGUUGUUUCCAUUGUGUUAUUGGUCAUCUUGUUCUUCAUCUUGAUACUCUCUUUGUUAGUUUGUAGUGGCUGUUUUGGUGUCAAAUACACCAUUAUUAUCUCGUAUUAUUGUUGUUGUAGUGAAUCCGGGAGUGGUCCCCAAAAAGGUCCUCGGAUCCUUAAGAUUAGUGGACUAAUUUGGAGUGUGUUUUUGUACUUCCGUUGUCUUUCUCAUAUCAAAAAGAGCUAGGCCUAAUCAAAGCUGCUUCACUGACCAUGAACCACCUAUAGAUGACUUGCACCUACGUUCGUACAACGCUUUAAAUGGAUCAAUAUGGAUGUUAGCAUGAUAACUAUUAUUAUAAGCAAAUUCAAUCCAAGGUAAAUGUUAUUCCCAACUUCCUUUAAUGUCUUAAACACAAGACCUCAACAUGUUCUCUAUUAUUUGAAUUGUGUAUUCAAACUGACCAUCAGUCUGCGGAUGAAAUGCGGUACUAAGCUUAACAUUUGUACCAAGGCCCUUCUAUAAAUACUGCCCAAAUUAUGAAAUAAACUGUGUUCCUCUAUCUGAAAUAAUGGAUAAGGGUAUCAUAUAAAGACUUACCAACUCGUGAACAUAUAUUUUGGCACAAUUCUCCGUGGUAGCUGAAGUCUUAACAGGUAUGAAAUGGGAUGACUUAGUCAUUCAAUCUACUAUGACCCAAAUUGAAUAAUGUUGACGUGUUGUAUGAGGUAACCCUGUGAUGAAAUCCAUAUCACUACUUACCACAUCUAAGUAGGGAUACUAAUCUCUCGCAAUGUACCACCCGAUCUUUGGUGUUUCAACUUAACUUGCUGAUAAUUGGGACACUUGGCUUCAAACUCAGCUAUGUCCCUCUUAAUACUAUUCCACCAAUAAAUCUCCUAUAAGUCAUUGAGCAUCUUUGUAUCACUGGGAUGUUGGAAUACCUUGAACCAUGAGCCUCGGCUAGUAUCCUUUCCCUCAACUUGCUUAUAUUCAGAACAAAAAGUCUACCUUGAUAGCGAAGUACACCAUCUGCCCCUUGGGAGAAAACCUCAACCUUUUGUUGCUGGACUACUUCCAAUAUUUGGUAAAUUAUGGGAUCAUUUUGUUGUUUCUCCUUCACUUCCACUACCAAAGAUGAUUUUGAACCAUUCUGAAUUAAUACCUCAUCAUCAGUGUCGAGCAUACACAAUUCCAAAUAAGCCAACCUAUGCAUUUCUUUAGCCAAUUUUUGUUUUUCCUUCAUCACAUGAGACACACUCUUAUAUACAACCUAUUUAAUGCGUCUUCCACUACGUUUGCCUUACCCGAAAAAUAGAGCACAUUCAUGUCAUGCUCCUUCACAAAUCCAACCACUUUCUCUGACGAAGAUUCAGCUCCCUUUGAGAAAAUACAUACGGAAGACUUUUAUUGUUAGUAGAAACAUCGACAUGCACACCAUAGAGGUAGUGCCACCAAAUUUUCAAGGAAAAAAACACCAUAGCUAACUCCAAGUCAUAAGUUGGGUAAUUCAUUUCAUGAUCCUUAAGUUUCCUAGAGGUAUAAUCUAUCACUCUCCUAUUUUACCUCAACACACAACCUAACCCAACACUAGAAGCAUCACAGUAUACUACGAAUUUGUCUAACCCUUUGGCAAGGCUAAAACUAGUGCUGAAGUCAAUCUAUCUUUCAACUCUUGGAAACUCUUCUCCCACUUAUCCGACCAUAUAAACUUCACCUUCUUUUGGGUCAUCUUAGUCAAUGGUGAGGCUAUAGAAGAGAACCCUUCAACAAAUAUUCCAUAAUACCAGCCAAACCCAAAAAGCUUCAGAUAUCGGAUGGAGUGAUAGGUCUAGGACAAUGCUUCACUGCAUUAGUCUUCUGAGGAUCUACAUGAAAACCAUCCUUUGAAAUGACAUGUCCCAAUAAGGUAAGGAUUCAAACCAAAACUCACAUUUACUGUACUUCAAAUACAAUUGACGGUCCUUGAGGGUCUGCAGCAUUAUUCAUAAAUGGUCUGCAUGCUCUUCCUUACUCAUGGAAUAAACCAGUAUAUCAUUUAUAAAGACAAUGACAAAUAUGUCCAAUUACUACUUAAAGACCCCGUUCAUCAAAUCCAUGAAACCUGUAGGACCAUUUGUCAGUCCAAACGACAUAAACAUAAACUUCAAAUAGCCAUACCUCAUUCAGAUAGUUGUUUUUAGAAUAUCUUACUCCCUAACUUUCAACUGAUGGUAUCUCAAUCUAAGGUCAAUCUUUGAGAGCCAUUGGCACCCUGAAGUUGAUCAAACAAAUCAACAAUUCUGGGAAUAAUAUACUUGUUCUUAGUGGUAACCUUGUUUAACUGUCUAUAUUCUAUACACAUUCUAGAGUACCAUCUUUCUUGCACACAAAAAGGACUGGAGCACCCUACUGAAAAAUAUUGGGUCUGAUAAAACCUUUUUAUAAAAGGUCCUUAAGUUGCUCAUUUAAAUAUUUAAGUUUGGCUGGAGCCAUACUACAUGGAGGGAUAGAAAUCGGCUGAGUAUCAGGAAGAAGAUGAAUACCAAAUUCUAUUAUUCUGUCUGGAGGUACCCCUGGCAGAUUUUUGGGGAAAACCUCAGGAAACUCAUUAAUUCUAUGGACUAAUUAAACUGUUGGGGCUUCAGACUUGGUAUCUUUGUCUCAAACUAAAUGAUAGAUUGUAACACCCCAAACUCUCAGGAUAGAAUCAAGACCGUCGUCCUUAUGCGUAUAGACCCAAACUAGAUGAUUCCUCGUUAAUAUAUGUGUGGUGAUCAAUCCUAUAGUGUAAUAAUACCUUUGACUAUGAAUUGAGUUCACAAAAAUCCCCUAACUCUAAGACGAGUUGAAAACAUUUCAAUCAAAUAAGUUUUAGUGGAUGUUUAAACUUGGGUCAACUUCCAUUAAGUAUAACUCCUAGAAUAUGAUGAAUUAGAGGGCCUAUUAUAUAUCAAAUGAAAGUUCUUCGAAUUAUAUUUCCAACAAGACUAAUUUCACCAAAAUACGACAUCCGAGCAAGAAGUUAUGGCUUUGCAAAGUGGAGUGUGUUGCCUAGCAUAGGGUUGUCUGACGCACACCCUAACUUAUGCCAUAAGGUGUGCGACGCACACAUUGAUGUGUGUGAUAAGUGUGCGCCGCACAACCUAUCUUAUGUGAUAAGGUAUGCGCCGCAUACAUAUUGACCCAAGUGACUUAAACACUCCAUUUUUGGGGCAAAAUAGUCCUUUUCCUACCCAUAUAUAGUCCAUAAACAUGGAAUUUAUUUCCAAAACAACAAAAAUACACUCUUUUCUCCAAAUCCCUCAAGAACUAACCCUUAGGGUCUUAACCAAAAUAUCAAGAUCCCUCAAGAGUCAACCAUGGGUUUUUAAAAUUGAUUAAAGAUUUAGAAUCUCCAAAUCGUAGGCUUCAAGAAUCAUCCAUCGAAUUUCUAAUUCGAGGUACGUGGGGUGUUCCUAAAAAUUCAUAGGCAAAGAAACAUUCUUUAAUUCAUACUAAGGAUUUAUAAAUCAUGUUUUAAGAAAGGGGUUUCAAAUUUAUGGACAUAUUUAUGUUUUAGAAGCAUUAAUGAUAUUGUUUUGGUCUUUAGGCCUUUCCCCAAAUUGAUUGAAAAAUUAUAUAUAUAUAUAUAUAUGUAUGUAUGAAUGUGUUUAAGGAUGAAUAUUCAAUUGAAAGCAUGAAUUAUAAUGAACCCCUCUCUUGUUAUGAUCUUUCUCAUCUUUUAUAUGAUAUGAAUUGUUCUAAAUUACAUCUUGAAAAGCAUGUUAUGAAAUAUUUUGAAUGAUGUUAUAUUUAAAUUAUGAUUUCGAGUUCAAAAGAGAGAGGGUUGUUUAUGUUGUUGAAUGUUGAAAAUAUUCAUAUAAUAAAAGAGUGCAUGCUUUUGCCAAAAGCACAUGGCCACUAUAUGUUUGAAUAAUCUCAGCAUAGUUUUGACUCAUGUUUUCAGAACAUGAAAUCCUUUAUAUUGUUUGCACGUUUGCUGGUCCGAACUGUGUUUUAAUGAAAGAAUUAUGCAUGAUGCAUUAUAUCUCAGAAAUAGGAAUUGCAAGUCUUGAUGUGACGACACCAAUUUAGAUUACGCCAUGAUAAUUUCAUAAUAGAGCAUGUUUGAAAUCAUACUUUUCAGAUAUUAAAACUAGAAAAAUGCAUGAUUCAGAAUAGGAUAAAAUUAGGCAUAAAGAGAGCUUAGGUGGUUCCCCGAAGAAGGCACGAGCUCAGAAAACUCAUUGCCCAAAACCGUGAUUUGUCGAUUUGGGUAUAUUAUAUUACGCUGGCCUAGUGUCGUGUGGCAUAUCAGAAUAGAAACUCCAACCCUUGUGGCACACUUGGGUUGGGGGCUUCUUCGCUGAGCCAAUGGAGGAUUCCAUACAGCCCGUGGGAUCUUAGAAUUGUAGGGGUGUACCACCUAGCUCAGAAUUAAUGUGAAGAACAGAAACAGUAUUGUCAAGAAUGAUUUAUGAUUUUCAAAAAGGGUGCCCAUGUGUUUCGAAAAUUGUUUUAUGUAUGAUGUUUUGACAAAUCGCUCUCCAUUAUUUUAUUUAUAUAAUAGCUUUAUUUUGGAAUGCUUUGCGUGCCAGUACUUUUUUGCUGACCCCCCUCCUUCCAAGUUUUGAGGCACAGUCUAGGGGUCCAGAUAAAUACUAGAUACGUCAGAUCACAAAUUAGAUUGUGCAGUAGUGAGCCUUCUAUAAUCCAGAAGGCCCAGAUAUUUAUCCUUAGUUAUGUUUUGGUCCACUGGGGGCCUUGUCCCAAUUUUCAGACAAUUUGUUUAGUUCAUAGUAGAGAUUUCGCAGACCGAGUCAGACAUUAUUACUAUUCAGAUAUAUUUUGAAUUUCAGUUUUCAGUAUUAUGAUCACUUUUAGAUUGACCAUGUUUCCAUAUUAGAUGUCUUCUGCAUUAUCUUUUAUUAAGUGAAUAUUGUGCAUGAUUACCAGAUAGAGAAAGGUGUUCUGGGCCAUCAUGGUUUGGAAUGCUCAUCACGGUUAGGGUCCCAAUUCGGGUCGUGACAAACUUGGUAUCAGAGCACAGUUCAUGGUCCCAGGUUAUCUGCAAAAUCGCAUUGGCUAGAGUCUUGUUUAUGGGUGUGUAGCGCGCCACAUUUAUAAGCAGGAGGCUACUAGGCAUUUAGAAAUAUCUCUCUUUCUUCAUGUUCUAGUUUGUGCUAUAGAGUCAGAAUGUUCCUCCUUCAUACUCAAUUUCAUGCUAUGACGUCGCCGAUACAAAAGAAAACUUAUCCUAAUUCUUUUUAUUACUAUGAAAAAUUAUCCUAAUUCUUUUCAUUACUAUGGUGUUUUCAGAUAAUGCUCUCAAAUUUACUAAUAGAAAUUUUCAAAAGUCACACAAAGGGCUUGAGAAGAGCUCCCUGAUAUGUCAUAAGUCCCUCAAGUUUAAAAUUGUGAUUGUUGGAACAAUAUUUUUGCUCGAGUGGUAGUAUAAGUUAAAGUAUCGGUGUCAUAACCUAUUGGUAGUGAAAUUAGAUGAAGAACUUGGUGAUAUUAAGUCACAGGGUUAGAGGUCAAAGUGAGGGUGACCUUUGUGUAACUGAAUAUUUAUAGCCGAAUAACCAUUGAUUGAGAAUGAUUUACCAUUUUUUUAGUGGUAGACUAAUGUGGUAGUACCAUUUGCGGAUUGUAUGGUAGUCCGUCGAGGAAGUGUUAGACUCGGAUUUUUAUUUAUACAGAGUAAGAUGUGUAUCCUUAGAUCAUUGAAUAUUGUAUCUCAAUUUUCUAUCUCUUGUAAUAUGUGAUCUUGUUAUCAUAGUGUUUUUGACAAAAAAAAUCAAAGUCUAGUGAAGCCGUGUGGGGCUCUUUUGAUUCACUAGCAUAGUUGGUUUGUUAUUCAUUUCAUUUUAUUGUUCAAAACACAAAAAUCAAAGCCUAAUGAAGCCGUGUGAGGCCUAUUUUGAUUCACUAGCAACUUGUUGUUCAACUUUUUAUUCUUGUGUUGGUUGAAUAUUUGUAUAGUUGAAUCUUUUCGCAUGAGAUUGAGUUGGUAAUAAAGUGAUACGUCCUUGUGUGUUAGUUUAGUAGAAGGUAGAGAAGGAGUUAUUAGUUAAGGUGAAUUGUUGUCUACUUGAAGUAUGAAAAUGGCAAGAUGAGCCAGUAAGUAAUAAUUAUAGACUCAUGGUUGCUUGUGGAAUUUGAAGGUAGUCUAAAUGUAUGUUUGGGCAAGUAAGUGUGAUGUGAGAAAGUCGUAUAAGUAGAUAGAAUUAUAAGGGGUUAUAAUAUAAGAUUAAGGUUGACCAUGUCUAUUACGUGACUUUACCCCCCUUGACCUUCUUUCCAUUGAUAGUUGUAAACUAGUACUACUUGUGAGAAGGUAUGUAGUAGAUUUUUGAGGUAUUUGGAUAGAAUGUCCCAAUUUAACGGACUGGUAUAUUAUGUUGCCUUCUUCAUUGGUGGUAGAUGAUUGAUGCUAGACUAUUGACUUGAAUUUAAUGUAGGAUGUGGAUGUAAGAAUAGUGUCUUAAGAUUAAUCAUGUAUGCUUUGUGAGAAUUGUAUGUCAGGUUGGGUUGUAAAUCAUGCUUAGCACUAUACAUUAAGUUUGAAUAGUUGAUGUCCAUAAAGGUGGAUGUGAUGAUUUCUUGGUUAAUGAUACUAGUUAUAUGGAAGUGAUCUAAUAGGCUUGAAUGGUGUAUGUAAUAGAUUAAGUUUAUUUGAUUCAUAACAAAGUACGAUGUUGUAUGUAUGAGGUAGAAGUAUGCCCAAGGUGAUAUAGAGUUGCAGAAUUUUCUAAGACCAUUACAUAUUGCGUGUGGCUAGUAGACAUAGUAGUACUAUUAAGUUCCUAGGUAAGGUUUCUUCUAUGAUAUAAGUUAUGCGAUUAACAGUCUAAUGUUAGAAGGUUAAGUAGUGUAGAGUCCAUGUUUAUGUGAUAAGAAGGAAGGAUGUGUAUGUAUGCUCAUGUGAUAUGAGCCAAAGGGCCAUCAUAGCUUUUGAUGACAUCAUUUGAGGCCCAUACAUGAAGAUUCAAGCUUUGGUCAUACUGAGGGUACAAGGACAUACAUAUAGGACUCAUUUUGAAAUUACAAUAGAGCAAAACCAUGUUUGGAAGAUUGCUUGGGACUUGUGUUGAUGCCUACCAAAGGGUUCCAAGAGGUUUCACAUUUUGAAGCUUGAAGAAGAAGGGACCCAUGAAGCAUUAGUAGGGCAUCCUUGGAGUGUAAACACUUAUUAAGGGUGUUUUAGUCCUUUUUGUGCCAUUUCUUUACACUCCAUAGGAUCCCUUUUUCAUUAAUUGUAUUUUGGUAUUUUAUGUAAUAAGCUAUAAAUAGACUCUUUAGGCUUAUUUUCUCAUUAGUUGAUUAUUGAUAUUUGAAAGACUUCUUCUUCUCUCUUUGAGAGUGUAGUGUAGGGCUUUGAAAAGCCAAGUAGAGUAGGGCUUGGAAAAGCUAUUAUUAAUCUUUGCUUAAAAAUGGUGGUUAUAAGGCGAAGUUGAUUCCCUUAGUGGUCACCGUAAGGGUUUGGUGUUGUAAUUGCUGGUCUUAAGGGUCUUAUCACUUGAUACACGGUUUGGUUCCUAUUUUUCAUAUUCUCGUAUGUCAAGCUAUCUAUCUUACUUUAUUGCAUUUGUUUGUUCUCUUGUUUAUCUUAGUCUUCAUCUCUUUAGGUCAUUCUUCUAUCAUUUGGUAUCAUGAGCAAGGUUUGAUUUUGUUCCAACAAAAUCAAUCUUGGGAUUGUUAUCUUGAAAACCAAAAAAAAAGUAAAAAAAGAAGAAAAAAAAAGAAAAAAAGUUAAUGUUCACGUUUUUAGGGUUUUUCAAUUUUUGAGACUUGAUUUUUGUUUGUUUUGUGUGUUUCUAGUGUUAGAUUCUUGUUCUCUAACAUUAUUAGAGUCUAGAAAUUGAAAAUCCCAACAAAAAAAAGUGUCAAAAUCAAAAAUCCCCCUUUCCCCAAAAUAUUAAACCCGUUUUUGAACCUAGGUUAAAUUUUGAGUUUUUGACUUUUUUUUGUUUUUGAAGUGUUAGAUUUGUGUUCUCUAAUACUAUAGGAGUCUAGGGUUUGAAUUUGAGCUAAAUUGAAGGUGAUUUGAGCCAUCCACCAUUGUUGACCUUGAGUUUGAAGAAACUUGAAAGUGAGAUCUCAUUGUGGAAGGUUGUUGUUGACGUUUUUGGAGAUGAAAACAUGAUAUUUGUGGUUGGAUUGUCAAUGUGAGCUUGGAUCUUCAAGAAAAAUCAAAUUCUGAGUUCAUUUGCUUAAGGGUCAACUUUGGGUCAAACUUUGAAUGUUCUGGUGUUCUUCAUGUUCUUCAUGUAUUGUUGAACAAGAACAUUCAAAAAGUGUUGUUUGAUCUAAAAAGGAGGAGAAAGAGAGUGUACUUCUUUGUCUCAAAGAAUAUUCCAAGCGUAUUUCAAGUCUUCCAAAGGAAGAAAAGAAUUCAAAAGGCAUCAAAAGGAAUAUUCUCAAAUAAGAGGACAAGGGCAAGUGCAAGGGAAAGUACAAGGGGGGACCAUCACAAAUUCAAACUCUUUUGAGCUAGAAAAAAAGGUCCAUUCUUUGUGUUUUCUUCAUCAAAACUGAUCCUACCUUUCUCCUAAGUUGAAGAUUGAUUGAAUACAAGUUGAAUACAAGAAAAUUUUUUCAAAACAUCAACCAUCCAAAGGCUGCCACGUCAUCACCAAGGGCUGCCACAUCAUCACUUCACUUUAAAAGCUUAAGCUCAAAUUUCAGAUUCUAAGUUUCAUUUCCUUGUUUCUUUAGUUUCAUUUCUUGAUUCUAGAACUAAUUAACAACUAGUAAUCACCUGCUUAGUUGUGAAUUAGUUGUUUGAGUUAGUUUUCUUCGUGUUUUCGUUCUUUGUGUGCUUUUCUCGUUUUGACUCGUUGAACUUCUUUAUUUCAAGUUCAUAAGUAGAUGUUGUAUUGUGUCUUGAGUCGAUCAAACAAGAAUCUAUUCCGGCCACUAAGUAGUGAUUGACACCUUAUUGACUAUCGGAGUAUAGCAACUUUCAAUAUUCGCUGCUCCAAUUGUGAGUAUCACAAAGGUGAGAGUAUAUACGAGUGUUGGUGAGGAGAUUUUACUACUAAUCUUGUUUUUUCAUUUUGUAGGUACGAGGUGAUAUAAAGGGAAAAUAUCUUGGUAGCCUCGAACUAUUGUGACUACAACAUAGGAGACUAUGAGUGUAGUGAGGGAUUUUAUGGCUACGAUGAUGUUGGAGAUUAUGGGGGCUAUGAAUAUAGCCAUGAUCAAGACAUAGGUAGAAUUGAGAGUUAUGUUUUUGAGAAAGAAAAUGAGGUGAAUGAAGUUCCUAGUGCUUAUGAUGAAUAUGGAGAUGAUGUAGGGCCUUGUAAUGGUUCUUAUGAUGAAGUUGGGGCAUGUGAGAAGUCUUACACUUCCUACUCCAAACCUAGAAUUUGUGUAAGGUAUAAACCUUUCCUUCACAAAGUGUAUGAGAGCCUUGGUGAGAGUGCACAUGUGGAGCAUGAAGAUUCAUAUUCUUUACCUUGUAGUACAUCUUAUCAAGGUCGAAGUGGUGUGAAUCGGUAUACUAGCUAUAGUGUAGGUUGUCCCAUGAGAAGAAGAGAUAAUACAUCUUCAAGAUGCUUGGGUGUCGAUUGGUUUGGAAAAUAUAGAGUUCCAAAUGUGCCAAAUUGGCCUAAGGUUGUAGUAGACCAUUGGGGAAAUUAUCUCCUUACCUCAAUUCUUCCCAAACUGCAAAGAGAUGUGAUCACUUACUCUGGCCCGAAUAAUUAUGAGAGACAAAAGAUUGAGAGGAGUAAGGGUGUGCAAGGUGGCAAUCCAAGAGUGGAAAAAAGAGAGGUUGUGUGGAGUGAAGUGAGGGGGUUGUCACCAAACCGUGCUAACUAUGUUUGUCCUUUUAUUUCAAAGGACAUUUGUGUAGGUACUAAUAUGGAAAGUGGAGGAGCACAAGGCUAAGGAGAAGUCGCUGCCGAAGCAUAUGGGAAACCUUUACACCACGGUAAAGAAGAAUUUGAUUGUGAUCCUUUGUAUGAUUCCCCACCCAUGUUUGAUGACUAUGAGGAUGAAUUUCUUUCUUCUUGUGAAGACUUAAGUAAUAAUCCAUUUGAUUCUACUUGUGGUGUUAUCUACUUGAGGGUUCUUCCAUGAAAAGAGAAAGUGUCCAUUGCUUGGAAAUUACUUCUUCUUCUACUUUGUGUAACCUUACUGUUGAGAGUACUCAUGGUGAUGAUUUUGAAACUAGUAGUGAGUACAUACAUGAGGACACCUUAGUUGAAGUUGACUUAAGUGAUACCUUUCUCUACUCUCUAUUUGCUUUUGAUAAUGUCUAUGCUAUUGUAGAGAGUGUGUCUUUUAGAUUGGGUGAAGCCUAUGGGGAAAAAGAGUGUUGUCUAGAUCCAUGUCUAUGGCCACUCUUUACAUUUAACCCGGAUGCCAAAUGUAGAUAUGAUACGGGUGUACAAAGCUGUCCAAUAUGUUCUCGACCAUUCACACGAAGUCAAGCUCGGGAGUAACAAAAACUACAAGCCAUGUUCAUGCAAAUGGCUGCGUGUUAUUUGGUACUUGAUCCGCCAAAGAUCUUCAACAUUUUUAAGUGUGAAAAUGAGCCUUGAAGUGUAAUAAAUUACACUCUAAGGGCACCCCAUGACUGAAGGGUAGGAAGGUCAUUUGUCCUUCAUUUUGUGUGUAAUAUAAAUAGAUACUAUGAGGGUUAUUAUCAGCACUUAGUUCAUUCCUCAUAUUUCACAACAACAAGUCUUAUAACAUUGAAUAUUUCUCUCUCUGUUGUUCUUGAGAGUAAAACUUGAAAUCUGUCCAACAAGUGUAGUUACACUUGUGUUGUUUCUUGGCUAGAAACUUGGGAUUUUGAGGUUCAUGAGUUCCUCUUGGUCUAAGUAAGAACUUGGUACUGAAAUCUUUUGGUCUUAGGGUCCUUUCUUCAAGUUAGGAUUCAUAGAUUCUAAGAUAUCUUUGUGUCAAGUUACUAUCUUUCAUUUUGUACUCUUGAAACUUUGCAGUAACUUAGUGAAGCCGUGUGGGGCUGAUUUUCGAUUCACUAUAGUUACUGCCAUUUGUUGUUCUUGUUGUUAACAUUGUACUUUUGUAAUCUAUCAUCUUGUGUUGUUGAACCAUUGUUUAAUGUUAUUGUUAUCUUCUUGUUCUCCUUGUGUAGCUACUGUUUUGGUGUUAGUAUUACUUUAAAAUUUCAUGAUUGUUGUUGUCUUCACAUAUUGGAGUUAUUAUCUUCAAACUCUCGAAAUUGUAGUGUGUUUGGACUGAUUUUGUGGCAGAUUUGAUACGCUCCAAGUUAGUAGUGUAUCAUUUGAUAUCAAAGACGUCUUUGAUUUUGUUCUAACAAGAUCAAUCUUGGGCUUGAGACUUGAAAACUACAAAAAAAAAACUGAAAUCUAAAAAUUUCAGAAAUAGUCAAAUCUGCAACCUUUGUGUUCUUGGCCAUAAAUUGUGAUGUGUUGUUGUAUGGGCCGAGAUUUUCUUAUUUUUUCUUGGAUAGAUCUUUUAGUAUUUUUUGUAUAGAGUGUUUCUAGUGUUGGUUUCUUUCUCAGCAACACUAAAGGUGUCAAGAUCUAAAGAUUGAGCUUAUAAUAUUGACCAUAGUUGUGGUUCUUUGUGGCUGGCUGUUUGUUGUUACUUGUUAUUGACAAUUGGUGGUGUUGUGUUGUAUUUUUAAAGAAGUUGUUGUUGAGUUCUUGAAGGUUGUUGUUGUGUUCAUCAAGUUCUUCAUCUUUUCUUACAACUUUAGACAACCAAAAAGUGUGAUAUAAAUUCAAGAGUUGAAGCUAAAAAUACUAAAGCAUGUUGUGAGAAGCCUUGAACCCAUCAUUUCUUAGACUAAGCUUCUACUUUUCAGCAACUUUUUCUUAUUUCAAGAACCUAGUGUUGUGUGACAAGAUACCUUUUUCUUAUUUCAAGAACCUAGUGUUGUGUGACAAAAUACCUUUUCUUAUUUCAAGAACCUUGUGUUGUGGGACAAGUACUUUUUCUUAUUUCAAGAACCUAGCGUUGUGGGACAAGGUACUUUUCUUAUUUCAAGAUUUAUGUUUUCCCUCCAAGACCAAUUGUCAUCCUUUCCAAAUUGUGUAAAGAUUUAAAUUUCAGAAUUGGUGCUUAAAUUAUGUGGGACCAAGACCAAUUACAUGCUGCCACAUCACCCAUUUUCUACUGUUCACGUCACCCAUUGUCUACUGUUCACAUCAUUAAUAAGCUCAAAUUUAGGUUUCUAGUUUCUAAUUGUUGAUUCUUAGUUUCAUUACUUGGUUCUAGAAAUAAAUAACAUGCUAUUACACUCCUACUAGGUUGUCAAUUAGUCCUUUUAAUUCCCUUGUUCGUGUCCACGUUUAGUUGGGUGCUUUUAUUCGUUUGAAUAUGUUGUAACUUCUUAAUUCCAGUCCAUCGAGAAUUCUUUGAGUUUCAACCGAGAGAGUGUGAGUGAGGAGAGGUUUAACGCUAACUUAAUUACUGAUUGUGUAGGUAACACCUUGACAUGGAAGGAAGCACAUCCCAUACUACUGAACAAGACACUAUGAAGGAACACUUGAGGCCAUUACCAGAAGUUUAGAAAGGUUGAACACAGAAUUUAGGGCAAUGAGGGAAGGAGAUUUGACUACGAUAAGUGGGAGAUUGGAUCAAGUGGAGAGUCAAAGGAACUCUCGUUCAUCCACUCCUCAUCAUAUUCCUUGAAGUGGGCAUGAAAGAACUUUAUCCACAACUAUCUCACUAAAUAAUGAAUCCACCUCUAGCCCCACUAAAUGCCACAAAUCAUACCACUACUUUCCCUCUAAACCAAGAAGCGAAUAGACCACACCAUUCCUAAACUCCACCAAAUCAAAGACCACCAUAUCCAUAAAUCCCAAUGCCUCUAAAUCACCAAAACUGACCAGCUUACUUUGAGGAACAUGGUAGAGAGGAGUAUGAUGGAUACGGAGCCUUUGAUGAUGCUUGCAUGAGAGAGGAGGAGCUAAGAAGGGGCCGUAUUGAUCCAAAGAGGUAUGAGGGUAUGGAGAAAGGGGAAAUCGACACCAAGAAAGAGACGUAGGCAUCAAUACCAUCAAAUUAAGCCUACCUAUCUUUAAGGGUGAAAGUGACCCCGAGGCCUACUUAGCUUGGGAAUCAGCUUGUGACAAAGUUUUUCAAGUUAAUGAUAUCUCAGAAGAAAAGAAAAGUUGUUAUGCCAUAGCUCAAUUUGAGGGUUAUGCCUACACUUGGUGGCAGUACGUCAAGCUUUUUGGUGAUGAAUUAGUUGAUGGGCAGCCACCACCUUGGUUUCUGUUAAGGUACUUGAUAAGGUAAUGUUACCUUCCUGAGAGUUAUCGCCAUGAAUUGCUUGCUAGAUUGUACAACUUGCAUUAAGGCAAUAAAAGUCUAAUGGCAUAUUAUGAUGAAUUUCAAUAACUCAUGUUGAAGCUUGAUCAUCGUGGGGAACAAAUCAGUCAUGACAUCAUCCGAUUCAAGUGUGGGUUGAACAAAGAGAUCUCCACUCAUUUGACACUUCAUAAAUUUGAUAUUGAAGGUAUUUUCAAAGCAACUCUUGAGAUUAAAAGGGAGCUUAAAGAGAGGUCGUCGCUCAAGGCAAGGGGACAAUCUAUCUCGGGUUGGCCUAGAAGCAAGGACGUGGUUCAAUCCUCUUUGGGUUGGCCCAAAACUAAGGACCAACCCGCCACUACAAGGCUGCCCGAGCCCAAAACAGUCCACAAAAUUCCUCUAAAACAAGAAGUUCACAAGUAUCCAAACCCAAAAGAAUUCCAAUAUUUCAAGUGCCAAGGUUGGGGACAUAAAUCAAAUGAAUGUCCAAAUCGACGCAACGUGAUACUGUGGAAAGGGAGAUUAUAUUACCUUGGUGAGGAGGUGGGUGUUGAAAAAGAAGAGGAUAAGGCCGAGCCUCAAGAAGGAGAGGAAACUAGAAAUAGGCCACUUGAUGAUGAUGAUGAUGAUGAUGAUGAUGGUGAAGUUAUUUACCCACAAGAAGGGGAGCGUGUUUUCCAAACUUUAUAGUUAUACGCGCUAUGAUUAGUAAGGCAAUAGACGACCCUAGACAAAGGGAAAAUCUAUUACAUACUAAAUGUCUUGUAAAGGGGAAUGUGUGCACUUUGGUGAUUGAUAGUGGUAGUUGUGCGAAUGUUGUUAGUGUCGCUAUGGUGAACUUUCUGAAAUUACCAACUACACUUCAUACUAGCCCUUACAAGUUGCAAUGAUUGAACAAUUGCAGUAAUUAAAGGUCAUAAGGCAAUGUGUAAUAUGGUUUAAGGUAGGGAACUACCAAGACGAAGUGCUUUGUGAUGUGAUACCAAUGCAAGCAUGUCAUUUGUUGUUAGGUCGACCUUGAAAAUAUAAUAGGUCUACCAAACAUGAUUGGAGGACCAACCGAUAUUCACUUGAGAAGGAUGGUCAAAAGGUCACUCUUUAUCCUCUUUUGCCAUCACAAGUGAAUGAAUUACAUCAAAAGAUGAGGGAGUUGAAGGAAAAGGGAAAGAAACCUGAAAAUGGUGAAAAGAAAGGGAAAACUAUGGGUGGGGCAGUAGGGAUUUCCAAGGCUGCCUCAAUAUCAAAUGGGCAACAAAACAUGGUGAUGUUGGCUAGAAAGAAGGAACUCUUCUUGUAUUAUAAUGUGGACAUGCCUAUGCUUCUUUUGGCUCAUUGUUUUAAUACUACCCCCACUAAUUCUUCUAUUUCUCCUUUGAUUUCUUGUGUGUUGCAGGAUUAUGAAGAUGUAUUUCCUAAAGAACCUCUGAAAGGAUUUCCCCUGCUUCGGGGAACCAAAUAAGCCGGCUUACAGAAGCAACCCUAUGGACACCAAAUAAUUGCAGCGUCAAGUUGAGGAACUCCUCAACAAAGGCUAUAUCAAGGAGAGCAUGAGUUUGUGCGCGAUUCCGGUGGUACUGGUACCUAAGAAAGAUAGAACAUGGCGUAUGUGUGUGACUGCCGAGCCACCAAUAAGAUUAUGGUAAAAUAUAGUCACCCUAUCUCUAGGUUAGAUGAUAUCCUUAAUGAAUUGAAUGGUUUGUGUUUAUUUUCCAAGAUUGAUUUAAGGAGUGGCUAUCAACAAAUAAGAAUGCAACCCGGUGAUGAAUGGAAAACUACCUUCAAGACUAAAUUUGGUCUCUAUGAAUGGAUGGAUGGUUAUGCCAUUCGGCCUAACAAAUGCUCCAAGUACUUUCAUGAGGCUAAUGAAUCAUGUGAUGAAGCCAUUUAUUGGAAAGUUUGUUGUUGUUCACUUUGAUGAUGUCUUGGUCUAUAGUAAGUCAAUCGAUGAGCAUGUGAUGCAUUUACAAUGUGUGUUUGAUGUCCUUAGAAAGGAAAGGUUGUAUCCAAAUCUGGAGAAGUGCUCUUUUAGUGUUAAUGAAGUUAUUUUCUUGGGUUUUGUUGUUAGUUCAAUAGGGGUCGAAGUGGAUGAAUCCAAGAUAGAUGCUAUCAAAAAUUGGCCAACCCCGCAAACCAUUAGCGAAGUAAGAAGCUUCCAUGGGUUAGCUAGUUUUUAUAGAAGGUUUGUCAAAGGAUUCAGCACUAUAGCCGCUUCUCUGACCGCGGUUAUUCGAAAAGACCAACCCUUCAAGUGGGGUGAAGAGCAAGCUAAGGAUUUUGAAACCUUUUCACGCCUUUAUUACAAUUGCCCAACUUUGAUAAGACAUUUGAAGUUGAAUAUGAUGCUAGUAAAGUGGGCAUAGGGGCUAUUUUGAUGCAAGAUUUAAAACCCAUUGCUUAUUUUAGUGAAAAUCUCAAAGGAGCAACUCUAACCUACUCCACGUACGAUCUAGAGUUGUAUGCCUUGAUUUUAGCUUUGGCCACUUGGCAGCACUAUUUAUGGCCCAAGGAGUUCAUGAUCCGAAUGGACCAUGAAUCCUUGAAGCAUCUUCGGGCACAAAACAAGCUUAACAAGCGGAAUGCAAAAUGGAUUGAGUUUCUUGAAACCUUCCCUUAUGUUAUUCAAUACAAAAAGGAUAAGGACAAUGUAGUAGCCAAUGCUUUGUCUAGAAAACACGUUCUUGUGUCAACAUUAUCUUCAAAAUUAAUGGGUUUUGAGAGUUUGAAAGAAUUGUAACCCGAGGACCCUCACUUUGCUCCUAUCUUUAGGGAAUCAAAGAAAUGGGUAGGGAUAAGUGGGAUUCAGCUAGGGGUUCAAAUCCCUAUGACAAGUUUGAUGGAUACUUGUUUAAAGGUAGACGAUUGUGUGUACCCUCCAGUUCUUGGAGAGAGUUAUUUGUGAGGGAAGCACACAAUGGCGGUCUAAUGAGUCACUUUCGGAUCGAAAAGACCCUUGGAAUAUUGGAGAAGCAAUUCUAUUGGCCAAAAAUGCACAAGGAUGUGGCCAACAUUUAUGGCCAAUGCAUAGAUUUCAAAGGAUCCAAAUCGCAGCUCCUACCUCAUGGGUUGUACACCCCGCUGCCCACUCCUUUAUGCCCUUGGCUUGACAUAUCUAUGGAUUUCGUGUUAGGGUUGCCUUGGAAUAGACAAGGUCGGGAUAGUAUCUUUGUUGUGGUCGAUUGGUUUUCUAAGAUGGCACACUUUAUUCCAUGCUUUAAAUGUGAUGAUGCACCUAGUGUGGCCUCUUUGUUUAUUGAUAAUGUUGUCAAGUUGCAUGGUGUUCCGAGGACCAUUGUCAGUGAUAGGGACUCUAAGUUCCUAAGUCACUUUUGAAAAUCCAUGUGGGGUAGGCUUGGAACCAAGUUGUUAUUCUCUACAUCUUGCCACCCACAAACUGAUGGUCAAAUGACAGUGGUAAAUAGGACUUUGGGUGCUUGCUACGUUCCAUGGUAAACGAAAAAUUGACUUCUUAGGAGGAACACCUACCAUUGAUUGAGUUUGUAUAUAACCGUGUCAUACACUUAAGUAAAGGAAUGACUCCCUUUCAGUGUAUAUUUGGCCUCAACCCCCUUACCCCUUUUGAUUUAAAUCCUUUGCCUAGUGAUGUUAUGAUUAGCUUAGAUGGAAGCAAAUGGGCAAAUUCGAUGAAGAAGUUACAUGAGAAGGUGCGGCUUCGACUUGAGAAGAAAAAUCAAGACAUUGCAAGGACAGUCAACAAGGGGAGAAAGAAACUCAUUCUUGAACAGGGUGAUUGGGUGUGGGUUCACCUUAGAAAGGAUAGGUUCCCAUCUCAAAGAAAGUCCAAAUUGAUGCCAAGAGGCGAUGGUCCAUUCCAAGUACUUGAACCGAUCAAUGAUAAUGCCUACAAGAUUGACCUUUCCCCGGAAUACCAAGUGCACAACACUUUCAACGUGUGUGAUCUUUCUCUAGUGGAUGCGGUUGAGGAUGACCAAAUUCUGAAUUUGAGGUCAAAUUCCUCUCAAGAUGGAGAGGAUGAUACGGGUGUACAAAUCUGUCCAAUACGUUCUCGACCAUUCACACAAAGUCAAGCUCGAAAGCUAUAAAAACUACAAGCCAUGUUCAUGUAAAUGACUGCGUGUGAGUUGGUACUUGAUCCGCCAAAUAUCUUCAACAUUUGUAAGUGUGAAAAUGAUCCUUGUAGUGUAAUAAAUUACACUCUAAGGGCACCCCAUGACUGAAGGGUAGGAAAGUCAUUUGUCCUUCAUUUUGUGUGUAAUAUAAAUAGAUGCUAUUGGGGUUAUUUUCAACACUUAGUUCAUUCUUCAUAUUUCACAACAAGUGUAGUUACACUUGUGUUGUUUCUUGGCUAGAAACUUGAGAUCCUGAGGUUCAUGAGUUCCUCUUGGUAUAAGUAAGAACUUGGUACUGGAAUCUUUUGGUCUUAGGGUCCUUUCUUCAAGUUAGGGUUCAUAAAUUCUAAGAUACUUUGUGUCAUGUUACUAUCUUUUAUUUUGUACUCUUGAAACUUUGCAGUAACUUAGUGAAGCCGUGUGGGGCUGAUUUUUGAUUCACUAUAGUUACUGUCAUUUAUUGUUCUUGUUGUUAUCAUUGUUAUCUUUGUAAUCUAUCAUCUUGUGUUGUUGAACCAUUGUUUAAUGUUAUUGUUAUCUUCUUGUUCUCCUUGUGUAGCUACUGUUUUGGUGUAGGUAUUCCUUCAAAAUUUCGGGAUUGUUGUUGUCUUCACAUAUUGGAAUUGUUAUCUUCAAGCUCUCGAAAUUGUAGUGUGUUUGGACUGAUUUUGUGGCAGAUUUGAUACGCUCCAAGUUAGUAGUGUAUCAAGAUAUUAUGAUGUUGGCACACCCAAAUUAUUGCUUGGUCUACAUGACAAGCAAAGUGACAUUCUUGAAAACUCAAGGGCAAAGGUGUCAUUGUCUUCUUGGGGUAAUGUUACUAAAUGUGCACCCUUGCUUGACAUACUUGUGCUUAAGUUGCAUGAUUCCCAACUUGUGGAUGCCAAGUUCAUACUUUACUUGAAAGGAAGAGGACAUAUGUUCUUUAGUUCCUUAAAUCCAUCCCUGUGUGCUUUAUAUGUUAUAUUUUAUGGGCCAAAUUGCAUUCUUACAGAUGACAGCGCCUUGGAUGAUGCCUUUACACUUGAUUCCAUCCUAUACUACCUCUUUGCCUAUGAUGACAUCCAUACUAGUUUUGGAUUUGUAUUAUGUAGAGGUAGGCAACUUGUUGGUUGGUCCACUUAUUUGAAUGACAAUGCUAUGUGGGUUUGGUGGACAAUAAGACCAAUAGUGGCACCACUUUUGAUGAGGACACUUGAAGAGGUAAUGAAACAAUUGUGUCUAGUGGUUUCUAAGAUAAAGGUAGUCUUACCUUUUGGCUUUAGUGAUACCAUUAAUACCUUUGUAGUUUCUUUAUCUCUUGAUACUUGUCACAGCCAUAUCCUUUGUGACAUUUUCACUAAAUUUUUCAUGACUAAAUAAAGGAUUCAUGGUUAUAUUUUAAGUGUGUACCCCCUUGGCAUGAUGAUGUUUUUUGUUGUACUAACCCUAACCCUCAUGCCAUGAGGAUGUUGUGCUUGUUUGUCCUUUCUUUGGUUUUGCAAGGUGUGGAUUCGUGGUCGAAUCCUUUCCAAGAAGGGGAGGAUGAUACGAGCCAAAGGGCCAUCAUAGCUUUUGAUGACAUCAUUCAAGGCCCAUACAUAAAGAUUCAAGCGUUGGUCAUACUGAGGGUACAAGGACAUACAUGGAGGACUAAUUUUGAAAUUAAAAUAGAGCAAAACCAUGUUUGUAAGAUUGCUUAGGACUUGUGUUGAUGCCUACCAAAGGGUUCCAAGAGGUUUCACAUUUUGAAGCUUGAAGAAGAAGGGACCCACGAAGCAUUAAUGGGGCGGCCUUGGAGUGUAAACACUCAUUAAGGGUGUUUUAGUCUUUUUGUGCCAUUUCUUGAAACUCCAUAGGAGGCCUUUUUCAUUAAGGGUAUUUUGGUAUUUUAUGUAAUAAGCUAUAAAUAGACUCUUUAGGCUUAUUUUCUCAUUAGUUGAUUAUUGAUAUUUGAAAGAUUUUUCUUCUCUCUUUGAGAGUGUAGUGUAGGGCUUUGAAAAGCCAAGUAGAGUAGGGCUUGGAAAAGACAUCAUUGAUCUUUGCUCAAAAUCGGUGGUUGUAAGGCGAAGUUGAUUCCCUUAGUGGUCACCAAAAGAGAGAAGAAGAAUGACCUAAAUAGAUAGUAAGACUAAGUGAAUCAACUCCGCCUUACAACCAUCGAUUCUAAGCAAAGAUCAAUAAUGGGUUUUCCAAGCCCUACUCUACUUGGCUUUUCAAAGCCCUACACUACACUUUCAAAGAGAGAAGAAGAAGUCUUUCAAAUAUCAAUAAUCAACUAAUGAGAAAAUAAGCCCAAAGAGUCUAUUUAUAGCUUAUUACAUAAAAUACUAGAAUACCCUUAAUGAAAAAGGGCUCCUAUGGAGUGUAAAGAAAUUGCACAAAAAGACUAAAACACGCUUAAUGAGUGUUUACACUCCAAGGCUGCCCCACUAAUGCUUCGUGGGUCGCUUCUUCUUCAAGCUUCAAAAUGUGAAACCCCUUGGAACCCUUUAGUAGGCAUCAACACAAGUCCCAAGCCAUCUUCCAAACAUGGUUUUGCUCUAUUGUAAUCGCAAAAUGAGUCCUCCAUGCAUGUCCUUGUAUCCUCAAUAUGACCAAAGCUUGAAUCUUUAUGUAUGGGCCUCGAAUAAUGUCAUCAAAAGCUUUGACAGUCCUUUGGCUCGUAUCAUCCUCCCUUUCUUGAAAAGGAUUCGACCUCGAAUCCACACCUUGCAAAACUAAAGAAAGAAGAAACAAGCACAACAUCCUCAUGGAAUGAGGGUUAGGGUUAGUACAAAAUUUAACAUCAUUUUGAUUGUAAGACCCCGUAAAAAUUGCAUGUCAAAUUCAACACGUAAAGCUCCAUGAGAGAUUCCAACACUUAGAAAAAUUUUUUGCUAAGUGUUCAAGUUUAACACUUACUCUCAUUUUAGACCUCCUAACUUUGGGGAUUUCUUUGAUAACCUUCUCGACCUCCGUUUUUAGAUUUUCAAGUUACGUUACGAUGAGGAAAGUCCCUAGUACGUAUUGACACAUUCUAGGUGCAUUUUCGGCGCAUUUCAGCGGCUAACUCACUGGUUUGAAAUGCUUCUGUAUUCCGGGCGUAUUUCAGGUCAAAAAUUUCAGUCAACUUCAAACUAUCAUAACUUCUUGUAUAUAAUGAACUGUGAGAGCUGCUAUAUAUCAAUAGAAAGAUGUUUGAGUCUUCUUUCCAAUGCAAAUAGUUUCAUCCAAUUUGAAUAUUGGAGUAAAAAGUUAUGAUCAAUUUACUUCAUCCUAUCAGCCUGAAAACAACAAAGAAUAGUUGUGCUUUCUCUCUUUCUCCUGGGGUAUUUUAGUCUUUUCCACCUCUAUAUAUAAUUGGGGAUUUAAUUUCAAGAAAUUCUUUCCAUCGAUCUUUGUAAAAUGAAGAACUAAGGUAUGCAUAGUGUUCAUCCAUGGAGCUCAAGAAUCAAGUUUUAAGUUAUGUAUCAUGAAUAUUUUGUGGUGGGAUGAUUAUGUUCAUGUUGAUGAUGUUAAAUUGAGUUUUUAAGUCCAUGAGUUAUCUCAAGAAUCAUGAAAACUAAUUUAUUUUGUAAUAUUAUUCAUAUGAACUUUAUGUUGAGUUCUUGAAAUUGCAAGUUAGAUGUGGAUGAUCAUGUUGUUGGUGUUGAAUGACUCCUAAGUUGGGAUCUUUAUGUGAAAUCAUGAAGCUAUGUUGAAAUAUAAGUUGAAGUCCAUGAAUUUGGUGAUUUAUACUUUGUGAAAAUUUUAUGAUUUCACCUAUGCCUAAGCUGUGCAUGAAAGGUGUUUGAUUAAACGUUUAAGAGAAAUAAGAAACAUACAGUAUGGAUUAAUAUGGCCUAAAAGGUGAAUUUAUUCCAUUGACCUCAUGCUUGAAUGGAUUAUAUGCUAUUUGUAAUACCCCGAUCAUUCCUUAAGCUGAAAUCUGUCUUUUUGAAUGGAUAUAUAUGACUUCCAAAUUUAUUGAUGUUUAAACCAUGUUGUAUUUCUCUAAUUUCCACUUUUUGUCAUGUAGAUCAUUGAAUAAAAUUUCCAUCGAUACCAAUUUCAUCGAAAUCUGACAUCGGAUGAGUGAGUUAUGGCCAUUUUACUAAAUGCUAUCGGAUAGCCCAGGUUUGACGGUCGACCCGGUGGACCAUCAGGUCCUUGGUGAACUGUCAAGUGUCCUGUCAAUCCAAGGUAGUACCUCUCUUUUUGGGAUGUCGUGUGUCAAAGUGGUGGACCGUUACAAAGUUGACGGACCGUCAAGGUGUCCGUCAGACCUAGAUAGAAUAUCUCAUUUUUGGCCCUCAAGUGAUGGACAACUUGGUGGACCAUCACUUUUCUGAUGGACUGUCAGGUCAACCAUCACGUCGAGGCAAAACGUUCCAGUUUUGGUGUUCGAGUGACGGAUGACUUGGUGGACCGUCAGUCCCUUUGACGAACCGUCAGGUCAACCAUCACAGGCCCCGAUCAGCAAUUUUCAACUCUUUUCAAAAGGGCAUUUUGGUCAUUUCCGCUCCUUUUAAGCCCUAUAUAUAUAUAUCUAUGUAUAAAAGAGAAGAACAUUUUUCUCUCUUUUCUCCCUAAUCUUCAAGGAAAUAUCUAGAAACCUAGGGUUUUUUCCAAGAUCCAAAAUCCAAUCUUCUUCCAAAUAAAUUCAAGAAUCCUCCAUAGUGAUUCAAAAACUGAGUUCCCCAAGUCAAAGGCAUCAAGGAUCUUGGCUCAAAAGUGAUAAGAAGAAGUUCCAAACAAGUUUCUACAUCUUCAAAAUCAAAAAUCCAAGGUAUGUGGGGUUUGAACAAGAACACUCCUUUCGUUCUUGUGUCUAAAGGUUUAAUUUCUACUACUGAUUUACAUGAUUUUGCAAGUGGGUUUAUACCUAAAUUAUCUUUAAUUAUGAUUUAUGAUAUUUGAGUUGAAUAAGUUUGAUAUUUAUGAUUAUUUCACCAUCAUGUUUCCUAAAUUGAGGGUUUAUUCCAUGAGCUGUAUAUUAUCAUUAUGUAUUGAUGAUUUCUAAGUAAUUUAACUCAAGUUCCAUGAGUUGAAUAUUCUUAAUCUGAAUCUAUAAUUUUUGAACAAUUUGAGACAAGUGUUAUGAGUUAUGCCUUUCCAUGAGAAAUUUUAACUAUUGAAUGUAUUGAUAUGUGAACUUGAAAGUCAAGAAUGAGUGUUGUGAUGUUCCAUGAAGCUUUUGAUAUUUGAAAUUACUUGAUAAACAAAUGUAUUUGAUGCCGAGAAAGAUUGUGUUGAGUUGAGUUGAGUCGAGUUGGGAAUCCACAAGAUGCUUAUGAUUUACAAAUGAGAUAUAUUUAUGUGUUGGUCUUUAUGAUGGACCCAUGAGUUGAUAUUGAUUGAGGUGGAUUUCCUAACGCAUUAUGAGCUGAGUCUGGGAGUAGUAUUUAGCAUCAAGCUGGAAAUUUGGUAUUUCCCCAAAACUACGUGCCAUCAUAGGAUUGAUGUUGAUAAUUGUAGGCCAAAGGCCCAGUAUGAGAUUGUGAAGAUGAGAUUGAGGUUGUACUCCGUGGCAAGAGUACAACACCCUUGCCAAUGUGGGGUUCUCUCCUUAGGAGGGCAAAAUGUUGGACUCCAUGCGGCUCACAUGGUCUAGUCAUGCCGGUUAUAAGAAACUCACAUCCAUAAUGAUUUAAGUCUCUUGAGUUACCGAGUCACUCUAAGUCUUGAGUCAAAGCUUUUGAGUUGAGUUGAAUAAUUUAUAAGAUUUAUGAUGUGUAAUAAUUGAUGAUUUAUGAAAAUAAUGUUCUAGAUAAUUCAAACGAAGAUAGUUAUUAUUGUCAGCAUGCAUGAUUUCUCAUACAUUUAUGAUAUUAUUUAAAAUGUUGUAUCCACCCCCAUAUACUCAGUACAUUCCCAAGUACUGACUCCCAUACUCUUUCUGUAUUCUAUAUUUUCUCGUGGUAUAGGUUCAGGUGCUCAGUCUCAGCAGCGACAGUGAUCUUUGAGUACCUUCCUUUAUACUUCUACAAUUGGUGAGUCCUCAUAGUCGAGGGCCUAUGUCUCCAAUUUUAUCUUGUGAAUGAUGGUUGUUUACUUUCAGUUCAGUAUAGGUCAGUUGGAGAUCUAUCCCAAUGGCUCCUCAGUCCUAUGUAGUAGAGGCUUUGUCAGACUAGUGUACCAACGUGUACACAGAUUCCAGUAUUUUGUUUGUACAGGGCAGUAUUAUUUCAUGUUUCAGUAUGUUCAUGGCAUGGUUAUUCCUCUUUAUCUUAUCAUGAUUUGCGCUAUAAUGAGUUCUGAAAAUGAUGACAAGUUUAGACGGUUAGCUCAAGGCCACGUGUGGCCUUUAGCACCAUGUGACGUCUCAGGAUAGGUUCUUCCUAGGGAGUCUGAUAAGCCACAUUACGUAGAGUCUUGAUUAUCGGUGUAUAGCGCACCACAUCUAUAAGCAAGAGGCUAUGGGAUGUUUUAGGAAAAGUUGUUUCUUUCUUUUAAGAUUCUAUCUUGCCUAUGAUAUUUCUCUCUGCAGUUAAUUCAUGCUCUCUUAUGACAGAAAAUGCCUCCUCGUUGAGCUUGCAGAAAUAACGAACAACCUCAACCCAUUGAUCCUUUAGGUGAGACGAUGUCCUAUGCCGAGUUUCGGGCAUAUUUCUAAGAGCUAGCCUAGGCGGUCACCGCCAACGCUCAAGCCAACACCUAGGCUACUGUUCCACCUCCGCAAGGGAAUAAUUCUACUAUAGCCCAGGUUCGUGACUUUAUACUAAUGAAUCCACCUGAGUUCUAUGGGUCGAAAGUAGGUGAGGACCCAUAAAUAUAUUUAGAUGAAGUGAGAAAGAUCACUCAGAUUAUGCACGUGACUAAGGAGGAGAGUGUUGAAUUGGCUGCCUAUCGAAUGAAAGAUGUUGCUUAUGAUUGGGUAGAGAUAUGGAGGAAAGGUAGAAGGGAGAAUGAUGCUCCUGUGACUUGGCAAUUAUUUCAAGAUGCCUUCUUAGACAGAUUGUUUCCCCCGGAGCCGAGGAAAGCAAAAUUAGAAGAAUUUAUGAACUUGAGACAGGGCCCCAUGACAGUUAAGGAGCAUUGCCAUAAGUUUAACCACUUGUCUAAAUAUGCUCUCGGUAUGAUGGCUGAUUUUAGAACUAGUAUGAGUAAGUUCUUGGCUGGUGUAUCUGGUUAUAUCGUGAAAGAGGGUAUGCUUAAUAGGGACAUUGACCUUUCAAGACUACUGAUCCAUGCUCAGCAGAUUGAAGCAGACAAAGUGAAGGAGAGAGAGAGAGGGGGAAUAAGAGAGUUAGAUCUGAGCAACAGGGGUAUAGUUGGCUAGAUUUAUUGAAGGGAUCCGCCCUCAGUUCCAGAGUCGUUCCCUUGUGCCAGCCCCUUCAUCAGCUACUCCUGCAUUUAGAAUUAGGCUGGAGUAGGGUAGUAAGCCUUCUAUGACCCAGUCCCAGGAUAGUGUGAGUAACAGACCUCGUCCUUCUCCAUACGCGAAGUGUGGUAGGGACCAUCCCGGUGAGUGCUUAGUUAGCCAGAGGGGUUGUUUUGGUUUUGGUAAGUUGGUCCAUAAGUUUAGGGAUUGCCCUUAUGCUAGACAAGGGAGUCGCGAUAUUCGUCCCCAGAGUUAGAUUGUUAGUGCUCCAGCUGUUGUAGUUCAUCCUAUUCCUCCUCAGGGUGCCUCAUCUAGUACUGUAGGUGGUCAACGCCAGAAUCACUUUUAUGCUAUAUACCACCCCGCCAAGAGCAGUAGGAUUUACCAGAUAUUGUUACUGGUACGCUCCGUGUAUUUUAUUUCGAUAUGUAUAUUUAAUGGACCCUGGGUUAAGUCUUUCUUAUGUGACUCCGUUGGUGGUUGUGAAUUUUUAAAUCAAUGUUGAAAAGAUUUCUGAGCCUUUUCUAGUCUCUACACCAUCGGGUGAAUCUAUUGUUGCUAAGCAAAUAUAUAAGAAGUGUCCUAUCAUUGUUCUUAACAGAGUUAUGUUUGCAGAUUUGAUUGAGCUAGACAUGGUUGAUUUUGAUAUUAUUCUGGGUAUGGAUUAGCUACACUCUUGUUAUGCAUCUAUAGAUUGUCAUACCCGUGUAGUCAAAUUUUAGUUUCCUAAUGAGCCAGCUUUUGAGUGGUCCAAAAAUUCUGUGUCUCCUAAAAGUCAUUUUAUAUCCUAUCUUAAAGCUAAGAAGUUAAUUUCCAAAGGUUGUAUCUAUCAUUUAGCUUGAGUUAAGGACACUAAGUCUGAGAUUCCAACUAUUAGUCUCUUAGUGUUGUCAAUGAGUUUCCUGAUGCUUUCCAGAAAGAUCUCCCAUGGGUACCUCCCGAUAGAGAGAUAAUAUUUGGAAUUGAUCUUCUCCCUGAUACACAUCCUAUUUCUAUUCCUUUAUAUCGUAUGGCCCCCACAGAACUUAGGGAGUUGAAAGAGAAACUCAAAGAUCUUCUUGAUAAAGGUUUUAUAAGGCCUAGUGUAUAUCCCUGCGGUGUACUCAUUCUAUUCGUGCAAAAGAAAGAUGGUUCAUUGCGCAUGUGCAUUGACUAUCAUUAGCUCAACAAGGUCACAGUUAAGAACAAGUACCCUCUUCCUAGAAUUGAUGACCUAGUUGAUCAGCUGCAAGGUGCCAACUACUUCUCGAAAAUAGAUUUGAGAUCUGAUUAUCACCAACUUAAAGUCAAAGAAAGUGAUAUUCCAAAGACGGCUUUUCGCACUCGUUAUGGCUAUUUUGUAUUCUUGGUCAUGUCCUUCGGGCUAACGAAUGCCCUGGUAGAUUUUAUGGACCUCAUGAAUCGAGUGUUCAGACAGUACCUAGAUAUGUUCAUUAUUGUGUUCAAAGAUGAUAUUCUUGUAUACUCUCAAAGUGAAAACGACCAUGCAGAUCAUCUGCGAGUUAUCUUGCAAACCCUUAGAGACCAACAGUUGUUUGCCAAAUUUAACAAGUGUGAAUUUUGUCUUCGAUCAGUUGCUUUUCUGGGUCAUAUUAUUUCUUCUGAAGGUAUUCAAGUCGAUCUCUAAAGGUAGAAGCUAUGAAAAGUUGGCCUAGACCUAUUUCCCCAUCUGAUAUUAGGAGUUUCUUGGGUCUAGCUAGAUACUACCAUCGUUUUGUCGAAGGUUUCUCUUCUAUUGCUGCUCCUUUGAACAGGUUAACCCAAAAGAAAGUUAAAUUCUAGUGGUCAGAUUUUUCCAAGAAGAGUUUUCAGGAAUUGAAGACUCGACUCACUUCAGCCCCUGUGAUAACCCUACCUAAUGGUGUCGAUGAUUUUGUGGUAUAUUGUGAUGCUUCCAGAGUUGGUUUGGGCUGUGUGUUAAUGUAGAAGGGGAAGGUUAUAGCUUAUGCCUCCUGACAGUUGAAACCUCAUGAGAAGAAUUAUCCAACCCAUGACCUCAAGUUAGCUGCAGUGGUUUUUGCUUUAAAAAUUUGGAGACACUACCUAUACGGCGUUCAUGUUGAUGUCUUUACGGAUCACAAGAGUUUGUAGUAUGUGUUUACUCAGAGAGAAUUGAAUCUUCAGUAGAGGCAAUGGUUAGAAUUGCUAAAAGAUUACGAUAUCAGAGUGUUAUAUCACCCGGGCAAGGCCAAUGUAGUGGCAGACACCCUUAGCAGAUCAUCCAUGCGCAGUGUAGCGCAUGUAGGGGAAGAUAAGAAGGAGUUAGCUCGUGAAGUGCAUCGUUUGGCUAGGUUGGGCGUUAGAUUGCUUGAUUCAGCUAAGGGUAAUGCUUGGUUCCAAGGUAGUUCCGAAUCUUUCCUAGUUUCUGAAGUGAAGGAGAAGCAGGAUACAGAUUCUCGUUUGAUCGAACUGAAAGAAUCAGUUAAAGAUCAAAAGGUGGAGUUUUUCUCCCAAGGAGGAGAUAGUGUAGUGAGAUUUUAGAAUAGGUUGUGUAUGCUUGAUGUUGAUGAUCUGAGGCAGAGAAUUAUGGCUGAGGCGCAUGGCGCGCGAUAUUCUAUUCAUCUCGGUGCUACUAAGAUGUACCAUGAUCUGCGGGAGAUUUAUUGGUGGAAUGGUAUGAAAAAGGGCAUAACAAAGUUCGUAGAAAAGUGUGCAACUUGCCAGUAGGUAAAGAUAGAGCACCAGAGACCCGGUGGUGUGAUACAAGAAUUUAACAUUCCUACUUGGAAGUGGGAAGUGGUGAACAUUGAUUUUGUGACCGGUUUACCUCUCUCUCGUCGUCAUCAUGAUUCUAUUUGGGUCAUUGUAGACAGGUUGACUAAGUCAGCAUAUUUUCUGCCAGUAUAUACACCUUUCACUGCGAAGGACUAUGCUAAGUUGUAUAUUCAAGAGUUAGUCAGGUUGCAUGGAGUUCCGUUGUCUAUCAUCUUCGAUAGAGGUACUCAAUUUACUUGUCAGUUUUGGAGAGCCUUCCAGAAGGGUCUUGGCACCCAAGUUCAUCUUAGUUCCACUUUUCAUCCGCAGACAGAUGGUCAGGCUGAGAGGACUAUUGAGACUUUGGAGGACAUGUUCAGGGCUUGUGUUCUUGAUUUCAACGGAAGUUGGGAUGAACAUUUGCCAUUGAUUGAAUUUGCUUACAAUAAUCGUUUUCAUGCUAGUUUGGAAUGGCUCUGUUUAAAGCCUUGUAUGAAAGACGAUGUAGAUCACCCAUGGGUUGGUUUGAAGUGGGUGAAGCUGCUGUGAUUGGGCCUGAUCUGUGUUCGAAGCUAUGGAGAAAGUUAAGUUGAUUCGAGAGAGGUUGAAGACAGCCCAGAGCCGUCAGAAUUCAUAUGCAGAUGUGAGAAGAAAAGGUGAAAAGAUUUGGAAAGAAAGGAAAGUUGAGUCCCAGAUAUGUUGGCCCUUAUAGAGUUUUGGAUCGUGUUGGGAAAGCAGCCUAUGAGAUUUGAGUUGCCUGCAGAAUUGUCAGCUAUCCAUCUUGUAUUUCAUGUUUCUAUGCUCAAGAAGCACAUUGGAGACUCCGUUGUUGUUGAUCUGUCGGAAGGUUGUGAUGUUCAGGAUAGCCUUUUGUAUGAUGAAAUCCCGGUUGAAAUCCUAGAUUAUAAAGUCCGUAGACCGAGGAACAAGGAAAUUCCCCUGGUUAAAGUUCUAUGGCGAAAUCAAUCAGUAGAGGGUGCCACUUGGGAAGCAGAAGUGGAUAUGCGAGCUAGUUAUCCUUAUCUUUUCUCCACGAGUUCGAAUCAAGCUGAAGGUACUAUUCUCUUAAUUCAGUUUCCUCCUAAUCUAAUGCAUUCAUCUAUAUGGUUAUUCCCUCUAUGAUUCGUGCAUUUGGUAAAGUACUCAAGAGUAUUAGAGUAAAGUGAACCCUUCUAUGCGAGUAGUUUCAGCUGUGCGUCCUUAUUUUCUCUUAUUCUUGGCCUAUCUAGUGACAUUCGAGGACGAAUGUUUCCAAGAGGGAGAUAUUGUAAUACCCCGAUCAUUCCUUAAGCCUAAAUCUGUCUUUUUGAAUGGAUAUAUAUGACUUCCAAAGUGAUUGGUGUUUAAACCAUGUUGUAUUUCUCUAAUUUCCACUAUUUGUCAUGUAGAGAAUUGAAUAAGUUUUCCAUUGAUACCAAUUUCAUCGAAAUCUGACAUCGGAUGAGUGAGUUAUAGCCUUUUUACUGAAUGCUAUCGGAUAGCCUAGGUUUGACGGUCGGCCCGGUGGACCGUCAGGUCCUUGGUGAACCGUCAAGUCUCCCGUCAAGCCAAGGCAGUAGCUUCUUUUUUGGGAUGUCGUGUGACGGUCAAAGAGAUGGACCGUUACAAAGUUGAUGGACCGUCAAGGUGUCCGUCAGACCUAGACAAAAUAUCUUAUUUCUGGCCCUCAAGUGACGGAGACUUGGGGGACCAUCACUUUUUUGAUGGACUGUCAGGUCAACCAUCACGUCGAGGCAGAAUGUUCCAGUUUUGGUGUUCGAGUGAUGGACGACUUAGUGGACCGUCAGUCCCUCUGAUGGACCAUCAGGUCGACCAUCACAGGCCCCGAUCAGCAAUUUUCAACUCUUUUCAAAAGGGCAUUUUGGUCAUUUCUGCUCCUUUUAAGCCUUAUAUAUAUAUAUAUGUAUAGAAGAAAAGAUCAUUUUUCUCUCUUUUCUCUCUAAUCUUCCAAGAAAUAUCUAGAACCCUAGGGUUUCUUCCAAGAUCCAAAAUCCAAUCUUCUUCCAAAAAAAUUCAAGAAUCCUCCAUAGUGAUUCAAAGUGAUUCAAAAACUGAGUUCCCCAAGUCAAAGGCAUCAAGGAUCUUGGCUCAAAAAUGUUAAGAAGAAGUUCCAAACAAGUUUCUACAUCUUCAAAAUAAAAAAUCCAAGGUAUGUAGGGUUUGAACAAGAACACUCCUUUCGUUCUUGUGCCUAAAAGUUUAAUUUCUACUACUAAUUUACAUGAUUUUGCAAGUAGGGUUACACCCAUAUUAUCUUUAAUUAUGAUUUAUGAGAUUUGAGUUGAAUAGGUUUGAUAUUUAUGAUUAUUUUACCAUCAUGUUUCCUAAAUUGAGGGUUUAUUCCAUGAACUGUAUAUUAUCAUUAUAUAUUGAUGAUUUCUAAGCAAUUUAAUUCAAGUGCCAUGAGUUGAAUAUUCUUAAUAUGAAUUUUUUAUUUUUGAACGAUUUGAGACAAGUGGUAUGAGUUAUGCCUUUCCAUGAGAAAUUUUAACGAUUGAAUGUAUAUUGAUAUGUGAACUUGAAAAUCAAGAAUGAGUCUUGUGAUGUUUCCAUGAAGCUUUUGAUAUUUGAAUUGACUUGAUAAACAAAUGUAUUUGAUGCCGAGAAAGAUUGUGCUUAGUUGAGUUGAGUCAAGUUGGGAAUCCACAAGAUGCUUAUGAUUUACAAAUGAGAUAUAUUUAUGUUUUGGUCUUUAUGAUAGACCCAUGAGUUGAUAUUGAUUGAGGUGGAUUUCCUAACGCGUUCUGAGCUGAGUCAGGGAGGAGUAUUUAGCACUAAGCGGGAAAUUUGGUAUUUCCCCAAGACUACGUGCCACCGUAGGAUUGAUGUUGAUAAUUAUGGGCCAAAGGCCGAGUAUGAGAUUGUGAAGAUGAGAUUGAGGUUGUACUCCCUGGCAAGAGUACAACACACCUGCCAAUGUGGGGUUCUCUCCUUAGGAGGGUAAAGCAUGGGACUCCAUGCGACUCACAUGGUGGUAUGUCGAUUAUAAGAAACUCCCACGUUCAUAAUGAUUUAAGUCUCUUGAGUUACCGAGUCACUCUAAGUCUUGAGUCAAACAUUUUGAGUUGGGUUGAAUGAUUUAUGAGAUUUAUGAAGCAUGUGUUAUUACUGAUGAUUUAUGGAAAUAGUGUUUUAGAUAAUUCAAGCGAAGAUAGUUAUUAUUGUCAGCAUGCAUGAUUUCUCAUACAUUUAUGAUAUUAUUUAAAAUGUUGCAUCCACCCCCACAUACUCAAUACAUUCCCAAGUACUGACCCUCAUACUCUUUUGUAUUCUAUUUUUCCUUUUGCUAUAGGUUCAGGUAUGUCUCAGCAGCAAAAGUGAUCUUUGAGUACCUUCCUCUACAGUUCUACAGUUGGUGAGUCCUCAUGGUUCGAGGACCUGUGUCUCCAAUUUUGUCUUGUUAAUAGAUAUUUGUUUACUUUAAGUUCAGUACGAGUCAAUUGGGGAUCUAUCCUACUGGCUCCUUAGUCCUAUGUAGUAGAGGCUUUGUUAGACUAGUGUACCAGCGUGUACAGAGAUUCUAGUAUUUUAUUUCUACAGGGCAUUAUUAUUUCAUGUUUUAGUAUGUUCAUGGCAUGUUUAUUCCUCUUUAUCUUAGUAUGAUUUUCACUAUAAUGAGUUCUGAAAAUGAUGACAAGUUUAGACAGUUAGCUAGAGGCCACGUGUGGCCUUGAGCACCAUGUAAUGUCUCGGGAUAGGUUCUUGGGGCGUUACACUAUUGUUGUACAAUAAAUAUGUUGUUGGAAUGUCAUGAUGUUAGAGUAUGAAAUUAUGAUCUUGAUUAUAUACAUUCCUACCAUGAACAAGAUUGCGUUAACCAUGUACUUCAUGAAAUCCCCAACUUAUUUUAUUAUGAAUGGUUGAUAUUGAUCAUGUAUUCAAGAAUGUCAAGAAGUGUUAGUUUCCUUCUAUCGAGUCCUGGGGGUACUUGUACCCAAAAAAUAUAGCUGUGUGCCUAGAGCUAGGUCAUGUUUUCACGAUACGCUCAGUCAAGCCACGUUCAAUAGACUUCAGUUAGUCUCAUGACUCAGGAAAACUCAUGUAAAGGUAGUAUCAAUUUAGUUUUACUUAGUACUCAGUAAUCUACGUAAUAUCAGUAAUAUUUUGUCAGUCUAUGGAAUUUAGUAAAUCUCAGUAUUAGUACAAUUUAGUUCAGUAUUCAGUUCAGACAUCAGUAAACUCAGUCAGGUAAUAGAACCAGUAGCAUUUAGUCAGUUAAGAGAAUUCAGUAGUGUUCUGCUAGUCAUCAAAACUCAAUAAAAUCAUUCCAUGUUCAGUUUAGUUAAAAAGAACAAUCAGUAAUAGUUCAGUUAAUUCUAGUAUGAACUAGGAAAUCAGUUCAGUAUAAUCAGUUCAGUGUCAUUUAGUUGGGAGUAGGAUUCAUCACCAAGCGAACCCAAGGAUGGGAACUUACCUGCCAGUAGAGGGUGUGAAUCUUAGAAGCAGUCCUUACAUUCUAGAACUAUGUAGCUAACAUAGGUUGAGACAUCAAUACCUAUCAGUUGAGGGUAGAUGAGGUGGCUUAACCUAUCAGAUGAGGGUUCCCACCAUUCUCAUUAGAGUACCUGCCAGAUAAGGGUCACUCACAGUUUGUCCUUACCAGUGGCGCGGUAUUGACACCUUUCCAAUCAGGGCAGAGAAUGGACCCCAGCUUAGCUAUUAUAGCGUAUUUGGGGCAUGUCGGUUAGAUAAAUACUUCCCACAGUUUUGGUAUUAGUCUCAGUAAAAGAACUCAGAUAGUUCUUCAGGAUAUCAGGGCUGUCAGAUACAGUACAGAACUCAGCUAGUUCCAUCAGAUUUAGGACUAUCAGAUACAGUCAUUCAUGCUAUCAGUUAUCAGAACUCAUGUUAUCAGAUAUAUUAGUUAUCGAAACUCAUGUUAUCAGAUAUAUCAGUUAUCAGAAUUUAGUUAUCACUCAUGAUAUCAGUAAAUACAUGUCAUCAAUAUUCAUACUUAGUAGUCAUAUUAUCACGAGCUCAGUUUCAAGACUGUUAAAUACGAUCAAUAAAAUCAAUUCUUUAUAAUCAGAACUAUCAGAAACAAUCAUUUCUUUAUCAGUAAUAUAGUAUCAGUCCCCAGUAUUCAGUAAUACAGUAUCAGUUCCUCACUUAUUAGUGAAUUAUAUAUCAAUAUCAGUAAACUCAGUCAUUCAGUAUCUCAAUAUCAGUAAACUUAGUCAUUCAGUAUCUCAACAUCAAUAAACUCAUAUUGUCAGUAUUCAGACUCAGUAGUCAGUAGCACCACGAGUUUAGUUGCAGUUACGUAUAUAUGUAUAUAUUCUCACAUUCAUAUCAGUCAACAUUGUUCAUGCAUAUAAAACCCUUUGCAUUUAGCCUACCUUACUUGUAUACUCAGUACAUUCAGUCGUACUGACGCAUUUACGCUAUGGUGUUUUAUUUGACGCCAUAAGUAUAGAGGCACGACUUUCAGAGCAGCAGUAGCAUUGCAAAUUUCAGCAGUCAGUGCUCCUCUUCAUUCGAGGACAAUAUUAUUAUUACUUUAUUACAAUAUUUCAGAUUAGUUUUUCAGUUCAUGGAGUUAGUUGGAGACAUGUUCAUUCAACUCCUUAUUCAGUUCAGUCUAGAUGUAAGAUUAGAUGUUCAGACUUUAGUAUUUAUGUUUCUUUUUGGUAUUGUUAUACCAUGUUUUUUAGAUAUGUAUCAGUAUUGAACCUUAUGGCCUUACAGUUCAUGUUUCCGCAUAUUUUAUGAGAUAUUAUGUAGCUUACAGGUACAGAUAUCAGUCAUGGGUUAGCUUGUGGUCCUUUGGGGUCAUGAGCACCGUGUAGCAUUUCGAUUCAGAAAAUCGGGGUGUUACAGGUACACACUUGAAAUAUAACCAUGAAUCCUUUAUUUUAGUCAUGAAAACCUUAGUGAAAAUGUCACAAAUGAUAUGGAUAUGACAAGUAUCAAGAGAUAAAGAAACUACAAAGGUCUUAAUGGUAUCACUAAAGCGAAGAGGUAAGACUACCUUUAUCUUAGAAACCAUAAGCACAAUUGUUUCAUUACCUCUUCAAGUGUCCUUAUCAAAAGUGGUGCCAUUAUUGGUCUUAUAGUCAACCAAACCCACAUAGCAUUGUCAUUCAAAUAAGUGGACCAACCAACAAGUUCUCUACCUCUACAUAAUACAAAUCCAAAACUAGUAUGGAUGUCAUCAUAGGUAAAGAGGUAGUAUAUGAAGGAAUCAAGUGUAAAGGCAUCAUCCAAGGCACUGUCAUCUAUAAGAAUGCAAUUUGGCCUAGAAGAUAUAACACAUAAAGCGCACAAAGAUGGAUUUAAGGCACUAAAGAACAUAUGACCUCUUCCUUUCAAGUAAAGUAUGAACUUGGCAUCCACAAGUUGGAAAUCAUGCAACUUAAGCACAAGUGUGUCAAGCAAGGAUGCACAUUUAGUAACAUUACCCGAUGAAGACAAUGAAACCUUUGCCCUCGAGUUUUCAAGAAUGUCACUUUGCUUGUUAUGUAGACCAAGCAACAAUUUAGGUAUGCCA
rnacentral:lncRNA from 1 species